rnacentral:lncRNA from 1 species
CCUCCUCCUAUGCAGCAAGAGAUGGUGGGUGUGUAUGGAGAAUUUUCUAACCGUAGAAGGAACCAGUCUUCAUCGCAUCCUGGUUAGCAUCACCCAGAGCUGCCUGGCUCAUGUAGGUGUCAGCAAGCUGCACACGCUUGACAUUGUCCUGCUCCUGGACGAGCAUGUGCCCGUACUCUAGCAGCUUCUCGACUGUCAUCUUUGGCUGCUCGAAGGUCACGGGCCCGUCCCGCGAGUUCACCAGCCUCUUGCCAAUGUUCUCGAUUCCGGUAGAGCCGACCCACUUGCGCACCUCAUCGUCGUACACCCGAGCACGCAGAGCACCGAAAAAGUCUGUAUCGGAUCGAUGCAUGAUACUUUGUUAAUUACUGAUAUACAACUUGUCUGCCCUGAUGAAUAUAUAUAUAUAUAUUUGGAAACAAGAGAAAUAUACCAAUGGAUUGUCCUGGGAAGGUGUCGACGAUCUUGACGACAGACUCGUCACUGACAUUGUCGGUCUGGAAGAUACCCUUGCAGACACCGAUACGGUCGUCACGGGUGGGAGCCCAGUAGAACUUCUCCAUACGACCAUCACGGAUCAGAGGAGCGUAGAGCGUCGAGAAAUCGUUACCGGUGACGACGAUGGGCACACGGGGGUUCUCCUCCUUGUUGUACAUGCCAGGGAGCUGCACGUUGGUGGGGGCAUCGGCGAUGUUCAUCAGGGUGGCGUUCACCAUCUGGUUGUUGACGGUGUACUGCGUGGUUCCGCCCAUCCUACCCGCACCAGCGUCAAGAUCGUUGAUGAAGAGGCAGCACAUCUUACCCUUCUUGAUCAUGUCUGCAGCCUCACGGUACCGCUGCCUGAUGAGCUUGGCUGGCUCUCCAGCGUUCCCACUCUCCAGCUCUCCGGCACUCAUCAUGAUGGGGCUGUGGCAAAAAGCACAGGUCAUUAUCUAUUAUUACUAUUAUCUUAUACUCCCUCUGUUCUUAAAUAUAAGUCUUUUAAGCGAUUUCAUCAAGAAACUACAUACAAAACAAAAAGAAUGAAUCUACACUCUAAAGUAUGUCUAUAUACAUCCGUAUGUAGUCCUUUAGUGAAAUCUCUAAAAUGACUUAUAUUAUGGAACGGAGGGAGUAGUAUUUCUUUAGGGAGGAAGUAGAUGAAUGUAAAUUCUUACUUGAUGCCCAUCUUGGCGAACACAAGCUCACACUGGAAUGAUUUUCCUUGACCCUUGCCUCCCCAGAUACCCAAGAUGAGUGGGAUCUGAAUUUCGAUUCAAGGUCAGUUUCAGAAUCAGAAUGAUUCAUUUUAUUGCUGCUUCUGCUAAUAAUCAAUUAAAUUAAAUAACGAUGUCUGCAUGCAUCGAUUAAUUCAACCUCCUUUUUUCAAAAAAAGAAAAGAANNNNNNNNNNNNNNNNNNNNNNNNNNNNNNNNNNNNNNNNNNNNNNNNNNNNNNNNNNNNNNNNNNNNNNNNNNNNNNNNNNNNNNNNNNNNNNNNNNNNNNNNNNNNNNNNNNNNNNNNNNNNNNNNNNNNNNNNNNNNNNNNNNNNNNNNNNNNNNNNNNNNNNNNNNNNNNNNNNNNNNNNNNNNNNNNNNNNNNNNNNNNNNNNNNNNNNNNNNNNNNNNNNNNNNNNNNNNNNNNNNNNNNNNNNNNNNNNNNNNNNNNNNNNNNNNNNNNNNNNNNNNNNNNNNNNNNNNNNNNNNNNNNNNNNNNNNNNNNNNNNNNNNNNNNNNNNNNNNNNNNNNAGGUACCUUGAUGUUGGGCAGGGUCAUGAAGUUUUUGGAGAGAUGGACAACAAGCUUGUCCAUGAAAGCAGGAGCGAUGUAGAAGCCUCCCAUGGUGUUGUCGAAGUCGUACUUCCGCAGGCCCUGGCUGACGUACUCGUAGGAGCUGAGGACGGCCUCGUGGGUGCCGUCGCCCGUGGGCGCCUGGAAGAGCGAGUCCACGAUGCCCUUCCCUCUGGUGAUGUCCUGCUGGUCGUCGGAGAUAUCGUACGCAAGACCCUUCCACUUGUCGGUGUUCCUCUUCUCGUCGAUGUUCUCCGCUGCCAUGACUGUGAACCUGUUGGCCUUGGAGCUCUUGCCAUGGUAGUUCACGGCCGAGGUCACCUGCUUCUUGAGCUUCUUCCCGAGGAAGUUGGUCGGCGUAGAAGCCUGUAUACAUUACAUUACAUUACAUAUACACACAUGAGAUGCCGCUGAAGACACUGAUAGGAUAUCAUCACUAAGCAAGAGAUGCAAUCAAUCAAUCGAUCGAUCAGUGUGUGGUACGCACCGGAGCCCCGACGGUGGAGGAGAAGGCAGCAGCCAUCUCUGUGCUGCUUGGUCGACCUUGCUAGCAACGGUGGAUGCGCGCGGCUGUGCUGGUGAUCAGUGAUGAAUGACUGCUGCUGCUCAAAGUAUAGAGGCCGAGCUAUGUGACGCCUUAAAUACACGUGGAUUGGCAUAUUGCUGCUCUGCUGUGGGGAGCUUGGAGGAGGAGGCGGCAUACACACACCCCUGCUUGUGGAUCAGCCUCCCGAUCCCCCAGAGGCCACACGCUGGAGAUUGGGUUCUGAGCGUCUUGGCCGGCCGGUUGGAUGACUUGGACCGUCAAGACCAAACGCUGCAGCUGCAGCUGCAGAUACGUCUGCUGGCCAUCAAUUCCAUGGCCUUCCACGGCCACAGAAUCUAACCAUUCAUGCUCAAAUCAUCUCCCAUUUCUUCCGUGCCUUUCAUUUUUUCCUUUCACUCGGUCGCCCGUAUAUACUAUCUUGUUUAUUAGCCAAGCCAUGUCAUUGCAUAACCACAAAAAAAGGGUCUCUCGUUGCUUGUUGGAUGAGGCACCCAAGAUUGUAUUCUAGUUCCAAGUACCACAAAUUUGUUGCUGCCAUACAUAUACUGGUUUGUUGAUAACCAUCAAGCUAGGGAUGUCAUUUGGCACCACACAAAUCAAGUCCUGGUUGACAUCAAGCACAUGGGUUUGUACUUUUGUCUACUCCAAUAAAUAUUGCCACUUCGGUAAAAAAAAAUGAAGCGUAUUAAGAGAAAAGGUAGCCAUGCAGUUUUGCUUUGAUGAAAAGAUUAUAGAACGUGUCUAAUGUUUUCAUGUAAAUGUAAUUCGUGUUGCCUAGCUCAAGUUCCCUGCUGGUAUUCUCAUUGUUUGGGUCUAGUACAGACCAUUAAUUGAUCAUUACGAUGAAUGCGAGCCGUUUGGCUCGCACAAUCUUUGUCCAAUACACCUUCUAGUGAUGUUGUCCUUGUUAAUCAACUUUGUGGUGCAAAUUGGGGUUUCCGUAAUCCGUCAAAGGGAAAAUAUGUAUGUAUGUGAUGAGUCAUGACCCCCCACAUCCACAGUACUCGUACCUAAUCAACAAGCUUCAGAUGAUUUCCACAUAUGUGCUAAUCUUCCGACAAGUGCUAAUAUCAAGAGAUAUAUAGGUUGUUGGGACUUGGGACCCUAGCUUGCAUCCAUUGGAGAAAUGAUUAAGCGGAAAAUGACGAUUUAAGAACAUAUACAAUUCCUUUCUCUUUCAAGAAGAGACUUACAAUUGGGUUACCUGUGCGGCGAUGAAUCAAAAAGUUUGAGUGGAUUUCGGGUCCAAAAUAGUCCAACAUAUAUAUAGUGCAUGCAUGCAUCUUAAGUAGAGUAGGACCUUCUACUUGCCGUAGAAGGCACCGGUCUUCAUGGCGUCGUCGUUGGCUUGGCCGAGCGCCGCCUCGCUGAGGUACUUGUCGGCGAGCUGCACACGCUUGACGUUCUCCUGCUCCUGGACCAGCAUGUGGCCGUACUCCAUGAGCUUCUCUAUGGUCAUCUUGGGCUGGUCGAACGUGGGCGGCCCCUCCCUGGAGUUGACGAGGCGCUUGGAGAUGUUCUCCACGCCGAUCUCGCCGACCCACUUGCGCACCUCGUCGUCGUACACCCGUGCCCGCAGCGCGCCGAAGAAGUCGAUGGACUGCCCCGGGAAGGUGUCCACCAGCCUCACCACGGCCUCGUCCGGGACGUUGUCGGUGCGGAAGAUGCCCUUGCACACGCCGAUGCGGUCCUCGCGGGUGGGCGCCCAGUAGAACUUCUCCAUGCGCCCGUCACGGAUCAGGGGAGCGUACAGCGUCGAGAAGUCGUUGCCGGUGACGAUGAUGGGCACGCGGGGGUUCUCCUCCUUGUUGUACAUCCCCGGGAGCUGCACGUUGGUGGGCGCGUCCGCGAUGUUCAUCAGGGUGGCGUUCACCAUCUGGUUGUUCACCGUGUACUGCGUCGUCCCGCCCAUCCGGCCCGCGCCGGCGUCCAGGUCGUUGAUGAAGAGGCAGCACAUCUUGCCCUUGUUGAUAAUGUCGGCCGCCUCGCGGUACCUCUGCCGGAUCAGCUUGGCCGGCUCGCCGGCGUUGCCGCUCUCCAGCUCACCGGCGCUCAUCAUGAUGGGGUUGAUGCCCAUCUUGGCGAACACCAGCUCACACUGGAACGACUUGCCCUGUCCCUUGCCUCCCCAGAUACCCAGGAUGAGAGGAACCUUGAUGUUGGGGAGUGUCAUGAAGUUCUUGGCGAGGUGGACGAUGAGCUUGUCCAUGAAUGCCGGCGCGAUGUACAGCCCGUCCAUGGUGUUGUCGAAGUCGUACUUCCGCAGGCCCUGGCUGAUGUACUCGUAGGAGCUUAGGAUGGCCUCGUGGGUGCCGUCGCCCAUGGGGGCCUGGAACAGGGAGUCCACGAUGCCUUUCCCCCGAGUGAUGUCCUGCUGGUCGUCCGAGAUGUCGUAGGCCAGACCCUUCCACCGGUCCGCAUCGGUCUGCUUGCCCUGGUCAAGUUCCUUUUUGGCCGCCAUGACCCUCACCACCCUGCUCUUCAUCUUGUUGCCACCAUGGUAGUAGUUCUUCACCUUCUUGCCCAGGAAGAUGGUCGGGGUCGACGCCUGCACAAGUAUGACAUAGUCAGCCCCAAUCACAUUCAUGCACGUUGGUUCACUUGCUGCUUGCUUUCAAUAGCAAUUGCCACGAUGAACGCUUAAUUUGCAGAUAUCAACCCUUCAUUUGGGCAGUUCCAGACUUCACUCGCUAUUCAAUUGCAUCCGCAUAUAUAUAGAAUUAAUUAGUCCAUCCAAAAGCUCCAGCUGAUGAACAGGGGCGGAAGGUCAAAGGUACAAUACCAGAAGUGGUGGGCCCGUGUUGAAGAGAGUGGGGGCCUAGGACCCUACUCAAAAUAUGAAAUUUCAAUACGAUUUGAAUAACUUUUAGGAGGAAAUGCUAAAACUCAAUGAAUUUGGAUAAAAUGUGACACCACUCUUAAAUCGUUUUUGUUACUCUCCAUCAUUUACCUCCCUUAUUUUAAUGAUGUUUUGCCACGAGUCAAAAUAGUUUUUAGAUCCGUCCCGUCCCGGCAUGCUGGGCCUUGAAGUUGAUGCCCCAUGGCUUGAAUGACAUAUUGAAUUACAAAACAACCUACUCCCUCCGUCUUGGUUUAUAAGUCAUCUUAUGAAAAAAAAAUCUCAAAACACUUAGGCACGAUGCAUUAAUUUUCUGCUUGUUUUUUGUUUUUUUUUACAUGGAUAAAGGAAUCAACCAAUAAGAGACAUGGAACGUGUAUGUUUUUAAUGACUUGCGACUAACUAGCACGACAUGCAGUGGUUAAUUCAUUACAUGCAAUGAUAUUAAUUAGCAAAUUAAUAUAUUUUUUUGUUUUCCUCUCCGUUUUGAUCACGAUGCACAACCUAAUAUGACCUAUACACUGAGACGGAGGGAGUAACUAAUUCAGCCAAAAGUUCUUACUAAUGAAGAAUGAGGAGAAGCAUACUUCACUAGUUAGUUUCUAAUAUUAUNAUUCUCACACACGGGCUUGACAACCGUGUGCCUCCACUCGAGACUUUUGAGGUUCUAUCUUUCCCUUCCUCCUCCACGCAAUAGCUUCGAAAAAGUGUAACCAUUAGCUUCCCACAUUUCUCAACACUCCCCGUCACCACCCUCACCUCGCCCUAUUUGUAAUUUGCAUCGUGAUUUAAUAAACCUCACAAUAGUUGCUCCUAAAUAAAAUCUCGCUACCACCUCCCGUUCAUUCUCAUCCGCGCCAUCAUGAAACAACCAUUAGUAUUGCCUAAAUUAUCUUUAUCGUGCUAACUCAAUAUUCAAGGUCAUGCCCAAACCGAGAUCAAAUGACCUCAUUUGAUAGCCUUCGCCCCAUGGUGGCUAGCCAUCCGCUGCCCACCCCAUCACCCUAGACUCACCCGAGAGUUUGGAUACCCUAACCCGCUACCCAAACCCGAACUGAACCAAAAUACCCGAAUUGUCGGGUAAUAUGGGUAUCGGGUUAAGGUUUGGUUCUCAUUUCCUGGCUAUUCGGUUUUCGGGUUAGGGUUCAGGUUCUAGUCUGUAAAACCCAAAAUACCCAUACUACCCGAAUUAUUCAUACUAGUCAAAUUAUUUAUGUUAUUAUUACACUUACAUGUUACACAAACUAACUAAAACACCCACACUAUCUGAAUUAUUCAUGCCGAAACUUAAUGUGUGCUCUGAAUAUUUUGGGUUUUUUGGGUACCCGAGUUACCCAAACCAAAAUUUUGGGUAAUUUGGGUUCGGUUAUUUUUUUGACAUAAAAAAUUCCGAUUCCCAUUUUUUUAAUACCCGAAUUACACAUGAACCGAAAUAACCAAAAUACCCGAACGCUCAGGCUGACCAUAGACAGUCUUUUUAAGCCCCGGAAGGCAUGGGUGAGGAAAGAGAUGCCCUUGUCGGAGUCAACACAUAGAGAGGAGGCCCAGCUUGUCGCGUCCGAAUCUCAAAGCAAGAUCACACGGUCACAAAUUAUAUUAAAAACUGUACAAAAUGAAACAAUUCAGACCUGAAAAUGUGUAGCAACUCUGUCAAUUAAUUUAGAGAGACGGUGAGUUUUCUUUUUGUCGUACACACGUUGUGUCCACUGAAUUAAGGAUUAGGAACCACGAGUGUACGUGGAAGUGUAGGUCAUACGUACCGGAGCUCCAACGGUGGACGAGAAAGCAGAAGCCAUGGUGUUGAUCGAUCGUUCUCUUCUCGCUGCUGAUAACUUAAUUACAGUAGUUUCUAAUUAAUUUGAUGUGCGUACGUGCAGUGGUAUAUGCAAGCUAGCUCGAUCAGCUCUCAGCUGGAUUAGGCCGGCGUACUACUAGUACACCUACAGAUGCAGGUGGACUGAGAUCGAUCGUCAGUGAUGGAUGGAGCUGAUAUGGAUAAAAGAGAGGGGUGCAGUGGUUAGCAGGUACAGAUGCGAUGCCGAUCGAUGGAGCUUGGCCAUGGCGUCUUAUAUAGGUGCAUGGACAGAUGGCCAUGGAGCAAGCGUCCAACACGACUGGAGUGACCUAGAGCGUGAGAGACUAUUCUAGAGCGUCCCUGCGUAAUCACGCAGUCAAGCCACAUAAGCUGUGAUUAUCAGGCCGGCUGCGAUAAGUAGCUAGUGAGGCGAGCCAAGUGGAGUGGAUGAUGAGAUGUUAAUUGUGUGGAUAGGGUUGGGCAUCUCCCAGGAGCCACACGCUGAGGAUUGGCUCCAUCCGUCUCUACACAACGGCGUCGACGCGGCUGCUCCUCAGCCUUCCGAUCGGCGCAUCCAACGGCCCAAAUGUGAUCUAAGCUGCAUGCAUUCGGUUCCUUGUCGGAUGGGGAUCCGGAGCAUGCAUGCAUGCCUGCCGUACACCACUACGGAGUACUACAAUACUAAUAGAUGUGCAUGCAAAUUUUCUAGAAUGUAGAUGGUUAUUGAUUGGCUGUGAAAUGAGUUAAAAAAUAACAUUUACACUACACAUGCAUAUAGAAGUAGUACAACGGAGUACUAAUUAGCUGCUAGGAGUAAAUGCAACGUGCCUUAAUCUUUGUUUAUUUUGAAAACGCACGCAAGUCUAACUGUACCUUCUAAACCGUGACGGAGGAAGUAAAUUUCUUUUUUGCGGGUAUGCAUGCAUUAUUACUCUAGUUACGAGACCGAUGCCUUCACCCUUCACCAUAAAAAUCACAUCUCGUUCGUUCUAUUUUUCUUUCUUUUGCAUUUUGCAUGAAAUGUCUAGGCUGGCUUUUACACCGCCACAAAGUACUAAUCCCAUUCCCUCCAGUAGGGCCCGGGUGAAACUUCAUGAAGUAUUUUUAAAUAUUCCCUUCAUUUUUAAAAGGCUGGAAUCGGGUCUAAUGGUUAGUCUUCUGUCCCGGUUCUGGCCACCAACCGGGACCAAAGAGAUGCCUAUAUAUACCCGCACCCUGCGCACCCUGUGCUCUGGUUUUUGGCCUAGGUGUGCAUGACAUGCUCUUGUUGCCACCCUUCUAUGCAUGCACAUGAGGUGUUCGAUGAAAAGCCCGAGCCACACUUAAGCUUUCUCCUCUCCAAGCUCAACCUCCAAGCUCCAUUUUCCUUAAUAUUUGUCUAAGUUUGGCGGUACACCAACUACACAAGGGUUCUAAAAGUUUAGCUAGUUUAGCUCAUUUCAAAUGGUCUAAAAGUAGAGUGGUUUGUGGGUUUUAGUGUAGGAGUGUAUGUGGGAGUUCUUUUGAUUUAGAUGCAAAAUUUGAGCUCAGAUUAACUUCUUAUAGACUCUGUACAUGUAUAGGGUGCCGUCUCGUGCCCGUCCUCGCUGUCGUCGAUCGCCCGCGCCGAUCUCGUUGCCAGCACCACCGUGGUGAGCCUCUUUUUCUUAUCUUCUUUUUAAAAGAAUUUUUUUUCUUACUUGUAUGAUUUAGAUAGAUAUUUGUAUAAAUUACUUACUUUUAUUAUUUUUUGUUAUUAUAUAGUGCGAUGGUUUUGGUAUCCACCCACGUCGUCCCUCGUCCGGCCUAUGAUUCGGACGUGGUAUAUUUUCUUUUAUUACUAUUUGUUUCAUUUAGUGUUUAUGACGAUAAUUAUGCCGACCAAUGUGACAUGGAUGUUUUUAUCUAGGAUGUAUGUGAACCGGAAAUUCCAACCAACCCUCUUGUCGAGAGGUUAAAUUUAGUUGAAAAAGAAAACAAUUACUUGAAGAAAAAAUUGAAAAUAAUUGAGGAGAAGAAUAUGGAACUGGAGUUGCAUGUUGCCGAUGUCGUCGAUGAUCACAAGAUCAACAUGGAUGCAAUGCGGUUGAAGAUGGAUGCAAUGCGCUUGAAGAUGAAUGCAAUGCGCUUGAAGAUUAGGAAUAUUAGAAAAUACGCCACUGAUGAAGAGGCUUGGUAUCAUUAUGUUCUUGGGUCAUUGUUACCUUACUUGUGAUUUUGAUCGCAUUUGUUGUGGCAUUUAAAUGUUUUACAUAGUUGUAUGUUGUUUUAUGAGAGUACUUUAUGUAUUUAUUUUUGCAAUAAUAAUAUUUGAUCACUACAGUACUUUGAUUUUAAUGUGAUGCUGAACUUGUAUUAAUUUGGUCAUUUCUCUAUUCAUGAUGUUCUGCAAUGGUUUUUUGAUAUACUUAAUUUCAUAAUACAAAUGAACCGCCAAUGGAUGUAUGGCGACCGACACACUCCGGAGUACAUUAUGAACCGGGACUAGUGCCCCUCCCCUGCCUACCAAUUAACCCUCCCCACCCACUUAUUUUUUUCUGAUUGGAUGUGUGGGAGGUGGGUGCUAGAAUUUUUUCCUUUGCUACGCACAAGAUGUGUUUGAUGAAAUGCCCGAGCCACACUUAAGUUCACACAAAAUGGUAUCCUCGACAGAGGUUAGCAACCUUAUCAUUUUCAUCUGUAAUUGAUACAAAAAUAUUGCAUGUGUCCAUGUACGGUGGCCAUUUCACUAUUCAUGUAUGAUGCAGAUCGAUGCACGAAAGCGAUGGAUGUAUGACGAACGACGUAGUUUUGGAUUUAUUGCAGGCCUACAUAAAUUUAUCGAUGUGGCUGAGGCAAACAAAGUGGAUAAUUUUAUGCCUUGUCCAUGUGUUGACUGUCGAAACGUCAGGGAGUACUCUAGCUCGAAAACUAUUCAAGGCCACGUGCUUCGGAGAGGUUUCAUGCCCAGAUAUUAUUGUUGGACCAUGCACGGAGAAAGAGGGGUUAGGAUGGAAGACAAUGAAGAAGAAGAAGAUGAUGACAACUAUCCUAUGUUCACUGAAGAAUACGGUGAUACUGCAAUGGAAGACAAUGAAGAAGAAGGAGGUGAAGACCAACCGGCAUGAGAUGAGACCGUUGAUGGUCUUGGUCGGGUCAUUUCUCAUGCAAAGCGAGAAUGCAUACACACAAGGAGAGGUUGAAGUUGGAGGCCAUGCUAUAGGAUCAUAAAAAGUUGAUGUACCCAAAUUGCGAAGAUGGCAGCACAAAGCUCGGUACCACACUUGAACUGUUGAAAUGGAAGGCAGAAACUGGUUUAUCUGACAAGGGAUUUGAGAAGUUACUGAAAAUAUCAAAGUCGAAGCUUCCAAAGGAUAACGAAUUGCCUGAGGCUACGUACGAAGCAAAGAAGGCUAUCUGCCCUCUUGGAUUAGAUAUGCAGAAGAUACAUGCAUGCAUUAAUGACUGCAUCCUGUAGCACGGUGAGAAGUACGAGAAUAUGGAUAAAUUCCCGGUAUGCAAUGCAUGUCGGUACAAGAUCAGACAAGAUGACCCUGGUGAUGUUGAGGGCGAUGACGAGCCCCUGAGGAAGAAGGUUCCUACUAAGGUUAUGUGGUAUGCUCCUAUAAUACCAUGGUUGAAACGUCUGUUCAGAAACAAUGAGCAUGCCAGGUUGUUGCGAUGGAACAAAGAAGAGUGUAAGAAAGACGGGAAGUUGAGACACCUCGUUGAUGGGUCGCAGUGGAGAAAAAUCGAGAGUAAGUACCCGGACUUUGCAGGUGACGCGAGGAACUUAUGGUUUGGUCUAAGUACAGACCGCAUGAAUCCUUUUGGGGAGCAGAGCUGCAGUCACAACACCUGGCCCGUGACUCUAUGUAUCUACAACCUUCCUCCUUGGUUGUGCAUGAAGCGGAAGUUCAUUAUGAUGCCAGUGCUGAUCCAAGGACCGAGGCAACCCGACAACGACAUUGAUGUGUACCUAAGGCCAUUAGUUGAUGAACUUUUGCAGCUGUGGGCCAACCAGGUGUACAUGUGUGGGAUGAUCACAAACAGCGGGAAUUUGACCUACGAGCAUUGUUGUUCGUAACCAUCAAUGAUUGACCUGCUCUUAGUAACAUUUCAGGACAGUCAAACAAGGGAUACAAUGCAUGCACGCACUGUUUAGAUAAGGCUAAAGGUACAUAUUUGGAAAAAUAUAAGAAGGUUGUCUAUGUGGGGUCUCGUCAAUUUCUUCCGACCAAUCAUCCCAUAAGAAAGAAAGGCAAGCAUUUCAACGAUGAGGCAGAUCACCGAAAGAAGCCUAACCUCCCUACUGGUGAUGAGGUAUUGGCUGUGGUCAAGGAUUUGAAUCAAAUAGUAAUCUUUGUAAAGGGUUUUGGCAGUCAAUCUGUUUCGAAAGACGUGGUUACCAGUCACGUGCCCAUGUGGAAAAAGAAAUCUUUAUUUUGGGAGCUACCCUAUUGGGAAUACCUAGAGGUCCGCUAUUCAAUCCACGUGAUGCACUUGACGAAGAAUCUUUGCGUGAAACUGCUAGGCUUCCUGGGCGUGUAUGGGAAGACAAAAGAUACACGAGAAGCACGGGAGGAGCAACAACGUAUGAAAGACCCAUACGACAAGAAGUGUCAAUACUUAAGCAGCUACGCUCUUACCAAAGCAGAGAAGGAAAUCGUUUUUGAAUUCCUGAGUAGUAACAAGGCCCCCGCUGGCUUCUCUUCUAAUAUAAAGGUAAUAAUAAAUAUGGCAGAGAAAAAAAUUCCAUAACCUGAAGUCUCAUGAUUGGCACAUGAUUAUGACGUAGUUGCUUCGAGUUGCAUUGAGGGGGCUUCUACCGGAAAAUGUUCGAUUACCCAUUGUGAAGCUAUGUGCAUUCCCCAAUGCAAUAUAUCAGAAGGUAAUCGAUUAAGAAUGUCUGGAAAGGAUACAGAGGGAUGUGGUCCAAUGUCUUGUCAGUUUUGAUUUGGUGUUCCCCCCGUCCUUCUUCAAUAUUAUGACACAUCUCCUAGUUCACCUAGUCGACGAGAUUUCCAUUCUCGGUCCUAUAUUUCUACACAAUAUGUUCCCCUUUGAGAGGUUCAUGGGAGUCUUAAAAAAUAUGUUCAUAACCGUGCUAGUCUAGAAGGAAGCAUCUCCAAGGGCUAUGGAACAGAGGAGGUCAUUGGGUUUUGUGUAUACUUUCUUCCUGGUCUUAAGCCGAUUGGUGUUCCUGAAUCGCGGCAUGAGGGGAAACUGAGUGGAAAAGGCACGCUAGGAAAGAAAGCAGUGAUAUGUAGGCACGGGCAUUCUUUCACUCAAGCACACUACACAGUUCUACGAAGUUCCACCUUCGUGGCUUCGUAUAUCGAGGAACACAAGAAUUUUGUACGCUCCGAGUUCCCGGGGAAGGCUGACUCCUGGAUUGAAGAAAAACACAUGUAUACUUUCGGCAGUUGGUUGUGAGCACGUCUCAUGAAUGACAACACUGUUGUAGAUCAACUCUACUUGUUGGCCGUGUCACCUUCUUGGAUUGUAUUACAUUUCCAAGGGUACGAGAUAAAUGGGAAUACAUUUUACACGACCGCCCAAGAUAAAAAGAGCACCAACCAAAACAAUGGUGUCCGCUAUGAUGCAACAUAGGAGAAUGGGGAAAAGGACACAUACUAUGGUUACAUAGACGAGAUAUGGGAACUUGACUAUGGACCUACUUUUAAGGUCCCAUUGUUUCGGUGUAGUUGGGUGAAUAUGAAUGGAGAAGGGGUAAAGGUAGACCAGUUGUACGGAAUGACAAUAGUUGAUCUCAAGAAUCUUGGUUACAGAGACAAGCCAUUCGUUCUAGCCAAUGAUGUGGCUCAGGUUUUCUACGUGAAAGAAAUGUCGUCCAGAUCGAAAAACAGAAGAAAAAAAUGAAUACAUCGGACGGUGAGGCAAAGUUUCACAUAGUUCUUUUAGGGAAAAGAAACAUCACGGGAAUCGAGGACAAGACACACAUGUCAGCAGAUUAUAAUAAGUUUGACGAAAUUCCGCCCUUCACACUGAGAAUUAACCCAAGCAUCCCGUUAAAUAAUGAAGAUGCUCCAUGGUUACGGCCAAAGUGAUCAUAGGCAAGGGAUCGAAAUGUAAAUCUAUGUAAUGUAUUAAACUUUAUGUGAUAUGUACUAAUGUAUCAAACUUUAUGUUAUGUGUACUAAUGUAUUAAACUUGGUACCACUUGGUUCUAAAGAAAAUGCACUUUUCCUUUUAUUAGUGGGAAAACGACGUUUUUUGUGAAAGAGGUACCAACUACGAGAACUAAAACAACUACGAGUACGAGAGCUAAAACAACUACGAGAAGUAAAACAACUAUGAGAACUAAACCCUAAACAGCUACGCCAACUUUCAACCUUUUCAGAGCCCAUUUGUAGGGAUUUUAAAUUUCAGGGUCAAUUAGCUCAAAGAACAAACUAAUAGCAAAAAGAAUGAAGUAAAAAGAAUCAACUAAAAAGAAUCAACUCAAAAGAAUCAACAAAAAGAUUAACUAAAAAGAAUGAACUAAAAAGAAUCAACGAAAAUUAUCAAAGUGUUUAUUUGUUAAAAAGAAUCAAGUAAAACAUUAACUAAAAACAAUCAAAAAAAUAUCAACUCAAAAGAAUUUUCAUAAAGUUUUCAGAGCCCAUUUGUAGUGCUUUUCAAAUUCAGGGUCAAUUAGCUCAAAGAAUAAACUAAUAGCAAAAAUAAUGAAGAAAAAGAAUCAACUAAAAAGAAUGAACUAAAAAGAGUCAACCAAAACAUCAACUAAAGAGAAUGAACUAAAAAUAAUCAACUAAAAUUAUCAAAGUGUUUAUUUGUUAAAAAGAAUCAAGUAAAAAAUUGACUAAAAAGAAUCAAAAAAAUAUCAACUCAAAAGAAUUUUCAUAAUUUUUUUUAAAAUAUAUAAUAGAAAACUAAAAUAAAAGAGAAAAAAUAUAUUUAAUAGCAAAGAAUUAAAAUAUAAACUGGGACUAAAAAUUAUUAAAGUAAAAAAAUGCCACCUACUAGGCCAUGAGGACGUGCAUACGACUAGAAACCCUAGAAGCUAGAUGGGCCAGGAUGCAGGCCUGUAGAAGGCCUAGUAGGACCACAGGGUAGUGAGAGUGUGGUUAGGCCCGUAGGCCUGCGUUUGAUAGGAUCUCGAGAGGGUUGGCACAACGGGGCUUAUAAACCACUCUCAACUCCUCUCAACUAGCUAGGUGGGNCGGCCUCCACAGCUAGCUCCAUCUCCGGGCCCCCAGUGAGCUCCUCCUGUCACCACCAUCGCACCCACACCAUCGUUGACCUCGUGUCCCCGCCGUCGUUGCGGGACCCCUCGUAGUGGCAUCAUUUUCGUGCCGUCCCUCGAGCCUCCUCAUCGUUGCCGCGCCCUUCCCCUCCGGUGAGAAGUAUGGCAUCCGUUGUUUCUGUUGACAGAUUCAGGUUUAGGGUUGUACUGAGAUUGUUACAAUCUAAAAAAUGGUUUAAUGAAAAUGCAAUUUGUGUUCUAUCUCAGCAUGUUCUAAUUAGUGUUCAAGUGAAGAAAAGUGAAGACAUUGUUGACUUUUGACUAAAUGUGCUCUGGUUUUUUAGAUGUGCUCUAGUUUUUUAGAUGAGAUGUUUUGUGAAGAUGAGAUGAGAUGUUUUCUGGAAAUGUGAGAGAGAUGAGAUGAGAGAAUUUAUUUUAGGCUUUUUUAGAUAUAGAAACAAAUGUUAAAAUUUGCAUGUGCUCUGGCUUUCUUGUUGCAUAAUGAGAUUAGAUGAGAUGAGUCACCGGCGAUCGUCGGAGGAGUCCUCGACGAUCGCCGGUGAGGAGUCCCCGACGAUCGUCGAAGGAGUCCCCGACGAUCGCCGGUGAGGAGUCCCUCACGAUCGUUGAAGGAGUUCCCGACGGUCGUUAGAGGAGUCUCGGACGAUCACUGGUGAAGAUUCCAGGGCGAUCGCCGGUGAAGAUUCCCCGACGAUCAUCGGUGCGGAAUCCCCGACGGUCGUCAGAGGAGCCCCCGCGGUUGUCAGAGGAGUCCCCGACGAUCGCCGGUGAAGAGUUCCUGACAAUCGCCGGUGAGGAGUCCCUGAUGAUCGCCGGUGAGGAGUCCCCAACGAUCACUGGAGGAGACCCCGACGGUCGUCCAAGGAGUUCCCGACGAUCGUCAGAGGAGUCCCAGACGAUCGCCGGUGAAGAGUUCCUGACGAUCGCCGAUGAGGAGUCCCCUAUGCUCAUCGGAGGAGUCCCCGAUGGUCGUCGGAGGAGUGUACUCUCUUGAAAGUAUAACCCCAAUAACUUCGACAUUAGGGGGCGUCAUGAGCCCCCCCGUUAAAUGACAAUACAUAAAUGUUUCCCUCUCCCCAAGUUAAUUAAAAUGUUUACCUUUUCUUAUUAUUCUUUAUUUUUUGCAUUGUUCUUAAUUUGCAGAUACUAUGGAUCCAAUACACGGCAGAGACGAAUAUCAGGAUGACAUGAUGCAUGGUGUCAUCCGUGAGGAUGAUUUUAUUGUUGGCAGUGUCACCAAUCAGUUUCUGAACGAGUCCGGCGAGGGAGAUGAGUCUGUCAACACAGGAGGUAGAAGCUCCGGUGUGAUAGACGCCCACGCCUCGGGCGAGCGAGGAUUCAGCGGCUCCGAUGAGGGAGAAGCCGACAAGGGAGAAGCCGAUGGCUCCGGCGUGGUGCAUAUAUAUAUUAAUAAAUUAAUCCUGUGCUGUCUAUAUACAUAUAUUAACGCUCUUUCUUCUUUUAGCCCUCCGGAGUGAGCAAAACUUAAGUACGGAUGAAACGAGGCCCAACCAAGAAGAUGGAUGACGGUGAGAGGUACAUGAUCGAAAGAGUCUCAAAAGGCGGGCAAUCGAUUGUUCCCACAGAUGUAAAGAAGAAAUUUGUGAAGGCAUGCAGAGUUAUUGUUAAGGACCACAUCCCUAUCACCACUCGAGAAUGUCUUAAGCCAAGGGUGGAAGGAGUCUCAUAUGUCGGCACAGUAGCCAAAGAAAACCUUUGGAGAAAGCUCAUGCUUCAUUUCACCCUGCCGGCGCCAGAGGUGGAUCCAGAUGAGGAGGAAAUGAAGAGGCGAAACGAGGCCCUAGAGAAAAAAUUCAAGGAGUGGGCUCUUAAGAAAAUGACCGAUCUAUUCAGGGGCUGGAAGAAAAGAUUGCACCAGGAUUUUAUCUUGCAAGAUAAGACUCCAGAUUUCGAUAACGGCUAUGAGAAGAUAAAAGACUAUUUGACCGAAUUUGUGGCGUACAAGAAAUCGGAGGACGCCUUGAAAAAGUCUGCAACAAAUAAGAGGAAUGCACGUAUGAAGAAGUACCACCAUAUUAUGGGGUCUGCUAGCUACGCCAGUAACAUGGCUAAGUGGGACGCACUUGAGGCACCAUUUCUGGCUAACAAUAUCACUCCAGAGCCCUUAACAUGGAUCGAACGGUUAAGAAACUGGUUUUACGGGCAUGGGGCAUGUUGGACGCCAAAGGGAAGGAAAUAUAUAACCAAACACACAAAGAUAAUCCCCUACUACCCAUCGAGAACAUUAGAAGUGUAGUAAAGGAUGUUGAAGAGGAACGGUUCGUUCUCGAUAGAGAGAACGAUGAGCUCUCACGCGCCCUUGGGAAUGAUGAACACAAAGGACGAGCACGAGGCUUACCAGGCUCCCCGCCAUGGAUGCUUGCGUUUUCUGAGGAAAUGAAGAAAUUUCCCAAUAGAAGCCAUCAGAGGAGAAUGGAAAAGGAGGCAGCUGAGAAAGCGGCUACUGCAGACCGGCCGCAUAAUGUAGAAGAAGGAGUAAAGCGGCUGCAACAGGAUCAAAUCAAUAGACUUAGCCAACAAGGUAGCGGCCUAUCUCAGCAUCUCAUGAUAGAAGCUGCAUCGAAUCGGAAAAGCAAUGUCGAUUCCACGCAGCUCCAGGAUGAUGGUGACGAUGAUGCACUGACGACGGCUCCUCCUCGUCGCUACCCAGUGGAUGAUAUCACAGAGAGCACACCUUGUGAGCUAAAGGUGAAAGUUGCUAACUUAAGGUUGACGGUAGCGGUCGGCAUGGUCGUACUAAUUGGACAUAAUCCAACUUGGCAUUGCUCUCCGGUUACAAAAGGGUACGUUGUCAUCACAGUGGAUGAAGUGAUGAAAGAUUAUGAGGAGCUAAAGCUGGACUACCGUGCAGGUGAAUAUAGGGAUUUGACUGAACUUGGAGAAGUCAAGAAACAGACCAUUGUAUGGCCAAAGGAGCACAUCUUGCUUCCAAAUUGGUCGCCAAGGCCACCGACCCCUCAGAGCAGCAAUCCUUCUUCGCCUCCACCUCACCAGUCUCUAGCACAACCGUCGUCUUGACCGCCUCACCAGUCUCGAGCGCAACCGUCGUCUUCGCCACCUCACCAGUCUCCAGUGCAGCCGUAUCCACCACUGCAUCAGCCGUCUUCACUGACCCGUCAGUCGUCUCCGUCCACUGAGGAUCAGAGCCAAAAGCGAAAACGUACCACCACUAAUAGUGGCGGUAGAAAGGGGUUCCGAUCACCGAAAUGUAAGUCGUCGCCCCUCCCAAAAGUACCUCAUAAGAAUAUGGAGAUGAGACCUUGGGACUAUAGUGAAGAGAAAAAUAAGAAGAGGGCAGACGCCCAGUAUCAAAAGUGGAAGGCUGACAUGGCUAACAAGAAGAAGUAGAAAGAGCCAGAGUUCCCGGUCACCCUAGAAGAUCACGCCGCAUGCGUGAAAAUGUUGAAUACUCUUGGACAACCCCCGCCAACAUUGCGAGAAGACCAUGAACGCGCUAUUCUCAAGUCGGCUGAGGUAAAAAAGCAGUGGUUGAACAGUAGUAGGUACAACGCGAAAUCAGUUGCCCAGCUCGGAUAACAGAAAAACCAAUCGUGCCCCCGCUCAAAGUGUAUUCGGAUACAGAGGUGUGCUCGAGUGGAGCUGCGGCCGAGCAGAGGUAUGAUGAAACAACUGAUAUCAAUCCGGAGUUUGUUGCACUGUACAGAGAAGCGGCCAAGGCUCAUGGCAUGACUAUUGUUCGGUACUUAAACAAUAUACAUGAUUUCACUGACGUAGCAUACCAGUACCGGCACGGGUCUCCUCUCGUCAAACCCGAGUUAGUCAAUGAGCUAUCAACAAAAAUGCAAAUAUUGCAUAACUGGUACAUGCGAGCAUCUGCUGAAUAGCAAAACUGGAUCUAUUGUGCAUAUAAAAACGAGCAUUACAGGCAUGGAGAAGGAGUGCUAAUGAUUGAAUUCAAUGAAUUAUUUCAGUUAUACCAACAAGAUGCCCUCGACAAAUCUAUCAUCAGUGCCUAUUGUUUGUAAGUAUUAUUAGUUUAUGUCAUUAAGUCUUACUCAGCUCGUUCAUUGCAUGUAUAAUCUUACUCAUCACUACAUUAAUUUUGCAGAAUGAAGAUUCUCGAAUGCAAAUGAGGACGAAUCUAUGACAUUGGGUUCAUUGACCCAUAUUUCAUUCAAGAAAAAAUUUCUCGAACUGAAUACCAACGAGAUAGAGAAUAAGUUGUUACAAGGGUUAAGGUUGUCCGCUACCAAAAGGGAAAUACUAUUUCCUUACAACUUCAAGUGAGUGUUACUGUCUUGUACACACAUUCUAUUUUCGCUUACUCGAUGUUAAUUGUAUAAUUGACUCGUUAUGUGUGCGUAGCUUCCACUUUAUUCUGUUAAUCAUUGAACCUCACAAUGGACUAGUAAAAGUCAUGGACCCAAAACGCAAACCCCUCGCUGAUUGGGCCAACAUGAAGGAAUGCCUCCAGAGGUAAUCUCAAUCAUUAUGGCACUAUAUCGGCAACUUUUCAUUCAUUUCCUGAUAGCAAGUAAUUAAUAUAGAACUCCUUUAUUUAUUUCCUUUUCUUGGUAGGGCUUGGAAACGGUUCACCGCCAAGUGUUGGGGUGUUUGGUAGCCAGAGCUUACAUUUAGACAAAUGGAUGUAAGUACUACUAGCUAGAUCUGCCAUCUCUUUAUUCUAGUUUCAAUACCAUUAUCAUGCUUGAUUAUGUUCUGAUUGAACUCUGUUCUCGUAAAGUGCUUGAGGCAGGAACAUGGGAACAAUUUAUGUGGAUACUAUGUUUGCGAGUUCAUUCGCCAGACGACCCAUGAGACGGGCAAAAACCGGGACUUCAGAAAAAUUGAAGUACGAUAAACAAUACUCACAACUUUAUUUUAUUACCAUCAAUUGUGUUCGGUUUCAUUGAUAUAUAUAUAUAUAUUGACCCCUUCUUUAAAUUAGAUCAAAUGGUUGCGGGACGGUCUUCUACCAGAGGAACGCAUACGAGCAAUUCAAGAGGAAAUUGUCGGAUUCUUUGAUGCAGAGGUCCUAGAUCUGAAGGAAGAAAACUAUUGCCCGCCGGUUGAAGUGAAAUGUUAAAGUGUAAAAGAGAUGCAUAUGUGCAGGUAACUCGUGUCUACAUUUUGUAAUAUGUUCGACAAAGCACGACAGAUGAGAUGGAGUAAUAUAUUCAUGACGAUGAUGUGCAAUAUAGUUGUUCCUUAAUUGCUGUGUAUGUACCAUCCAAUUUAGUGCAAAACACAAAUUAAAAACGUGCCCAAGACAAAUAAAUGGGAAAAUAGAAAAAAAAUAAGGGGCAGCAAAAUAGCCCCCAUCCAAUUUAGUGCAAAACCCUAAACCCUAAAAAGUGCUAAAAAAGGCAGCGAAGCAAUAGCCCCGAUUCGUAAUAAGAACCCAGACUAAUACUCCUCCCCCCUCGCUCCCAGCCCCGCCACGUGGAGGACCAUUAGCCCCGGUUCGGGGGCGAACCGGGGCUAGAAUUAGUCCCGCUUUUGUGGUACCGAUUCCUGAACCGGGGCUGAUGGCCCAAACGAACCGGGUCUCAAGCCUAUAUUUCUGCUAGUGUUUUAAGCGCAAGUAUAUUAUUGUUCAUACAAAAGUCGGGCAAGUAAAAUAUAACACCUUUAGUUCAUAAGGAUGGAAUGCGGGUGCGUGCGUUUACAUAGGUGAGUAUAUGUGCAUAAGUAUGUGNNNNNNGUGUGUCCAUCUUUACUGUAUUAAAAAAAGCGUUCAUUUUAUACCGAAAAGAAGCAACAUGAAUUUUUAUAGAGAAAAACACCCAAAAGGUAUCUUAUGUCUAAUUACUCCUAUAAAUGAUGAUGGAGUGCCCCGGAAUUGGCGCCCUCGCGCGCGCUCCACAUCGUCUUAUCCACUAGCGCCUCACGUCGGUGCCUGUCUCACGCCCUCCCUACCUUCCAAUCGGACCAUGUCACUCCUUAUAGAGCCGGCAUCCUCGGGGUCCAUGAAUCAUGAGUCACGACCGUGUCCAUGGCCUCCUUUCUGUAGUGUUUUUGUUGCCCCUGCGUGCGCAUUUCCCGCGGUUGGUCGUUGUGGGUGUAGCCAUGCCUUGCCCGAUGGUGUGGAGGUUGCUUCUCGGCUUGUGUGAGCCACUUUCAUGGUAUUCGGUUUUUCCGGGAGUGAUAUAUAGGUUUUACCCCUAAGUUUGACAUAUUUGAGACUAAUUACCCCGUUUAAAAUAAUUUCAUCCAUUGUACCCCAUUUAACAAAAAAUUUGCCACAAUUUACCCCUUUUGAAACUUAAAGCGUUCUGAGUGGUGUGUCAUAAUUAUUAGAUCCAACUCGAGUGCCACGUAUAGAGGUUUUUUAAGGUAUUUUUUCUGCAUACUAAACGGCUUCGCACGGUUUCUAUCUACCGACCAGACUAUACCGAUGGGAAGCAGACGCAUGUCCUCGAACAAUUUAUAAAGUUACACGUCGCUUGAGUCCAGUGCACCAUGAUCAUUCAAUCCCGCUGCAUAUUUCAUUGAGUCUGUUGCGCCAGAGUGGCCUCCAAUCAUGGUACACAUCGCUCGCCUCUAGUCACAUAGAGGAUCGUGCCCAAGUCUGGCCGAGUCCACUUCGCUCCUUCCUUCUGAGAGGGGAGGACGAACGUAUGCGAUGAGCGGUAGGCGACAUGUCAAGUUUUCACUGGGAUUGUUCGAGCUGCAAGCAGCAACCGAUAUGUCAAUCUCCUUCUCUCUUACGCUUGCUUGAAUUCUCUGUUUUUCACUUCAGUGGUUAGGCUUUCAGUUUUGCUCUUAGUCCAGGAUGCAUAUCACAUGGGUUCCGGACAAUUGUUUCUGGUUUGAAGAUCUCCGAUGAGAUGAAUAUUAUUAGUGGAAACAUUAUUGGAUUUUUUUAUUGAUAUAAUCCCGAAUCAGUUUCUGUUUUCUAUAUGUAAAAGGAACUUAAGUUUUCUAUACGUAAGAUGAGAGCAUUUGGAUAACCAUAUAUUCCAUGCUAAUAGCAUGCUGAAAGACACUAGUAAUAGGGAAAUCUGCGAACUUUGUGUCUGAGCGUCUUCUUGUUGUAUGGAUUUUAUCCGCUAAUUAGUGAUUUUGGUUUUCUUGCACAAAUCAUAUGGCAACCGAGAUGUGGAGCGUUAGGUCCACUUUUCAUGUCCGUGGAUACAAUAAUCCAGAGCCAGAGUUGAUUGAGACGGAUUUCAUUAGUUAUUUUGAUAUAAAGGAGAGGACAAAAGAGUUGGGUUUCAACCAUUGUGACAUCGUUUAUUAUGAGAAGAAAGGGGACAAUGGGAACUCCAUGGUUGAGUUAAUAAAUGACACUAGUGUUAUGAAGAUGCUUGAGGAGUUUGAUGCUUAUAAGGAGAUCGAUUUGCAUGUUUUCAGAACCUUGGAUCCAAAUACAUUUCCAUUUUCCAGGAAUGGUGUUGAUUCUUACAAGCCAAUAGUUGUGGUCUUGUUGAAGAGAAUAAUGAAGAGGACAAUAAAAAUGUGGAGAUGCUUUCAGAUGUAUAGUACAAUGAUCAAGUGGAAUACUAGAGGUAUUUGAAUGGGCAAGAUUAUGGAACUUAUUCAAGUGAUGAAGAUUUUGAUGUUGUUGCUGAAACAGAGAAGUUGAGAGCCAUGUAUGCUAAAAUGAAGGAGAAAGAAUUGCCAGAAAAGGGUGUGUAUUUAGAGGAUGAAUUUGAAGAUUUAUUUGAUGUCACAGAAGGCUUAGAUGGCAUUGAUCUUGAUGACAUUGCUCUUCCACAAACACAAAUGGAGAAAGACAUGAAUUUUGCAAAGAAAGAGGAAGCAAGACAUAAAAAAGGAGAAGACAACUAAGAAGAUGGCAUUGGCAAGGAGAAGGGACCAUAAGAAGAAAUUAGUUGACGGUGACUUUGAGCUUUUAGAUUCUCCAAACUCAGAUGGUGAAAAUGAUCCUUUAGGACAAGGUAUCGAUGAAAAUGAAGAUUCACGUUUGAUAGUUUUAUUACAAGGGAGAAAAAGAAGAAGGCCCAAGAUGUUGUUAGACCCAAGAAUGCAAUUUGAUGAUACUUACCUUAAUGAUGCUGAUAGUAUGCUAGAACAACUUGUCAAAGGGAUGUGUUUCAAAUCUUACAUUCUUAAGAAGUUGAUACUACUAGCAUUCUCUCAACAUGCAUAUCAUCCACGUGAGCGUUUUGCCGCAUAGGCUUUCACACACAGCUAUUUACACGAGCAAGUGUAAUCUUUGGCACCCUUCCACAUCCAUCAGAUAAAAAUGUUUAUUGCUAUACUCUUCAUGCAAGAGUUAAUCUCGCUGGCAUGCCUAAUAAACCACAUUCAAUACGUGCAUGCAAUGGAGCAUCAAAAUACCCGCGACCUUGAUCAUGAUAAAAUUACUCGCAAGUCAUGUGUCUCAUUAAUUAGCAUUUGGCAUUUGGAUGAGGUAAUCCUUUCUCGACUCCAUCCUUUUUGGCCAAUGUGGGGACAUGGGAGAUUGAUCCAUUUAAUGGCAAUGCUGAUUCCGGAGGUGUUAUCAUUACCCUUCGUCUUAGCAGCUUAGCUUAUUAAUCUGAACGAAUACAUCUCCAUCGAUCCUCAAAAAAUAUCCACCAAUUCUUCUCAUCUUCCGCAUCUCCACCUCUCUCUCCAAAAUAGGUUUCCACCGGCCAAGCCUUAUGGGUUAUCUCCAUCGAAGGUGGUCCGCUCACUACGCCAAAGUCUUAUGAUCAUUCUUUCUAACUCUACCUUUCUCGUGGCCCCGCGAUCCUUGUCAUCGAUGGUUAUGAUGGCCCAAGACGUUCUCCGAGACAUCGAUAAGAUGAGUUGUACGUGUACAUGCCACCGCCGAUGUCCUCCUCCAACAUCACUAGAGGUGGGUGCUUUCUUUCCUCUCAAUGUUCUCAGAUAUUAACAUAAUUUUUGAGUUGGUUCGAAGGUCUGAUUUUUGUGUGCUCGGAAAUUUAAUUGUAGGAACCUCUGUUCCAUCUCGAGUGAUCUCCUCCGUGGUAAUAAUCUAGUCAGUCUCUCUCCACCAAACUCCUUUCUAACUCAGUUAUUGCAUACACACAUAUGUCGGGAUAAGAUGAAUCAUUGAUGUUUCUCCAAUCCGAUUGUUUUUUAUUGGGGCGCUAGAUGGUGAAAUUUUCUUAUUCCUUUUGUGUUCUUUAGGGUUCUCGAGAGAACAAGUACAUGAAGUUAGAAUGUAUUGUUCUAAACUACAACUACAUCUCGCUAUCUUCCUCCCUUCACACAUAAUAAUUCAGUACAAAUUGUGUAAUUUUAUUCCUCUUCUUUGGUUGUUUUGUAGAAUCAUAACAUAUGGCAUAUUGGCAUAUCGGGGUUCAUUUUCAGGUUAUUUGUUCUCUAUGAGUAGUAUUUAAUUGUGAAUUUCAUGGGAUCUUUCUAUUACAUGAGUUAUAUAAUUGUGUGUUUAACAAUUUUGUUCUUCCCGUACUGCACGACUCUACCAUUGUCACAACAAUCAUCUACCUAUGUAAAUGAAUGAAAUAUAUGUGAACACACUUGCAUUCUCUCUCAAAUUUAAGGUAACUAUAUGUGGUGCCUAUAGACUUAAUAUACAUUUUUUUGUAGUAAUAAUAUCAGUAUGUGAUUAUUAUGGUACUAAUAACAAUCCUAACCUCAGAGGUUUCUUUCGAAUGAUUACUAAGUGGAUAAGGUAUAGGAUUAUGUAGUAAAAUGGAGUGCACAUGUGUCUACUCAGCAGCCAUGACAUUUUGUAUAGCUGGUUAUGUUUCGCUCAAUAACUGGAUCAAGGUGAAGAAUGAUUACUAUUCAGAUGCAUUAACACCGCAAGGCUCACAAAUUAGUAUGAAAUAUAUUCGUUUCUUGCUCUGAUGCACUUCUAAUAGACAAUCGAAUGAUAUGUUAAAAUAUUAUGAGAAAAAACUCAUUACAAUAUAUGUUACUUCUCUUUAUGUUGGUGAUGCAUUCUUCUAAUUAUGCAAAUAUGGAGAUAACUGACCAUAUAUUAAUAGGUCCAACUUUUUAUACCAUUCAAAGAUUCAAAUAGACGUAUAUUUAUAUUAUUGUUUCCAUCAAUUCCAUAAUUUCUCACUCUAUAUAACCUCCUAUAUACUACUACACAUUCCCGGAGCAACGCACGUGGUGUCAUCUAGUAUGUCAAAGAUUGUAGAGUAGCACUUAAGUCAUUCAUAUAUUGCAAGGACGAAGCUUUGGUUUUGUGAAGAAUAAGAUGGAAAAGGUGAAGGUGCAUUGCACACAGCCAAAUUGCGCCUUCUAUCUUUUUGCAUCAAAGAUAGCUAGUGAGUCCACUUCUAUGGUCAGAGAGGAUGUAGAGCCACACUCGUGUGGAUUAAUAGAGUGGACACUAGGCUGAAUUCCACAUGGAUAGCUUCUCAUUAUGAGGCUCAGUUCAGAGUUGAUCCCAAUUGGAGGCUUGAUGCUUUCAUGGAGGCUGUUAAGGGAGAUUUUAAUUUUGAAAUAAGAAAGAGGAUAGCAUAUAGGGCUAUAUCUUAUGCCCAAAAGAAGGUUCUUGGGGAUGAAUACAAGCAAUAUCUUAGAAUUAGAGACUACUUGCAUACAUUAUUGAACAAAAAUCAUGGAAGCAUCGCUAUAGGUACCACUCAGCCAAAUCUCAAGCCACAUGCCAAUGCUAAUCCUCUAUUCACCGGGCUGUUUGUGAGUUUUCAUUCACAAGACCCAGGAUUCUUAUUCGGCUAUAGGCCAUUCAUUGGAUUAGAUGGUUGUUUUGUCAAGCUAGCUAAUGGUGCACAAGUUUUAGCUGCCUCCACAAGAGAUGGCAACAACAACAUGUUUCCUUUAGUGUUUGGAGUGGUUAACAUAAAGGACAUUAACAAUUGGACAUGAUUUCUGCAAACACCAGAGUCAGCAAUUGGAUAGGGAGAGCAACAUGGUGGAUGGACAAUCAUGUGAGAUAGGGAGAAGGUAAUAACAUAUUUCUUAUCUUUUUCAUUUAUAUGUUACAUUUGAUUUGCAUGUUGUAACUGACAACUCUUCCAUUUAUUUGUGAGAGGGAUUACUUUCAGCAGUCACAAAGAUUUUUCCAUGUUGUGAACAUAGAUUUUGCAAAAGGCACGUUCUCACAAACUUCUCUAGAGCUAGAUUCAGAGGUGAAAUCUACAAGAAAUACUUUGAUAAGGUUGUUUAUGUAUUCACUUUGAAUGAGUACAAUAUUGACAUGGAGAACUUGAAAUCUUAUGACUUAGAAGCAUGGACGUGGGUUAGAGAAAUACCCAAGGAGCACAUUAGUAGGCAUGCUUUCAACACAAGAUCCAAGACUGAUCUUGUUGUGAACAACCUCAGUGAGGUGUUCAACAAAUACAUCCUUGACUAUAGAUAAAAGCCAAUUCGUACCAUGACGGGGCUCAUCAGAACUAGAGUUAUGAAAAUAUUUUGUUUGAAAAGAAAGGGAUGUGAGUCGGUGGCUAAGAGCAAAGCAAGGUAUUGCACAACUCAUCAAUUUAGUGUUGGGCUUUCGCAAGUAAACAACACUGAUAAGACCAAUGAAGUAAACAUGCUUAAUAAGACUUGUGGUUGUUUCAGAUUUCAAUUAUGUGGUUUUCCUUGUGAACAUGCGUGUGCAACUAUAUUUAAGGCUAAGGAAAGGCGUGAGAAUUAUGUUGAUGAUUUCUUCAAGUUGAAAAAUUACAAGAAAUCAUAUGGACACAUGAUAUACCCUGUUCCACAUGAAUCUGAGUGGAUUAAGACAUCAAGUCCAGACAUCGAGCCACUAGGUUACACUAUUCAACCAGGAAGGCCAAAGAAAAAUAGAAUAAAAGGGCAUGAGGAGAGUGGUUAUGCUUAUGCAAGAGAAAAAGAAGGAACAAUACAUUGUGGAAAUUGCAAGGAACUUGGCCACAAUGUCAAGGGCCGCAACAAGCCACUAAGAGCAUAUCUUGCUCUUAGGGUGAGAAAACAUGUGGUAAGCGCUCUCUUUUCCUUAAGAAAUUACAUUGCCGGUACUUGAUUCAAGUAUGGUACCAAAUAACCGCAUUUUUACUCUCUACAAUGCAAGACAUUGACAACAAGAACACAUCGGAGAAAUGCCAGUCCACCAGAUACACCUAAUACAGAACCUAAGCUACUCUAAGAGCGGGUGCAACAACAACUAGUAGGGGGAGAGGAAAAGUAGCUACAAAGAAGCCUAGAAGUUCAGCAUCGGGAGCACCUAUGACUGCUAGCACUGCUGCUCCAACAGAAUCUAGUAAGGGGAGAGAAAUAGGAGCAUCCAAAGUACCUAAAGGUACUCCUAAAACAUCAACUGGUAAGGGGAGAGGAAGAGGAGCACCUAAAGUAUCUGCAGCUAAAUUCCAGGUAAAAGAAUCACUUCUAGAAUAAAUGUAGGUGGCAAUAUUUUAUUGUUGUUUACAUCAUCUCAUAAUAUUCAGGUCCAAGAAUCACAUGCAUCAUUAUCAAGUGAUGCAGCAAUUGUGAGAGGAAGAGGGCCUGCUAGUAGUGGAACGGGGUUGCAUUUCAACCUAAUUAUGGACAUAAUAGAUCUUAUGGAAGAAGUUCAAGUGGGAGAAUGCACUCCUAGUUCACCAUUGGUGCUAGUGCAACUGCUACAGAUGGUGGUGCUAGAGAGGAGUAGCAAUUACCUCAUUUGAUAGCCUAUAUAGUUAAAAACUCAUGUCUCAUGUUUUUAUUUUGAACCCCUAUUAUGUUUUUAUUUUAAUAUCUCUAUCAUGUUGAACUCAUGCCUCAUGGAGAACUCAUAUGCAGAGUUUGAUUUGAUGAUGUUUACCUUCUUUGUGUAAUGGAUUAGGAAAAUGCAAUGUGGACAAAAGGCAUGUGUUCUGUCAAAAAUAUGGUAGCUUAUAUCAGACUUAUGCACAUCGUUAUGUGAUGACCCACAAGUAUAGGGGAUCAAUCGUAGUCCUUUCGAUAAGUAAGAGUGUCGAACCCAACGAGGAGCAGAAGGAUCUGACAAGUGGUUUUCAGCAAGCUAAAAUCUGCAGGCACUGAAAUUGUCGGUAACAAGUGAUUGUGUGGUGAGAUGAUUCGUAGCAAGCAACAAGUAGAAAAAGUAGAAAUGGUGUAGCAAAGUGGCCCAAUCCCUUUUGUAGCACAGGACUAGCCUGAAAAAAGUCUUAUAGGAGAAAAAACGCUCCUGAGGACACACGGGAAUUUCUGUCACGCUAGUUUCAUCAUGUUCAUAUGAUUCGCGUUUGUUACUUUGAUAGUUUGAUAUGUGGGUGGACCGGCGCUUGGGUACUUACCUUACUUGGACAAGCAUCCACUUAUGAUUAACCCCUCUCGCAAGCAGCCGCAACUACGAAAGAAGAAUUAAGACAAAGUCUAACCAUAGCAUUAAACUAGUGGAUCCAAAUCAGCCCCUUACGAAGCAACGCAUAAACUAGGGUUUAAGCUUCUGUCACUCUAGCAACCCAUCAUCUACUUACUACUUCCCAAUUCCUUCCUCUAGGCCCAAAUAAUGGUGAAGUGCUAUGUAGUCGACGUUCACAUAACACCACUAGAGGAAAAACAACAUACAACAUAUCAAAUUACCGAACGAAUACCAAAUUCACAUGACUACUAUUAGCAUGACUUAUCCCAUGUCCUCAGGAGCAAAAGUAACUACUCACAAAGCAUAAUCAUAUUCAUGACCAGAGAGGUAAUGAAUAGCAUCAAGGAUCUGAACAUAAACUCUUCCACCAAAUAAUCCAACUAGCAUCAACUACAAAGAGUAAUCAACACUACUAGCAACCUUACAAGUACCAAUCGGAGUCGCGAGACGGAGAUUGGUUACAAGUGAUGAACUAGGGUUUGGAGAUGAGAUGGUGCUGAUGAAGAUGUUGAUGGUGACGAGUCGCCUCCGAUGAGAGGAGUGUUGGUGAUGACGAUGGCGACGAUUUCCCCCUACGGGAGGGAAGUUUCCCCGGCAGGAUCGUCCUGCCGGAGCUCUAGAUUGGUUCUGCUCAAGUUCUGCCUCGUGGAAGCGGCGAAACCACGAAAAAGCUACUCCUUGAUUUUUUCCUGGAAAAAACCCUCCAUAUAGAAAAAGAGGGGAGCAAGUGGGCCAGUGGGCUGCCAACAAGCCCUCAUGGCGCGACCUGGGGGGGUGGCCACACCGUGCAGGCUUGUGGGCACCCCCUGGUGCCCCUCUUGCACUUCUUCGGCCCAGUAUUUUUGAUAAAUCGGGAAAAAAAAUCCUCGUUGAUUUUUACGGCAUUUGGAGUUGCGUAGGAUAGGUAUCUCAACUUUGCUCCACUUUCAGGCCAGAAUUCGAGUUGCCGGCAUUCCCCCUCCUCAUGUAUACCUUGCAAAAUAAGAGAGAAAAGGCAUAAGAAUAGUACCGUGAAGUGAAAUAACAACCAAUGAAGCGAUAGAUAUCAACAUGAAAACAUGAUGCAAAAUGGACGUAUCAACUCCCCAAGCUUAGACCUCGCUUGUCCUCAAGCGAAAGCCUAGCUCAAUAAAUAUGUCCACAUGUUUAGGGAGAGAGGUGUCGACAAAACAAGAUACGAACAUGCAUGCAUCAUGAUCAUGAUCAGAACAGCAAUACCAACAUAUAAUCUCUCAUGCUAAAGUGACAAUUCCUUCACAAAGUAAAGCAUGGAUCAAGAACCUUACCGAGAAGUAACAACCGAUAGCCUUUAGUCAUUGAAGCAAUUGCAAUUUAUGACAACAUCAGAAAGAGUCAAAUAAGAGCUUGUAAAGAAAACCCACAUACUCAAACAUUCUUUCGUCCUCUACAAUUGCUACAACUCACGUGGUACUCAUGAGAUCAAAGUUUCAGGUGGACACAUAGAAAGAUAGGGGCUUAUAGUUUUGCCUCCCAACUGCUUACCUCAAGGGUAAUGUCAACAAUAAUAAUUCAUGAAUACUUACCCCCCAAGUUGACAUAUGAAUAUAGAUCUUUCCCAAGCAUAUGACGGUAGCCAAGAUAAAGGCGGAAUAAGGAAUUGGUGAAGAUCACCAUGACUCUUUCAAGGGAAAAAAGUAAAGGUACAAGAUAGGCCCUUCGUAGAGGGAAGCAGAGGUUGUCAUGCGCUUUUGAGGUUUGGAUAGGUGCCCUGUUAGUGGGUAGGAACGUCACUUUAUAUUGCCCCCUGUGAUAAAGAACUUUAUUAUGCAGUCUGUCGCUUUUAUGUCUUCCUCAUCACAGGUUCGUAUAAAGCUUAUUUUCCACACACUAAUAGAUCAUACAUAUUAGAGAGCAAUUUUUAUUGCUUGCACCGAUGACAACUUACUUGAGGGAUAUUAUUCAAUCCAUAGGCAGGUAUGGUGGACUCUCAUGGCAAAAUGGGUUGAAGGUUUAUGGAUGCACAAGUAGCAUCUCUACUUAGUGCGGGAGGUUUGGCUAAUGUGAGGUGGAAGCAAUCGUCACAUGCAAAGGGAUCUCUAAUCAUAUAACAUUGUUCGGAACCAAGCAAACACAAUUCAUUAUGUUGUCUUCCUUGUCCAACAUCUACUUCUAGGCAUGCAAUAGUUUAGUGAGUGUUCACAAUCAUAGAUGGUGUCAGAGAUGAUAUAUUUAUAUGUGAACCUCUCCUUCUUUAUCACUUCCUAUUAAUUGCAACAAUGACCAAGGUCUACGUUUGCCUACCCUCAACAAGUUUCAAUCCUCAUUCUUUUUAUAUGUGAAGCCAUCACUUCCCAUAAGAUCAUUACAUGAUCUUUCAUGCUUUUGUUCUAUUCUCACUCUUUUGAUCAUGGCAAGAGGCAAAGCCCUUCAACUAAGAUACUCUUUAUUAUAUGGCUCACGAGCAAGAAUACAUUGGAGGUGACACAAAGCAAAACUCAAGACUAAAACACUAAGACUUUUAAACUACUAGAGAAAGAGAAAACUGAAAAGGAAAACUAAAACAAAAGGUAAAGGCAAAAGAUGUGAUGGUGAUACGAUACCGGGGCAACUCCCCCAAGCUUGGCACAAGCCAAGGGGAUUGCCCAUACCAAUGCUCAGUUGCCUUCCUUUGGUGGUGAUGGUGGAGUUGUUGCAACUUGAGUUUGAUCCUCCGUCUUCCAAGGCAUAGGUGCUCCAUCAUGGAAAGAUGAAUGAGUCUCCAGAAUCCUCAAAUUUGCAGCCAACCAUAUAGAUUUAAAUCUAUACUCAUACUCAGAGUUUUGGUUCUGUAGGUCAUAGAUCUGGGCCUGGAGUUGAUCAAUCCUGUCAUAGAGCCUGGAGAGGUGCUUUCUAAUGUCAUUGGCGUCAAUCCUGUGCUUGUUGGUGAACUCCGUGAUCAUCAUGUGGUUGGUGUUGAGUCCACGCUCCACCAUCCCUUCGCACUUGAAGACUUGUUGUUCCAUUGCUUCGAGCCUCGUCUCCAUGCUUCCGCUCUUCUUAGGCCCCUCAACAUCACGGAUGUGCAACAUCCCCUCUCGCAUCUCGAUAGAUUGAGGGUGUUGCAACACUCCCGUGAGGUAGGGAUUGAUGACCUUCUCGAAGAUCUUGUCCUUCGGAGCUUUUGGAGAAGUCAUAGCGAUCUAGAUCUGCAACAGAAACAGGCUCGACACAAAAAACAGAGGAAAUCUGCGUGAUGCAUGGGUCAGAGCAAAUGGAAGUAUAUAUAAUGAUUUUUUUCAGACCAGAAGGAGUACCUUGCACGAAAACGGAGUCCGCGAGGCCCAUGAGGUGGCCACAAGCCCUCACGACACGGCCAGGGGGUGGGCCCGCGCCGUGCAGGCUUGUAGCCUCCUCGCGCACUUUCCGCACUACUUCCAAUUUUUGUAUUUUUUCAAAUAUUCCAAAAUGGAGAAAAUUUCCUACUGGAAAAUUUUUGGACUGUGUUUUCUUACCGAAUCACAUACCUCUUCGUUUUCGGAGUCUGAAACAGGUUGAUAAAUAUCUCUUAGGUAUUCUUUCGGGGUUAUGGUAUUGAUGAUAUUGCUUUAAACAUUUAUGGGAGUACCUGAGAUAUAAUGCUUGAUUCUCUGCCCAUUUACCACUCUCGGACAAUUACCUUCCAUGUUGUUGAUCUUGAUAGCACUGAAACGAUAUACUUCCUCAACAACAUAGGGACCUUCCCAUUUAGAGAGAAGCUUGCCUGCAAAGAAUCUUAAACGAGAGUUAUAUAGCAAGACAUAAUCACCUACAUUGAACUCAUGUUUUUGUAUCCUCUUAUCAUGCCACCUCUUAACCUUCUCUUUGAACAACUUUGCAUUCUCAUAUGCCUGAGUUCUCCACUCAUCAAGCAAGCUAAUAUCAAAUAACCUCUUCUCACCGGCAAGUUUGAAAUCAAAGUUGAACUCUUUGAUUGCCCAAUAAGGUUUAUGCUCUAGCUCAAGAGGUAAAUGACAUGCUUUACCGUACACCAUUCUUUAUGGAGACAUGCCCAUGGGAUUCUUAUAGGCAGUUCUAUAAGCCCACAGUGCAUCAUCGAGCUUCUUAGACCAAUUCUUUCUAGACCUGUUGACGGUCUUUUGUAGAAUUAGUUUAAUCUCUCUAUUUCUUAGCUCUACUUGACCACUGGACUGAGGGUGAUAGGGAGACGCAAUUCUAUGGUUGACAUCAUACUUAGUAAGCGUUUUACGGAAAGCACCAUGAAUGAAGUGUGAACCACCGUCGGUCAUUAGAUAUCUAGGGACUGCAAAUCUAGGGAAGAUAACUUCUUUCAGCAUCUUGAUAGAGGUGUUGUGAUCAACACUACUAGUGGGGAUAGCUUCUACCCACUUAGUGACAUAAUCACAACAACUAGGAUGUGAGUAUACCCGUUGGAUUUUGGAAAAGGUCCCAUAUAAUCAAAGCCCCAAACAUCAAAUGGUUCAAUGACAAGUGAAUAGUUCAUAGGCAUUUCCUGAGUUUGCUAAUAUUACCUAUUCUUUGACAUUCGUCACAAGACAAGACAAACUUACGGGCAUCCUUGAAGAGAGUGGGCCAACAGAAACCUGAUUGCAAUAGCUUGUGUGCAGUUCUAUCUCCCGCAUGGUGUCCUCCGUAGGCCUCGGAGUGAAACUUCUGCAGGAUCUGUCCCUGUUCUUGUUCAGGUACACAACGUCUAAUAACACCAUCUAUUCCUUCCUUAUAAAGGUGAGGAUCAUCCCAAAAGUAGUGUCUCAAGUCAAAGAAGAAUUUCUUAUUUUGCCGGUAUGUGAAACUAGGUGGUAUGUAUUUGGCAACGAUGUAGUUUGCAUAAUCAGCAUAGCAUGAUGCACUACGUGAAGCAUUGAUGACAUUCAAUUGCUCAUCGGGAAAGCUAUCAUCAAUAGGUUGUGGGUCAUCAAGGACGUUCUCCAACCUAGACAAGUUAUCUGCUACUGGGUUAUCAGCACCCUUUCUGUCAACAACGUGCAAAUCAAAUUCUUGUAGCAAGAGAACCCAUCUAAUAACUCUAGGUUUAGCGUCUUUCUUGUCCAUGAGGUACUUAAUAGCAGCAUGAUGAGUGUGAAUAGUGACUUUGGAAUCAACUAUGUAAGAUCUGAAAUUUUCACAUGCAAACACGACUGCUAAAAAUUCCUUUUCCGUAGUGGCAUAGUUUCUCUGGGCACUGUCUAGAGUUUUACUAGGGUAGUGAAUAACAUUCAACUUCUUAUCAAGUCUUUGCCCUAGAACAACACCAACAUCAUAGUCACUAGCAUCACACAUGAUCUCAAAAGGAAAGUUCCAAUCAGGUGGUUGAACAAUAGGUGCAGUUAUCAAAGCCCUCUUAAGUAUUUCGAAGGCUUCCUCACAAUCAUCGUCAAAGACAAAAGGAAUAUCCUUUUGCAAGAGAUUGGUAAGAGGCCUAGAAAUCUCAGAGAAGUCUUUAAUGAAUCUUCUAUAGAAACCAGCAUGACCAAGGAAACUUCUUAUACCUUUGAUAUCUAUGGGGUAUGGCAUUUUCUCGAUUGCAUCAACCUUAGCCUUAUCGACUUCAAUACCUCUUUCAAAAAUUUAUGUUCUAAGACGAUGCCUUCAUUAACCAUAAAGUGGCACUUCUCCCAAUUCAACAUAAGAUUGGUGUCUGUACAUCUCUGUAAGACUCGAUCAAGGUUGCUGAGGCAAUCAUCAAAGGAAGACCCGUAAACGGAGAAGUCAUCCAUGAAAACCUUAACAAUCUUUUCACAAAAGUCAGAGAAUAUAGCCAUCAUACAUCUUUGAAAGGUGGCAGGUGCAUUACAUAAGCUAAAAGGCAUACAUCUAUAAACAAAGGUACCGAAAGGGCAGGUGAAAGUGGUUUCUCCUGAUCAUAUUGUGCAACUAGUAUUUGGGAGAAACCAGAAUAACCGUCUAGAAAGGAGAAGUGUGUGUGUUUAGACAGCCUUUCUAGAAUUUGGUCGAUAAAAGGCAGAGGGUAAUGAUAUUUCCUAGUGGCCUUAUUCAACUUCAUAAAAUCAAUCACCAUCCUAUAGCGAGUAAUAAUCCUCUGUGGGAUCAAUUCAUCCUUAUCAUUAGGGACAACGGUAAUGCCUCCCUUCUUAGGAACGCAAUGCACCGGACUUACCCAAUCGCUAUGAGCAAUAGGAUAGAUAAUACCCGCUUCUAGGAGCUUUAGUAUUUAUUUUCUUACUACUUCUUUCAUCUUAGGAUUUAAUCUCCUUUGAUGAUCAACAACUGGUUUGAAAUCAGGAUCAGUUUUGAUCUUGUGCUGGCAUAGAGUGGGACUAAUGCCCUUAAGAUCAUCAAGAGUAUAUCCAAUAGCAGCACGACGCUUCCUCAGAGUUUUUAGUAACUUAUUUUCUUCAUGCUCCGAGAGGCUAGCACUAAUUAUAACAGGAUAUAUCUCUUUUUCAUCAAGAUAGGCGUACUUAAGAGUAUGCGGCAACUGUUUAAGCUCGAACACAGGAUCACCCUUUGGUGGGGGUGGAUCCCCAAGCAGUUCAACAUGCAAGUUAUUCUUAACGAUAGGAUAUUGUUCCAAGACAACUCUAUCUAUUUCAGCCCUUUCAUCCAUAUGCAUAUCAUUUUCAUGCUCAAGCAAGUAUUGCUCUAAGGGAUCAGUAGGAGGCACAUCAAUAGAAGCUAAGGCAAUAGUUUCAUCCUUACUAGGCAACUCCUUUUCAUGAGGUUGUCUACCAAACUUAGAGAAACUGAACUCAUGUGACACACCUUCAAAGCCAACAGUGACAGUUUGCUUCUCACAAUCAAUAUGAGCAUUGGCAGUAUUGAGAAAAGGUCUGCCAAAUAUGAUGGGACAAAAGCUAUCUUGUGCGGUAGCAAGAACGAGGAAAUCAGCAGGAUACUUCGUUUUACCACACAAGACUUCAACAUCCCUAACAAUUCCGACAGGGCAGAUAGUAUCUCUAUUGGCAAGCUGAAUAGUGACAUCUAUAGGUUCUAUCUCUACAGGUGCAAUCUCAUCUUUGAUUUCAUCGUAUAAGGAUUGAGGUAUUGCACUAACACUAGCACCCACGUCACAUAAGCCAUGAUAACAAUGAUCUCCUAUCUGAACAGAAACCACAUGCAUACCAACAACAGGCCUAUGUUUGUCUCUAGCGUGAGGUUUAGCAAUUCUAGCAGCAUCUUCACAGAAGUGAAUAUUAUGUCCCUCAACAUCGUCGGACAGAAGAUCUUUGAUGAUAGCAAUGCUAGGUUCAACUCUAAUCUGCUCUGGGGGUGUAGGUGUUCUAAUGUAGCCUCUACAUAUCACAGUUGAAGCUUUAGAAUGAUCCUUUAUCCUAAUAGGGAAAGGUGGUUUCUGAAUGUAGGCACUGGGAACAAUAGGAUCGUUAUAGGGAAUGAAUUUCUCUUCAACAGGAGUGGGUUUAACUACAUUGACUUCUAAAGGAGGAUGAUAUUUAAACCACUUCUCUCUAGGGAGAUCAACAUGAGCAGCAAAGGAUUCACACAAUGAAGCUACUAUCUUAGAGUCAAGUCCAUACUUAGUGCUAAAGUCACAAAAAGUAUUUGUCUCAACAAAGGAUUUAACGCAAUCAAACAUGAAAUUCAUACCUGACUCCUUACCUUCUUCAAGCUCCCAAUCUUGAGAGUUGCGUUUGAUUCUCUCCAAUAAAUUCCAUUUGAAGUCAAUAUCUCUCUUCAUAAAAGAACCGGUACAAGAAGUGUUAAGCAUGGUGCGAUCAUCAUGAGAAAGCCGAGCAUAGAAAUUCUGAAUGAUAAUUUCUCUCGAGAGCUCAUGAUUGGGGCAUGAAUAUAGCAUUGAUUUAAGCCUCCCCCAAGCUUGAGCGAUGCUUUCUCGAUUGUAGUCUCAUGAUCCAGUAUCAUCACAUAGCCUAUACCAUGUCAACGCCUUAUCCUUCAAAGAUAAAGGAAAGACCUUCUUCUUGACCUCAUCCUUGGGCACACCUGCAAGCUUAAAUAAACCACUAACCUCAUCUACAUAGAUUAGAUGCAAGUCCAGAUGUGAUGUUCCAUCUCCUGUAAAAGGAUUAGCUAGCAGUUUCUCAAGCAUAUCCGAAGGAAAUUGAAAGCAAAUAUUUUCAGUAGGUGCAGCAGGUUGAGGAGCAACUCUUUGUGCUUCUGUUUGAGGUGAAGAUACCCCGAACAAGCCCCUCAAAGGAUUAGUAUCCAUAGUGACAAGUGACAACAAAUUUCAGCACACUAUAUGAAUGUUUCCUUACCAAGUUCCACUUACCAAAGGCGCUUCACUCCCCGGCAACGGCGCCAGAAAAGAGUCUUGAUGACCCACAAGUAUAGGGGAUCAAUCGUAGUCCUUUCGAUAAGUAAGAGUGUCGAACCCAAUGAGGAGCAGAAGGAUCUGACAAGUGGUUUUCAGCAAGGUAAAAUCUGCAGGCACUGAAAUUGUCGGUAACAAGUGAUUGUGUGGUGAGAUGAUUCGUAGCAAGCAACAAGUAGCAAAAGUAGCAACGGUGCAACAAUGUGGCCCAAUCCCCUUUUUAGCAAGGGACAAGCCUGGACAAAGUUUUAUAGGAGGAAAAACGCUCCCGAGGACACACGGAAAUUUCUGUCAUGCUAGUUUCAUCAUGUUCAUAUGAUUCGCGUUCGUUACUUUGAUAGUUUCAUAUGUGGGUGGACCGGUGCUUGGGUACUGCCUUACUUGGACAAGCAUCUCACUGAUGAUUAACCCUCUCGUAAGCAUCCGCAACUACAAAAUAAGAAUUAAGACAAAGUCUAACCAUAGCAUUAAACUAGUGGAUCCAAAUCAGCCCCUUACAAAGCAACGCAUAAACUAGGGUUUAAGCUUCUGUCACUCUAGCAACCCAUCAUCUAAUUACUACUUCCCAAUGCCUUCCUCUAGGCCCAAAUAAUGGUGAAUUGUUAUGUAGUCGACGUUCACAUAACACCACUAGAGGAAAAACAACAUACAACAUAUCAAAUUACCGAAUGAAUACCAAAUUCACAUGACUACUAUUAGCAUGACUUAUCCCAUGUCCUCGGGAACAAAAGUAACUACUCACAAAGCAUAAUAAUAUUCAUGACCAGAGAGGUAAUGAAUAUCAUCAAGGAUCUGAACAUAAACUCUUCCACCAAAUAAUCCAACUAGCAUCAAUUACAAAGAGUAAUCAACACUACUAGCAACCUUACAAGUACCAAUCGGAGUCGCGAGACGGAGAUUGGUUACAAGUGACAAACUAGGGUUUGGAGAUGAGAUGGUGCUGAUGAAGAUGUUGAUGGUGACGAGUCCCCUCCCAUGAGAGGAGUGUUGGUGAUUACGACGACGACGAUUUCCCCCUCCGGGAGGGAAGUUUCCCCGGCAGGAUCGUCCUGCCGGAGCUCUAGAUUGGUUCUGCUCAAGUUCCUCCUCGUGGCAGCGACGAAACCACGAAAAAGUUCCUCCUUGAUUUUUUUCCUUGACGAAACCCUCCAUAUAGCAAAAGAGAGGAGCAAGUGGGCUAGUGGGCUGCCCACAAGCCCUCAUGGCGUGGCCUGGGGGCAUGGCCGCGCCGUGCAGGCUUGUGGGCACCCCCUGUUGCCCCUCCGGCACUUGUUCGGCCCAGUAUUUUUGAUAAAUCGGGAAAAAAAUCCUCAUUGAUUUUUACGUUAUUUGGAGUUGCGCAGAAUAGGUAUCUCAACUUUGCUCCACUUUCAGGCCAGAAUUCCAGUUGCCGUCAUUCUCCCUCUUCAUGUAAACCUUGCAAAAUAAGAGAGAAAAGACAUAAGAAUAGUACCGUGAAGUGAAAUAGUAGCCAAAGAAGCGAUAAAUAUCAACAUGAAAACAUGAUGCAAAACUGAUUCAUAUACAUUAUUGUCAGUUUCACAUGCUAUCAAAAUUGUCGUUCCAAAGUACAAAAAUAAUCCCGCAGCUCUUACAUACAUGGUUUGAUGAAGAGAAAUAGACAAGCAAAAAUAAUAGUUUGAAUUUCUUUCAUCACAUUGAUAUUUGUCCAAAUUCCUACAUACAUAUCGGUAGUUUAAUACUACCACAAAAAUCACACUUCAACGUCACUAGGUCAAUACAACAUCACUAGUUCACUACUUUACAUAUAUAACCACACUCCACCAUCACCAACAGACUCAAAUACACGUAAAGUGGAUGUAGCUACAUUCAGUCACUCAAUUGUUGUCCAAGUACGUCACAACAACAACAACAGCUGCAAACAGAAGCACGACAAAUGAAAUGCCAAGCUCUUUUUUCAUCUGCACCAAGCUGAGCAACUUCACGGCACACAACUCAUGCACUGUUAGCAGCUCAUCAUUCUUCAUGAAAAUGGCUUCUAGGUGAUACAUCAAACCAGCUACCACAUAAUCACUAGAGGAGUUAAUUGCAUCCCUAUUCACACAUACAAUAGGCCAACAAUGUUUGUACAUGGACUUGCAAGGAGAAACAAUUCAGAGGAAGAAAUAAGCUUGCUGACCGUGAUGGUCGAGGGGGAGGGGGGAGCUCGUCGGGGGGGGGGGACUACGUGCUCGAGGCACGGUAUCCGCAUGCCACUGUCGCGCUCUUUCAACACCCACCGCCACAGUUGAUGUCAUUCACCACCCGCAUUUGGCGAUGAUGUCAUUUAACACCCUCAUAUGCCGUUGAUGUCAUUCAGCACCCAUAGUUGCCGUCGAUUCCCUUCAGCACCCGCCGUUGCUGUCGUUAUCGCCGCCGCCGCCUCCACCUCUCUAAGCUAAGCCCUAACCCUAGGCGUGAGCGAGAGAGGUGCAUGCAGUAAGAAGUUGGGAAAACGGUGCGUGUGCUAGAGGCGAACAUGACACGGCUCGGGUCAAUCGUAGAUCACCAGGACCAGGUCGUUUGGUCGGGCACAAUGGUGUGGACUGGUUUAACAUGGUGUCAUCGUUUUGUCAUGACACAUGACAUGGGGUGGCUUAUCUCGAGUGGUUGAGGCCAAUGUUCGCCAGCGUACUCCGGGAAUGGGAUUGGGAACUAUUGGGGAACGUUGCAUGGAAAACAAAUUUUUUUACUACGCACACGAAGACCUAUCAUGGUGAUGAUCAUCUACGAGAGGGAGAUCAGAUCCACAUACCCUUGUAGAUCGCUAAGGGGGAAGCGGUAAGAAACACGGUUGAUGUAGUGUAACGUCUUCACGAUCCAAAUAGCCGUCGUCCCACGAUCCUUCCUGAUCUAGCAUCGAACGGACGACACUAUCUCCGCGUUCAGCACACCUACAACUCGAUGACAAUCUCCACCUUCUUGAUCCAGCAAGAGAGACGAAGAGGUAGAUGAAUUCUCCAGCAGCACGACGCCGUGGAGGUGAUGAUGGUGGAGCUACUCUGGCAAGGCUUCGCCAUGCCGUACCGAACUAGCUACAGGGUGUCACGAAAUAGUGGAUGGAGAGAGGGCUGCACAAAGGCUUGAGGUGCAAAAACGCUCUCAAACCUCCACUAUAUAUAGGAGGAACCAAGGGGAGGGUGGCUUGUCUCCUACUCCAAGGAGGAGGAGUCGGCCCAGCCAAGAGGGAGGAGUCCUCCUCCAAUUCGGUUUGGUGGAGGACUCCUUCCCAUCUUGUNNNNNNNNNNNNNNNNNNNNNNNNNNNNUUCUUUAUUUUUGCCUUGUCAAAAAUAGGCUUAUUGGGCUGGCCUCACAAGCCCACUAAGGGCUGGUGCACCACCAUGGGCCUAUUAGGUCCUCUCCCGGGUGGGUGGCCCUUCCCGGUAAAACCCCGUAACCCAUUCGUCACUCCCGGUACUUUACCCGUAAUGCCCGAAAUCUUUCUGGAAGCCAAAUGCAACAAUCCUAUAUAUGAAUCAUCGUUUCCGGACCAUUCCGGAGACACUCUGACGUCCGAGAUCUCAUUUGGAACUCCGAACAACAUUCGGUUACCAACAUCAAUAAUUCAACUGUACCGAAAACGUCACCGAACCUUAACUGUGCAGACCCUACGGUUCGAGAACUAUGUAGAAUUGACCGAGACACUCUCCGGUCAAUAUAUAAUAGCGGGACCUUGACGUCCAUAUUGGACCCUACAUAUUCUAUGAAGAUCUUAUCGGUUGAACCUCUAUGUCAAGGAUUCACACAAUCCCGUAUAUCAUUCCCUUUUUCCUUCGGUAUGUUACUUGCCCGAGAUUCGAUCGUCGGUAUCGACAUACCUAUUUAAAUCUCGUUACCAGCAGGUCUCUUUACUCGUUCCGUAAUACAAGAUCCCGUGGCUAACUCAUGAGUCACAUUCCUUGCAAGGCUUGUUUAUGAUGUUGAAUUACCGAUGGGCCCCGAGAUACCUCUCCGUCACACACAGUGACAAAUCCCAGUCUUGAUCCAUGCUAACUCAACGGACACCUUUGGAGAUACAUGUAGAUCACCUUUAUAGUCACCCAACAAUGUUGCAACGUUUGAUACACACAAGGCAUUCCUCUGGUGUCAGUGAGUUACAUGAUCUCAUGGUCAUAUGAAUGUAUACUUGACAUGCUGAAAACUAUAGCAACAAAAUGACACAAUCAUAUGCUACAUUUAUAGUUUGGUUCUUGUCCAUCACAUCAUUCUCGUAAUGAUGUGAUCCCGUCAUCAAGUGACAACACUUGUCUAUGGCUAGGAAACCUUAACCAUCCUUGAUCAACAAGCUAGUCAAGUAGAGGCUCACUAGGGACAUUGUUUGUCUAUAUAUCCACACAUGCAUUUAUGUUUCCAUUCAAUACAAUUAUAGCAUGGAUAAUAAACAAUUAUCUUGAAACAAGAAAUAUAAUAAUAACUAUUUUAUAUUGCCUCUAGGGCUUAUUUCCAACAGUCUCCCACUUGCACUAGAAUCAAUAAUCUAGCUUCAUAUCUCUAUGUGAUUUACAAUGUAAUGAAUCUAACACCCAUACAGUUCUAGUGUUGAUCAUGCUUUUCUCAUGGAAGAGGCUUAGUCAGCGGAUCUGCAACAUUCAGAUUCGUGUGCACUUUGCAAAUAUUUAUGUCCUCCUCCUUGAUGUAAUCACGGAUGGCAUUGAAGCAUCGCUUUAUGUGUGUGGUCCUCUUGUGAAACCUUGGUUCCUUGGCUAGAGCAAUGGCACCAGUGUUGUCACACAACAGAUUUAUUGGGUCCAGUGCACUUGGUACUACUCCAAGAUUUGACAUGAACUGCUUCAUCCACACACCCUCUUUAGCCGUCUCUGAGGCAGCCAUGUACUCCACUUCACAUGUAGAAUCAGCUAUGACACUUUGCUUGGAAGUGCACCAGCUUACCGCACCCCCGUUAAGAAUAAAUGUGUAUCCGGUUUGAGACUUAGAGUCAUCCAGAUCAGUGUCGAAGCAUUUAUCAACAUAACCCUUUACGACGAGCUCUUCGUCGCCUCCAUAAACGAGAAACAUUUCCCUAGUCCUUUUCAGGUACUUCAGAAUAUUCUUGACCGCUGCCUAGUGCACCACUCCUGGAUCACUCUGAAACCUGCCUGCCAUACUUAUGUCCAGGCUGACAUCUGGUCUUAUGCAUAGAAUUGCAUACAUGAUAGAUCCUAUGGCUGAAUCAUAGGGGACGACACUCAACUUUUCUCUAUCUUGUGCAGUUACUGGAUAUUGAGUCUUACUCAACUUUAUACCUUGUAACACAGGAAAGAACCCCUUCUUGGAUUGUUCCAUUUUGAACUCCUUCAAAACUUUAUCAAGGUAUGUGCUUUGUGAAAGAUCUAUCAGGCGCCUUGACCUAUAUCUAGUGAUCUUUAUGCCCAAUAUCUAAGUAGCUUCUCCUAGAUCCUUCAAUGAAAAACAUUUAUUCAAGUAAUCCUUUACGCUUUCCAAAAACUCUACAUUGUUUCCAAUCAGCAAUAUGUCAUCCACAUAUAAUAUUAGAAACGCUAUAGAGCUCUGAUACGUCUCCUUCGUAUCUACUUUUCCAAACUCUUUUGCCCUUGUUUUGGACUCUAAUUUGCAUGAUUUGAAUGGAACUAACCCGGACUAACGUUGUUUUCAGCAGAAUUGCCAUGGUGUUCUUUUUGCGCAGAAAUUCUCGGAAUGAACUGGAAAUUUAUGAGGAUUUUUUGUGGAAUAUAUAAAAAAUACUGGCGCAAGAAUCAACCGGAGAAGUGGAGCGAGGAGCCCACAAGCCCACCAAGCGCGGCCCCCCUGGCCGCGCCUAGCAGGCUUGUGGGGCCCUCGGAGCUCCGCCGCCUCCAACUCCAGCUCUAUUUAGUCCCUUUCUUCCGGAAAAAAAUCAAGGAGAAGAGUUCAUCGCGUUUUACGAUACGGAGGCGCCGCCACCACCUGUUCUUCCUCUGGAGGGCAGAUCUGGAGUCCGUUCUGGGCUCCGGAGAGGGGAGAUCGUCGCCAUCGUCAUCACCAACCUUUCUUCGUCGCCAAUUCCAUGAUGCUCUUCAUCGUUCGUGAGUAAUCUCAUCGUAGGCUUGCUGGACGGGGAUGGGUUGGAUGAGAUCUAUCAUGUAAUCGAGUUAGUUUUGAUGGGGAUUGAUCCCUAGUAUCCACUAUGUUCUGAGAUUGAUGUUGCUACUACUUUGCCAUGAUUAAUGCUUGUCACUAGGGCCCGAGUGCUAUGAUUUCAGAUCUGAACCUAGUAUGUUCUCGUCAAUAUGUGUGUGUUCUUGAUCCUAUCUUGCAAGUUGUAUUCAGCUACUAUGUGUUACGACCCGGCAACCCCGGAGUGACAAUAGCCGGAACCACUCCUGGAGAUGACCAUAGUAUGAGGAGUUCAUCUAUGCACUAAGUGCCAAUGCUUUGUUCCGGUUCUCUAUUAAAAGGAGAACCUUAAUAUCCCGUAGUUUCCAUUAGGACCCCGCUGCCACGGGAGGGAUGGACAAUAGAUGUCAUGCAUGUUCUUUUCCCUAAGCACGUAUGACUAUAUACGGAAUACAUGCCUACAUUACAUUGACGAACUGGAGCUAGUUACAUAUCUCCCCAUGUUAUAACUGUUGCAUGAUGAAUGUCAUCCGGCAUAAUUAUCCAUCACCGAUCCAAUGCCUAUGAGCUUUUCCUACUGGUCCUUGCUACGUUACUUUGCCGCUACUGCUGUCACUACUGCUACUGUUACUGCUACUGCUGCCACUGCUGCUACUAUUACCAUUGCUAUUGUUGCCAUCACACCACUUUGCUACAGAUAAUUUGCUGCAAAUACUAAGUCUUCCAGGUGUGCUUGAAUUGAAAACUCAACUGCUAAUACUCGAGAAUAUUCUUUGGCUUCCCCUUGUGUCGAAUCAACAAAUUUGGGUUGAAUACUCUACCCUCGAAAACUGUUGUGAUCCCCUAUACUUGUGGGUUAUAAAGCUCCCACUAACUUUCUUGUAAAUAGAAGGUUCUCCAAAAACUUGUGUAAACCCAAACGCCUUGAUCACCUCAUCAAAGCGGUGAUUCCAACUCCAAGAUGCUUGCACCAGUCCAUAAAUGAAUUGCUCGAGCUUGCACACUUUGUGAGCAUUCUCUGGAUCAACAAAACCUUUGGGUUGCAUCAUAUACAACUAUUCCUUAAGAAACCCGUUAAGGAACGCCGUUUUGAUAUCCAUCUCCUAGAUUUCAUAAUCGAAAAAUGCAGCUAUUGCUAACAUGAUUCAGACGGACUUAAGCAUUUCUACGGGUGAGAAUGUCUCAUCGUAGUCAACUCCUUGAACUUGUGGAAAACCCUUUGCUACAAGUUGAGCUUUAUAAACGGUCACAUUACCGUCUAAGUCUGUCUUCUUCUUAAAGCUCCAUUUGUUCUGAAUAGCCUUUCGACAUUCAGGUAAUACUUCCAAAGUCCAUACUUUGUUUUCAUACAUAGAUCCUAUCUCGGAUUUCAUGGCUUCUAACCAUGUGUUGGAAUCUGGGCCCACCAUUGCUUUUCCAUAAUCCCUAGGCUCAUUGUUGUCCAACAACAUGAUUGACAAGACAUGAUUCCCAUACCACUCAGGAGCAGUACGUGCUCUUGUCGACCUGCGAGGUGUGACAAAAACUUGAUCUGAAGCUUCAUGAUCACCAUCAUUAGCUUCCUCUUCAACUGGUGUUGCCUCGACAAAAAAAUAUUUCUGCCCUGCACCACCAUCCUGUUGAAGUAGAGGUUCCACAACUUCAUCAAGGUCCAUCUUCCUCCCACUCAAUUCUUUCGAGAGAAACUCUUUCUCAAGAAAAGCUCCGUUCUUAGCGACAAACACUUUGCCCUCGGUUCUUAGAUAGAAGGUAUACCCAACAGUCUCUUUUGGGUAACCUAUGAAGACGGACUUUUCCGCUUUGGGUUCCAGCUUUUCAGGCUGAAGCUUUUUGACAUAAGCAUCACAUGCACAAACUUUAAGAAACGACAACUUUGGCUUCUUGCCAUACCACAACUCAUAUGGUGUUGUCUCAACGGAUUUUGAUGGUGCCCUAUUUAAAGUGAAUGCAACUGUCUCCAAUGCAUAGCCCCAAAAUGAUAAUGACAAAUCAGUAAGAGACAUCAUAGAACACACCUUAUCUAAUAAAGUACGAUUACGAUGUUCAGACAUACCAUGACGUUGUGGUAGUUCCAAUCGGUGUCAACUAUGAAACAAUUCCUCAUUGUCUUAAGUGAGCACUAAACUCGUAGCUCAGAUACUCACCUCCUCGACCAAAUCAUAGGAACUUGAUUUUCCUUGCUACGAUGAUUUUAGACUUCACUCUAAAAUUGCUUGAACUUUUCAAACGUUUCAGACUUGUGUUUCAUCAAGUAGAUAUAACCAUACCUACUCAAAUCGUCAGUGAAGGUGAGAAAAUAACGAUAUCCGCCGCGCGCCUCUAUGCUCAUCGGUCCGCACACAUGAGUAUGUAUGAUCUCCAACAAGUCACUUGCACGUUCCAUUGUUCUGGAGAACGAAGUCUUAGUCAUCUAGCCCAUGAGAGAUGGUUCGCAUGUGUGAAGUGAUUCAAAAUCAAGUGACUCCAAAAGUCCAUCAGCAUGGAGUUUCUUCAUGCGGUUUUCACCAAUAUGUCCUAAGCGGUAGUGCCACAAGAAAGUGGCACUAUCAUUAUUAACUCUACAUCUGUUGGCCUCAAUGUUAUGGACAUGAAUGUCAUCACAAUCGAGAUUCAAUAUGAACAAACCCCUCACAUUCGGUGCAUGACCAUAAAAGAUAUUACUCAUAUAAAUAGAACAACCGUUAUUCUCUGACUUAAAUGAGUAACUGUCUUGCAAUAAACCAGAUCCAGAUACAAUGUUCAUGCUUAACGUAGGCACUAAAUAACAAUUAUUAAAGUUCAUCACUAAUCCCGAUGGUAAUUGAAGGGAGAGCAUGCCGACUGCGAUCGCAUCAACCUUGGAACCAUUUCCCAUGCGCAUCGUCACUUCAUCCUCCGCCAGCCUUUGUUUAUUCCGCAGUUCCUGUUUCAUGUUGCAAAUGUGAGCAACAGAACUGGUAUCAAAUACACAUGCACUACUACGAGAGCUGGUGAGGUACACAUCAAUAACAUGUAUAUGAAAUAUACCUUGUUUGGCGUUGGCUGCCUUCUUAUCGGCCAAAACUUGGGGUAGUUGUGCUUCUAGUGACCAGUCCCCUUGCAAUAAUAACACUCAUUUUUCGGCUUAGGCCCAGCCUUGGGUUUCUUCGUCGAAGGGGCAACAACUUUGCCACUCUUCUUGGAGUUACCCUUCUUGCCUUUGCUGUUUUUCUUGAAACUAGCAGUCUUAUUGACCAUCAACACUUGAUGUUCUUUCUGGAUUUUUGACUCAGCGACUUUCAGCAUCGCCAACAACUCGCCAGGUGACUUAUUCAUCCCUUGCAUAUUAUAGUUCAACACGAUGCUCUUAUAGCUAGGUGGCCGUGACUGAAGAAUUCUGUCAGUGAUAGCUUCUUGCGGGAGUUCAAUGCCCAGCUCGGCUACAUGGUUAGAGUACCCAAGCAUUCUGAGCACGUGUUCACUGACACACGAAUUCUCCUCCAUUUUGUAGGCAUAGAACUUAUUGGAGGUCUCAUACCUCUCGAUCCGGGCAUUCUUCUCAAAGAUAAACUUGAACUCCUCGAACAUCUCAUAUGCUCCAUGACGUUCAAAACGUCUUUGAAGUCCCGGUUCUAAGACAUACAAAACUCCACAUUGAACUAGUGAGUAGUAAUCCAUAUGGGACUGCCAAUAGUUCAAAACAUCUUGGGUCACCGUUAGCGGGUGGUGCAUCACCUAGCGCAACAUCAAGGACAUAUUGCUUUUGUCCAGAUGUGAGGAUAUGCCUCAGAUUACGGGCCCAGUCAACAAAGUUGCUUCCAUCAUCUUUCAGCAUAGCUUUCUCUAGGAAUGUAUUAAAAUUCAGGGUUGCUACUGCGCGAGCCAUUGACCUACAACAUAAAAUUUUGCAAAGAUUACUUAGACUAUGUUCAAGACAAUUGGGUUUAGAUAAUCAUAUUACUAAUAAACUCCCACUCAAAUAGACAUCCAUCUAGUCAUUCGAGUGUGGCAUGAUCCAAUUCCACUAACUCAUGUCCGAUCAUCAUGUGAGUUGAGAUUAGUUUCAAUGGUGAACAUCUCUAUGUUGAUCAUAUCAACUAUAUGAUUCAUGCUCGAACUUUCGGUCUCUUGUGUUACGAGGCUAUGUUUGUACAUGGUAGGCUCGUCAAGUUUAACCCGAGUGUUCCACGCGUGCAACUGUUUUGCACCCGUUGUAUGUGAACGUUGAAUCUAUCACACCCGAUCAUCACGUGGUGUCUCGAAACGACAAACUAUCCCAACGGUGUACAGUCCGGGAGAACACAAUUUUAUCUUGAAAUUUUAGUGAGGGAUCACCUUAUAAUGCUACCGUCAUCCUAAGCAAAAUAAGGUGCAUAAAGGAUUAACAUCACAUGCAAAUCAAAAAGUGACAUGAUAUGGCCAUGGUCUUGUGCUUCUUGAUCUCCAUCACCAAAACACCGGCAUGAUCUCCAUCAUCACCGGUGCCACCAUGAUAUCCAUCAUCAUGAUCUUGAUCAUUGUGCUGCCAUCGAGGUUGUCGCGCUAUCUAUGCUGUUACUACUAAAGCUACUGCCUAGCGAUAUAGCAAGAGCAUCUACAAGCGCAAUUUUUUUAAGACAACCCUAUGGCUCCUGCCGGUUGCCGUAGCAUGGACAUGAAAGUCGAUAUUUAACUACUACAACAUGAUAAUCUCAUACAUGCAAUAUAUCAUAUCAUGUCUUUGGCCAUAUCACAUCACAAGCAUACUCCACAAAAACAAGUUAGACGUCCUCUAAUUUGUUGUUGCAUGUUUUACGUGGAUGCUAUGGGUAUCUAGUAUGACCACAUCUUACUUACGCAAAGCCACAACAGUGAUAUGCAAAUUGCUAUUUAACCUUAUCCAAGGACCGCCUCGGUCAAAUCCGAUUCAACUAAAGUUGAAGAAACAAACACCCGCCAGUCAUCUUUAUAUAGGACACUUCAUCGGCAGUGCCCUGCCCUCCUCGGGCCGCUCCAUGACAAGGACAAUGCUCACCACAUGGGUGGUGGCCGGGAUGUAGGCUAGGAUAGGCUCCUUCUCCUUCGACGCGGUGAGGAUGGGCAUGGUGGAGAGCACACGCUCGAGGUCGCGGAAGGCCUCAUCCAAGAUGAUGUGAGUGCCAUGAUUGUCACUGUAUGCUUGAGUGUGUGAUCAUGAGAUGAUAUAAAGCCAUUUCACAAUAUUGAAUUGUUUUCUAAAAACCUUUACUAGUUUCUGAUCAAGGUAAAAACCCUACUUUGAGUUGCACCACAUGCUUUUGAUGUCAAGCAAUGAUGCUACCCAAAGUUGGUGAUAUGAUUUUAGCUUGUCUUUAUAUUCCAAAACCACAAAAAUAAGUAUUUUUAUAAUCAUUUCCCUAAUUGAAUUACAUGUCCAUUUCUGAGGCCAGAAUUGGUAUUCCUACAUGGAAAAAUACUUUUAUGCCUUAGAAAAAUCUGAUUAAAUUUAGAGAUGAUCAGAAGGACAAAUAUUUUCCAUACAUAAGAUUUUAAACCCUAUUUUAUAUUAUAAUUAUUUGAAUAAAACCCUGAAAGCCAUUUCUGUCUGUUUUGACCUUUUGAAAUAUUUCCAAAGGAAAUAUUCUCAAUAAAAUCCUAGAAAAUUCCAGUGGUAUCCCUAAGUCAUAUUUGGUGUCCACAUAAAGUUUCACCUUGAUCCAAGGUGAUUAAGAACCCCAAAUAACCCUAAAACCCCUUCUGUCCAGAGUGAAGUUAGAGCAACUCUACAUAACAAGUUUGUCCUAGGACGCUGAAUUUUUGCACGAGUGCCUAAUACCUCAAAUGAGGAUUCCACACCAAAAAUGGGAUUUGUGGGACUUAGUUUGCCCACACUCUCUUAGGAAGGGACAGAUCUAGUCAAAUGGAAGUGUUUUCAAGUUUACAAAGCUAAACUUGUCCAAUGGAGCUCAAACUUGGUGAAACCCCAUGGUUUAGCACCAAACCCAAACUUGUUAAGUUGAAGCACCAGUGGUGGGGUGCAACCCCCUCAAACCACUGUCGUUCACCUUAUGGCAGAUAGGGAAAAUCCACCUUAGCCACAGCUAAACCCAACCCCUUUGCUCCAAACUCAUAGAUUAGGUGGCCAGUAUCCAUAUCUAAGCCCAGUCAACUGGCCCCUCACUGGUUCAAAGUGGAAAGGCCAAAAACUCCAAUUUAGGCUUCAGUUCAAGGCUGACACCACCAGUAUUUCUUGUCUCCCUUGACGAGUCAAAGCUCCCACGAGACCCGAACGGCUAGCCACACUCCCAGCCAGUGCCAGGACAUGCUAGACACGUCCAAAGUGCCUCAGAGUGCACCAACAUGCCGUGGCAUGCCAAAACUGCGCUCUGGGCGCACUACAGGAAGCCACCGAGGUGGGUGCGACGCUCUCGGCCAGUUCCAGCCUCCCCCGAGCUGACCAACCUCUUCCCCAACAACACCUCUGCGUCAAGCAACCCUCAGGGCCCCUCCUUCCCCCACGCUAGAGCUCGUGCGACGCGUGCCCGCGCGUACCAGAACCGGCCAAGGUUGCGCGGCCACGGAUGCUCGACUCCUCCCUCUCUCCCUCUGCAACAGAUGGUUCUAGUAGUCCAAAACCAUGUCCUGAGACCGUGGUUUUGACCCCAGGACCUCUCUGCACCCCCAUGCGUGCCACGGUGAGUCACCGGCGCUCCCGAAUCGGCUCACCGCCGCGGGCCAAUUUAUAGCCCUCCCCCUUGCUCCAGCACCCCUCAGAUAGCUUCACCACGACCACUAGCACCUCCCUAGCCACCCCAGCAAACCAGCACAACCCUGGUGCUCGAGAUCGACCGAGGCCCCUCCGCCUCGGAGCUCCGGUUGAUCUCUGGCUACACGACGGCUCCUACGCCCGUCGACCCACCAAACUGAUCCCCUCAACCCCAGGAAGCUUCCCGCAACUCGCCCGAGCAUUUCCGUGCCUCUAGCCAUCUCCUCGACCACCUCCCGUAUCUCCUCCGCCGUGACCUCCUCGUCGCCGGUGAACCCCUGCCUCUGCGACGUUGUUCCGACCACCAGCAGGUAGGGGACAUCAUGGCGAACCUAUUCCAGCCCUUGUUGGGGACUUGAGAGCGUCGGCAGCCUCGCCGGCGUGCUCCUCCUCCCCUCUGGCCAGAGGUAGGAGACGACCCGGACAGGUGUGUCCCACCUGUCGGUGGCCCAGCCUCCUCCCCUGCGCUGCCCACAGCCACUGACCGCAGGUCCCCGCACGUCAGGUUCAAACCUGACGGCGCACGUGCCUGGGCAGGCUGUCGGCUGGCCAUGGGCCAACCCAGUUUCAGGCCGAGCCAGGCCAUGGACUUAGCCCAUUUUCUUUUAUUUUAAAAACCCGAUUUCUAAUAUUUUUAUAAUAAACAUUUAACCAGUGUAAAAAAUAUAAUUUUUCCACUGUUAUUCUCCUAAAAAUAUGUAGUAUUUAAUAAUAUGAUUGGAUGGAUUUUUCAACAACUAUUCUAUUUUACAAUAAUAAAAAGGACUAAAUUGGAAUAGUUUUGCUUCUAUUUGGUUAAUUUUAAAAAUGUUCCUUCAAGAGAAUUUGUCGUGCUCGCCCAUGGUAAGCAAUACAGCCGACUCCCCCGCCGCCACGUGUGAGUGGCCUCAGGGAGCAAGUGAUGAUGAGAGCUGGGUAGACCCAGUAUUGCCUCACCCGAUCGCAGUCUGUAGAGGUCGGCGGUACGGCCGACUUCACUAUAGCCAUGCGCGCACGGCGUCAUCGAGUGGUUGGUCCUGUGUCGCAUCCCAUCGGAGGGGAUGAAUCUUGACGUAUGGGCCGAUGACUUGGCAGGAAGGGGUCCGUCAGCUGGCGGGUUGCCUAGAGCCGUAGGGAUGAGGACCCAACUGCAAACCAACCAAAGCGGCUCGAGCCGACCCGCCAGAGCAGGCUCCCAAGGGGCCGAGCCGUCCCCGAUGUUUUGACAAAAGGGGCAUGAGAUAAGAUGAGGCUACCCUAGGGUUAUCCCCCACAGUAGCCCCCGAAGCCGGGAGACCACCAUCGAGUGGAACGUCGUAGUGCUUCGGUUGUGGGGAGCGGGGCCGCCAUGUGCCGAGCGCCACAGGCCCGGCCGAGUCGAACCACGUGGAUGACUGGAUAGGGCCUGGAGUUGGGGCCCACCCAUCCAAGACCUCGCUCCGCGUGCGGGUUCUACUGCGACCGAGGAGGCCAUCGGUCGACCUUCCCGUGCGAAUUAACACGCCCAUGCGGAGUGGGGGGAGUGGAGAUCGUGCGCAACCGAGCCAUUCCUCCACUUGCGGUGCGGGGGUUUAAAUGAAGGGGAGGGGCAUGGAGCAGGCACUCCGCCCUCAUUGCCCCCAGCCCCUCGCCUUCCUUGUUGUGCCCAAGAAAGAGAGAGAGAGGACGAGCAAACGUCGCGUGGACCCCGCGAGCGCCACCGGUCGCCUCCGAUGUCAAUCCCCCCAUUCGGGAACUUCUUCCGCACUGGCCACGCCACCGCCUCGCCCGAGCCCGUCCCGAGCCAACUGAUGGUGAGCAGGUGGGAAUGGGAAAUCAGCAACAUCAACGAGGACCACAUCGAGACCUCCGCCAACGCUAUCAGUUGCCACCGCAAAGCGGCGUGGAGGCGCGGCCGCCCGGGGCUGAGCAUGUCCCAGCACCCCGGCACAGAGAAGUAGUGGUCUUCAUGGAGCACUUCGUCCGCGGAUUCGGGCUGCCGGUGAGCACAUUUUUCCGGUGGUUCCUAACCAAGUUCGGGUUGCAGCCCCACCACCUUGGGGCCAACUCCAUUCUGCAGCUCUCUGCCUUCCUCACGCUAUGCAGGCGAUAUCUUGGAAUUGAGCCACAGCUCAACCACUGGUGCCUCCUCUUCUACCUCAAGAAGCAUAUGGUGGAGGACAAGGCGAGAGGGAUGGAGAUGACCACGUGUGGGGCGGCCCUCAUCUACAACCGACUUGAACCGGCUUCCACAAGUGCCGUGGUUUUACCACGAUAGAUGUCCUCAUGAAAGGACUUAGUGAUGAGACCAUCGCAACUCUGUGGCGACUGAAAUAGAUUAAUCGGGAUCAGGAAGCGUGUUUACCCAGGUUUUGCCCCUCCGAUGGAGGUAAAAGCCUACGUCCUACAUUGUGUGUAUUGAUAAUGAAAUCUAUUAGAAGGGUGCUAAUUCGCCUGACCUAGCUCUCGAUCUAUGGUUACUUUCCCCCAUUGUACCUAGAGACUCACCUUUAUAUACAAGACGAGACCCUAGGUUUACAAGAAUCUGGGUCACGUUAUGACUCGUGAUCCGAUAUGUCUCUAACUCGCCUUGCCUUUCAAGCAAGGCCUAUAUUCUGCCUAUCUUGUACCUCAUGGGCCUUGAGCCACCAUCUUCAUAGCGAGAACCGCCAGGCGACUUACUGGAACAGGCCACCUUGCACCUUUGGUCUUGUUCAUCUAAGCCCAUCUUGAGUACAUUCUUAAUCCGCCAUAAUCAUGACCCGACCCAUAAGGCGAGUUAUACGAUGGGGUCAUAUCCCCAACACCAAGGUUCUUCUCCAUGAGUCGGUGAAGAACUGGCAGCGUUCGUUGUUCUACGUGAAGAACAUGGAUCUGGCACUGGACCUCAUCAACCUGCCUCCCUUCGUCAACGAGUAGCCGACUGCGUUACUACAUUGGGGGAAGAAUCGGAAGAAAACUAUAAAGGCGGUGAAUCAAGCGGUCAACAGGCUCCGGGUGCUGACCGGCGUGGAGGGCCUCAAGGCCGUCGACCUCAUAACCACCAUGAUAGCACGUCAGAUCCUACCGGUUUAGCACCGCUCGCACCGCAUCUGCAUCAUGUGGGGCAAGAACGAACCAUGCCAGUUCUCCAUGAAGGAAUUGAACCUCGUCACCAUCGCGAGGCAAGUGAAUCUGAUCACCACCGCCUGGCUGGAAGAGGUGGGGUGGAACUGGGGCAAGGCCCCUUACGAUCUGAUGCAUCCGUCACCCGAGGUACACAAAACACCGUCUCCUUUUGCCUUUGAAUUUCUUCCACCGGCUCUGAGUUACUCGUGACCGGGAUGGGCGAAACUUGUUUGUGGGACUGCAAAAUUAUAGGCAAUCAGCGACCGAUAGGGAGGAUUCGGACGUCGAGGAACCAGAGGAUUAUCAGGGCGUGAGCCAGCGGGCGAGAAGACGGCGAGCCACGAGAAGUCAGACGAGGAGCCGGGGGCAUAGAGUUGGAGGGCGAGGGUGCCAUCACAUGCAGGAUUGGACAGACGAUGACGACCCUAAUGUUGAAGAAGUCCACGGUCCAGGGGGCACGGAGGCCAUGGAGGAGAAUGCCUCCGAGCUGAGGGGGUGGACCCGACGGACGGGUCUCAAGCUGGUGCCCGAGGAGUCGACGGCGGCCGACCGUGCACGACGGAAGCUCCUGGUCGCCUCUAGACCGGUACCCAAGUGAGCAAUCGAGAUGCAGCCGGACGGCGUCCGCAGAGGAGGCGGGAAGAAGGCGAGCAUCGCCCCCUCAGGAAUGGCUCCGCGGCGUGCGAUCCCUACAACCAUCGGGUAGGUCACCUUUGAUCGUUCUAUUUGGUCUUUUUCUUUCUCGUUCUUUUCUUACCCCAUAUUCCUCACUGCGUAGAGCCCCACGUGCCCUGGGAANNNNGCCACGGAGGAGUGGGAACACGCCUCCUAGUGAGAGCAAGAGGUUGCUGAGUGAGUGUGGGCGACGAAGUAGCGCCUCUGGUGGGAAGACGCGAUGAAGGGGUCCAGGCUUGAGGCGGCCCGUGCCGAAGGAGCGGACGAGUCAACGCCAUGGGGGAACGCCCCAACCACGUGGUCGUUGCGCGUGGGAGGACAUGCCGAAGCCGGUGCCAGUGCCACGGUGGAGGGGCAUGCGGCCGCCAACGCGGAGACAACCCCAGCUGGGGAUGUACAAGACGUAGAGGUCCCCCAUGGCCUGAGGGUGACCGUGUGGGCGACCCCAAUGCGAGCCGGGACGAUGAUGGAGGGUCCUGGAGGGAUGAAGUCGGUGGUAGCGACAGCGCCCCGGACGUCAUAAUGCCAGAGCCGGUGGGAGCCCUCCCGACCCACUCCAUGCAGACGCUGCAGGGACCUAGUAUUGUGGCACCGAGUGGCAUGUUGCCGUCCGGCACCGGGCCCCUCAUGGUGGUGCCGGGGGCCGGGGAGGUUCACACCGAGCGGAGCUGGAGCCGAUUCUUGCACCUAGCCGUAGGAGUCAUGGGCGAUGGCGAGUGACUCCACGAGCACGCUUGCGGCAACGGUGCGCGCGAUCAAGGCACAGUUUGCCGACUACGAGGCACAGGCGAAGCUGGAUGCUCACAGGGCGCUGGGCUGGAUGGCUCAUCAGGAGCAGUCCGUGGUGGUAGGUACCGCAACUUGGUUUUGUUCUUCAUGAUUUUAUUUUCAUAGCUUUCCAGUGGGGGCGCGCUAGCACACCCAUUGCGUGUAGCCCCUGAGACUCGGGCCAGCGGCAAGACAGUCGGGUCGAGUCUUUAAGCAGCGCUUUUCAUGACUUUGUCGCCUGCACGGCCUUCAUGACCAUCGGGUGAGCGCCUUGAGCAAGCUUUUCAUCCUGACUCAGGAGACCGGUGAUCGGCUGGCUGCCGUGAAGGUGGACCUACAGCGAGCGCAUGGUAAGUGUCCUCUUGUGCUUCUUGCUUCUUCUAGGGAGCCGCUUGUGAUGGUGGUGUUGUGUAGGCUCGACCCUUGACUCGGAGACCUUUCGGCGCCUGUUGGUGACAACUGAUGACCCACAAGUGUAGCGGAUCUAUCAUAAUUCUUUCGAUAAGUAAGAGUGUCGAACCCAACGAGGAGCAGAAGGAUCUGACAAGUGGUUUUUCAGCAAGGUAUUCUCUGCAAGCACUGAAAUUAUCGGUAACAGUUAGUUGUGUGAUAAGAUGAUUCGUAGCAAGUGGCAAGUAACAAUAGUAACAAAAGUGUAGCAAGAUGGCCCAAUCGCUUUUGUAUCAAGGGACAAGCCUGGACAAACUCUUAUAGGAGAUGAAGCGCUCCCGAGGACACAUGGGAAAUUCUCUCAAGCUAGUUUUCAUCAUGUUCAUAUGAUUCGCGUGCGCUACUUUGAUAUUUUGGUAUGUGGGUGGACCGGUGCUUGGGUGUUGCCCUUACUUGGAAAAACAUCCCACUUAUGAUUACCCCCUCUCGCAAGCAUCCACAACUACGAAAGAAGAAUUAAGACAAAGUCUAACCAUAGCAUUAAACUAGUGGAUCCAAAUCAGCCUUUACGAAGCAACACAUAAACUAGGGUUUAAGCUUCUGUCACUCUAGCAACCCAUCAUCUACUUACUACUUCCCAAUGCCUUCCUCUAGGCCCAAAUAAUGGUGAAGUGUCAUGUAGUCUACGUUCACAUAACACCACUAGAGGAAAAACAACAUACAACGCAUCAAAAUAUCGAACGAAUACCAAAUUCACAUGACUACUUAUAACAAGACUUAUCCCAUGUCCUCAGGAACAAAAGUGACUACUCACAAAGCAUAAUUAUGUUCAUGACCAGAGAGGUAUUGAAUAGCAUCAAGGAUCUGAACAUAUAAUCUUCCACCAAGUAAUCUAACUAGCAUCAACUACAAAGAGUAACUAACACUACUAGCAACCUUACAAGUACCAAUCGGAGUUGCGAGAUGGAGAUUGGUUACAAGAGAUGAACUAGGGUUUGGAGAUGAGAUGGUGCUGAUGAAUAUGUUGAUGGUGAUGAGUCUCCUUCGAUGAGAGGAGUGUUGGUGAUGACGAUGGCGACGAUUUCCCCCUCCGGGAGGGAAGUUUCCUCGGCAGGACGGCCCUGCCGGAGCUCUAGAUUGGUUCUGGUCGAGUUCCGCCUCGUGGUGGCGACGAUUCCUCCCGAAAGCCUCCUGAUGAUUUUUUCUGGAACAAAACCCUCCUUAUAGCAAAAAAUGGGAGCCAGAGGGGCAACAAGGGGCCCACAAGCCACCUAGGCACCGCCAGGGGGGUAGACCGCGCUUGGCAGGCUUGUAGCCUCCUGGUGGCUCCCCUAUGGUACUUCUUCCGCCCAGUAUUUUUUAUAAAAUCCAAAAUAAUUCCUCGUUGAUUUUCACGGCUUUUGGAGUUGCGCAGAAUAGGUAUCUCAAACUUGCUCCUUUUUCAGACCAGAAUUCCAGCUGCCGGCAUUCUCCCUAUUCAUGUAAACCUUAUAAAUUAAGAGAGAAAAGGCAUAAGUAUUGUACCGUGAAGUGUAAUAACAGCCCAUAAAGCGAUAAAUAUCAACAUGAAAGCAUGAUGCAAGAUGGACGUAUCAACUCCCCCAUGCUUAGACCUGGCUUGUCCUCAAACGGAAGCCGAGAUCAAUAAAUAUGCCCACAUGUUUAGGGAUAGAGGUGUCGACAAAACAAAAUACGGACAUGCAGGCAUCAUGAUCAUAAUUAGAACAGCAAUAACGUCAUAUAAUCUCUUAUGCUAAAGUGACAAUUCCUUCACAAAGUAAAGUAUGGAUCAAGAAUCUUAUUGAGAAUUAACAACCAAUAGCCUUUAGUCAUUGAAGCAAUUGCAAUUUAUCAUAACAUCGGAAAGAGUCAAAUAAGAGCUUGUAAAGCGAAUCCACAUACUCAAUCAUCCUUUCGUCUUCUACAAUUGCUAAAACUCACGUGGUACUCAUGAUAUCAAAGUUUCAGUUGGACACAGAGAAAGAUAGGGGCUCAUAAUUUUGCCUCCCAACUACUUACCUCAAGGGUAAUUUCAACAAUAAUAAUUCAUGGAUACUUACUUACAAGUUCAAUAUGAAUAUAGAUCUUUCCCUAGCACAUGACGUUAGCCAAGAUAAAGGCAAAAUAAGGAAUUGGUGUCGAUCACCAUGACUCUUUUAAGGACAAAAAGUAAAGGUACAAGAUAGGCCCUUCGUAGAGGGAAGCAGAGGUUGUCAUGCGCUUUUGAGGUUUGGAUUUGUGACCUGUUAGUGUGAAGGAACGUCACUUUAUAUUGCCCCCUGUGAUAAAGAACUUUAUUAUGCAGUCUGUCGCUUUUAUGUCUUCUUCAUCACAGGUUCGUACAAAGAUUAUUUUCCACACACUAAUAGAUCAUACAUAUUUAGGGAGAAAUUUUUAUUGCUUGCACCGAUGACAACUUACUUGAGGGAUCUUAUUCAAUCCAUAGGUAGGUAUGGUGGACUCUCGAGGAAAAACUGGGUUGAAGGUUUAUGGAUGCACAAGUAGUAUCUCUACUUAGUGCGGAAGUUUUGGCUUAUAAGAGGUGGAAGCAAGUGUCACAUGCUAAGGAAUAUUGUUCGGAACCAAGCAAACAUAAUUCAUUAUGUUGUCUUCCUUGUCCAACAUCUAGUUCUAAGCAUGUAAUAGUUUAAUGAGUGUUCACAAUCAUAGAUGGUGUCCAAGAUGAUAUAUUUAUAUGUGAACCUCGCUUUCUUUAUUACUUCCUAUUAAUUGCAACAAUGACCAAGGUCUACGUUUGUCCACCCACAACAAGUUUCAAUCAACAUUCUUUUUAUAUGUGAAGUCAUCACUUCCCAUAAGAUCAUAACAUGAUCUUUCAUGCUUUUGUUCUUUUAUUAUUCUUUCUUUAGAUCAUGGCAUGAGGCAAGGCCCUUAACUAAAAUACUCUUUAUUAUAUGACUCAUGAGCUCCAAUACAUUGGGGGUGACACAAAGCAAAACUCAAGCCUAGAACACUAAGAACUUCAUUCUACUAGAGAAAGAUAAACCCCAAAAAGGAUCGAACUAAGAAAAAGGUAAAGGCAAAAGAUGUAAUGGUGAUACGAUACCGGGGAAACUCCCCCAAGCUUGGCACAAGCCAAGGGGAGUUCCCAUACCCGUGCUUAAUUGUCUUCCUUCGAAGGUGAUGGUGGUGGACUUGUUGCAACCUAGGUUUGAUCCUCCGUCUUCCAAGGCAUAGGUGCUCCAUCAUGGAAAGAUGAUCGAGUCUCCGGAAUCCUCAAAUCUGCAGCCAACCAUAUUGAUUUGAAUCUAUACUCAUACUCACAGUUUUGGUUUUGCAGGUCAUAGAUCUGGGCUUGGAGGUGACCAAUUCUGUCAUAGAGCCUGGAGAGGUGCUUCCCGAUGUCAUUGGCAUCGAUCUUGUGCUUGUUGGUGAACUCCGUGAUCAUCAUGUGGUUGGCGUUGAGUCCGUGUUCCACCAUCCCUUGGCACUUGAAGACUUGCUGGUCCAUUGCUUCGAGCCUCGCCUCCACGCUUCUGGUCUUCUUGGGCCCCUAAACAUGACAGAUGUGCAACACCCCCUCACGCAUCUCGAUAGAUUGAGGGUGUUGCGGCACGCCCGCGAGGUAGGGAUUGAUGACCUUCUCGAAGAACUUGUCCUUCGGAACUUUUGGGGAUGCCAUAGCGAUCUAGAUCUGUCUGCACAGUAGCUCGAAACGAAAACACAGGAUAUUUGCGUGAUACGAGGGUCAGACCUUUCGGGAGAAUAUAUAAUGAAAUUUUCCCGACCAAAAAGAGGUACUACGCAAGAAAACGGAGUCCGGGAGGCACACGAGGUGCUCACAAGCCCCCCAGGAGCGGCCAGGGGAUAGGCCGCGCCUGGCAGGCUUGUCGCCUCCUCGUGCACUUUCCGGACUAUUUUAAAUUUUUAUAUUUUUCUAAAAUUUCCAAAACGGAGAAAAUUUGCUACUGGAAAAGUUUUGGAGUCGGUUUACUUACCGAAUCACAUACCUCUUCAUUUUUGGAGUCUGAAAUAGUCUGAUAAAUAUCCCUCUUGUACUCGUCCGGAGUUAUGGUAUUAAUAAUAUUGCUUUCAACAUUUAUGGGAGUAUGUGAGAUAUAAUGCUUGAUUCUUUGACCAUUUACCACUCUCGGAAAAUUACCUUCCAUGUUGUUGAUCUUGAUGGCACCGGAACGAUAUACUUCCCUCAACAAUGUAAGGACCUUCCCAUUUAGAGAGAAGCUUGCGUGCAAACAAAAACUUAAACGAGAAUUGUAUAGCAAGACAUAAUCACCUACAUUGAACUCACGUUUUUGUAUCCUUUUAUCAUGCCACCUCUUAACUUUUUCUUUGAACAACUUGGCAUUUUCAUAUGCCUGAGUUCUCCAUUCAUCAAGUGAUCUAAUAUCAAAUAACCUCUUCUCGCCAUCAAGUUUGAAAUCAAAGGUGAGGUCUUUAAUUGCCCAGUAAGCCUUAUGCUCUAGCUCAAGAGGGAAAUGACAUGCUUUACCGUAAACCUUUUUGAACGGAGACAUGCCCAUGGGAUUCUUAUAAGCAGUUCUAUAAGCCCACAAUGCAUCAUCAAGAUUCUUAGACCAAUUCUUUCUAGACCUAUUAACAGUCUUUUACAGAAUUAGUAUAAUCUAUCUAUUACUUAGCUCUACUUGACCACUGGACUGAGGAUGAUAGGGAGAUGCAAUUCUAUGGUUGACAUCAUACUUAGCAAGCGUUGUACGGAAAGCACCAUGAAUAAAAUGUGAACCACCAUCAGUCAUUAGAUAUCUUGGUACUCCAAAUCUAGGGAAAAUAACUUCCUUAAGCAUCCUAAUAGAGGUGUUGUGAUCAGCACUACUAGUUGGGAUAGCUUCUACCCACUUAGUAACGUAAUCAACAACAACUAGGAUAUGAGUAUACCCGUUGGAUUUUGGAAAAGGUCCCAUAUAAUCAAAACCCCAAACAUCAAAUGGUUCAAUGACAAGUGAAGAAUUCAUAGGCAUUUCCUGACGUUUACUGAUAUUACCUAUUCUUUGACAUUCAUCACAAGACAAUACAAACUUACGGGCAUCCUUGAAGAGAGUAGGCCAAUAGAAACCAGAUUGCAAUACCUUGUGUGUAGUUCUAUCUCCCGCAUGGUGUCCUCCGUAAGCCUCAGAGUGACACUUUUGUAGGAUCUAUCCCUGUUCAUGCUCAGGUACACAACGUCUAAUAACACCAUCUACUCCUUCCUUAUAAAGGUGAGGAUCAUCCCAGAAGUAAUGUCUCAAAUCAAAGAAGAAUUUCUUCUUUUGCUGGUAUGUGAAACUAGGUGGUAUAUAUUUGGCAACGAUAUAAUUUGCAUAACCAGCAUACCAUGGUGUACUACGUGAAGCAUUGAUGACAUUCAAUUGCUCAUCAGGAAAGCUAUCAUUAAUAGGUUGUGGGUCAUCAAGAACAUUCUCCAACUCAGACAAGUUAUCUGCUACGGUGUUCUCAGCACCCUUCCUAUCAACCACAUGCAAAUCAAAUUCUUGUAGCAAGAGAACCCAUCUGAUAAGUCUAUGUUUAGCAUGUUUCUUUUCCAUGAGAUACUUAAUAGCAGCAUGAUCAGUGUGAAUAGUAACUUUGGAAUCAACAAUGUAAGAUCGCAACUUUUCACAUGCAAACACGACUGCUAAAAAUUCCUUUUCAGUAGUAGCAUAGUUUCUUUGGGCACCGUCUAGAGUUUUACUAGCAUAAUGAAUAACAUUCAACUUCUUAUCAACUCUUUGUCCUAGAACAACACCAACAACAUAAUCACUAGCAUCACACAUGAUUUCAAAAGGUAGAUUCCAAUCAGGUGGUUGAAUAAUAGGUGCAGUUAUCAAUGCCUUCUUAAGUAUUUCAAAUGCUUCCUCACAAUCAUCGUCAGAAACAAAAGGAAUAUCAUUUUGUAAGAGAUUGGUCAGAGGCCUAGAAAUCUUAGAAAAGUCCUUAAUGAAUCUUCUAUAGAAACCGACAUGACCAAGGAAACUUCUUAUACCUUUGAUAUUUGUAGGGCAUGGCAUUUUCUCGAUCGCUUCAACCUUAGCCUUAUCGACUUCAAUACCUCUUUCAGAAAUUUUAUGUCCUAACACGAUGCCUUCAUUAACCAUGAAGUGGCACUUCUCCCAAUUCAAUACAAGGUUGGUAUCUUUACAUCUCUGCAAAACUCAAUCAAGGUUGCUGAGGCAAUCAUCAAAAGAAGACCCGUAAACGGAGAAGUCAUCAAUGAAAACCUCAACAAUCAUUUCACAAAUGUUAGAGAAUAUAGCCAUCAUACAUCUUUGAAAGGUAGCUGGUGCAUUACAUAAGCCAAAAGGCAUACGUCUGUAAGCAAAGGUACUGAAAGGGCAGGUAAAAGUGGUUUUCUCCUGAUCAGAUUGUGCAACAGGUAUUUGGGAAAAACCAUAAUAAGCAUCUAGAAAGCAGAAGUGUGUGUGUUUAGACAAUCUUUCUAGCAUUUCGUCAAUAAAAGGCAAAGGGUAAUGAUCUUUCCUAGUGGCUUUAUUCAAUUUCCUAAAAUCGAUCACCAUCCUAUAGCCAGUAAUAAUCCUCUGUGGGAUCAAUUCAUCUUUAUCAUUAGGGACAACGGUAAUACCUCCCUUCUUAGGGACGCAAUGCACCGAACUUAGCCAUUCACUAUGAGCAACAGAAUAGAUAAUACCUGCUUCGAGGAGCUUAAGUAUUUCUUUUCAUACUACCUCUUUCAUCUUAGGAUUCAAUCUUAGGAUAAUCGGCAACUGGUUUGGAAUCAGGAUCGGUUUUGAUUUUAUGCUGGCAUAGAGUGGGACUAAUGCCCUUAAGAUCGUCAAUAGUAUAUCCAAUAGCAGCACGGUGCUUCCUCAAAGUUUUUAAUAACUUCUUUUCUUCAUGCUCUGAAAGGUUAGCACUAAUUAUAACAUGAUAUAUCUCUUUUUCAUCGAGAUAAGCAUACUUAAGAGUAUCAGGUAACUGCUUAAGCUCAAACAUAGGAUCACCCUUUGGUGGGGGUGGAUCUCCAAGCAGUUCAACAGGAAAAUUAUUCUUAAGGAUAGGAUGUUGUUCAAAGAUAACUCUAUCUAUCUCAUUCCUUUCAUCCAUAUGCAUAUCAUUUUCAUGCUCAAGCAAGUAUUGCUCUGAAGUAUCAGUAGGAGGCACAUCAAUAGAAGCUCGAGAAAUUAUUUCAUCUUUACUAGACAACUCUUUUUCAUGCGGUUGUCUACCAAGCUUGGAGAAAUUGAACUCAUGUGACACUCCUUCAAAGCCAACAGUGACAGUUUGCUUCUCACAGUCAAUAUGAGCACUGACAAUAUUGAGAAAAGGUCUGCCAAAUAUGAUGGGACAAAAGCUAUCUUGUGUGGUAGCAAGAACGAGAAAAUCAGUAGGAUACUUAGUUUUACCACACAAGACUUCAACAUCUCUAACAAUUCCCAAAGGGGAGAUAGUAUCUCUAUUGGCAAGCUGAAUAGUGACAUCAAUAGGUUCCAUCUCGACAGGUGCAAUCUUGUCUUUAAUUUCAUCAUAUAAAGAUUGAGGUAUUGCACUAACAGUAGCACCCACGUCACAUAAACCAUGAUAUCAAUGAUCUCCUAUCUUAACAGAAACAACAGGCAUCACUACAAGAAAUAUGUCAACUAACGACCUUUUGUCAGUGACGCUGGAAAGAAUGGUUAUAAAUCUAUGACCAUUUGACACCAUUUGGUCGUAAGCUGUUUGGACGGGUCCUAGCCCCAAAAACUAACGACCAUUUUCGUCACAAAGGUCAUAACUUGCUUACUGGAAAAGGUCAUAAAGCGAACAACACCUGGCGCUGCCUUAUUUCUUGGUGAUAAUGACCAAUCUGAAUGGGCGUUACUAAAUAGUUCGAAUGCACUAGGCUGGUUACGCAGCCACCUCAGCAGCCUCACUUACUUGUCAUUGAGGUAGGACCCAUUUGACAGGCAGGUGAGCACACAAUAAGGGGCCGACAACCGAGUGGGGACAUGCGCGAGCCUCGCUUAAUUCCCGAAAAAACAUGCGCGAGCGGGGACUCAAACCCACGACCGAGCGCUUUCCACUAAGUGUUUGCUACCGCUGGGCUAGAGAGGGACAAUUGCUCAGGUAUCGGUAUUUGGGUGUAUAUUAUAUUAAAUCACGGGUCUCUCGUAUCAUUGACAAGUGGGACCGACGGGGACGACCAACAUUUGGCCAAUUUCUGACAGGGGCCAACACAUAGCCAAUUUCCGAUAGGGGACGAGCAAAUCUAGAUCUCGGGGGCGGCGGCGACCGACGGGGACGUGGCGGCGGCGAUCGACGGGGAUGGGGGCGGCGGUGAUUGAUGGGGAUGGGGUCAGCGACCGGCAGGGGCGGUGACCAGCGGUGGUGGUGCUAACGCCACGACCACCUCACCCAUCGGCAGUGGUGGUGGUGCAGACGCCACGGCCACGACGACCUCGCCCGGCCAGUGGAGGUAGUGGUGGUGGUGCCGCUCGCCUCAGCCACCCCGCCCACUUGUAGUGGUGGUGGUGCCGCUCGCCUCGGACAGCGACUUCGCCCACACAUGGGGGACUCGCCGCCGCCGAGCAUGAGGGACUCACAACCGAGCAUGGGGGACUCGCUGCUGCCGCCGGUAUGCUCUCUUCCCCCUCUCCUCUUCCCCCCCCCCUCCCCUCCCCCCCUCUUUCCCCCCUCUCCCCCUCGCUUAUUUAUUUUUUUCAAAUUGUGAAGAGAAUUUCUAUUGAUGAAAUUGUUAGGAGAAUUGCAGUUAAUGAAAUUGUUACACCUCUGAAUAUGAAGGGAGUUGAUGUAGAUUUGAUGUUACACCUAUGAAAUUUUAGCACCUUAUUUUCACCACAGUAGUUGAUGUAGUACACAGUAGUUGAGAUUUUUCAGCACCUAUGAAAAUUGAUGUUACACCUCUGCCUCAAAUAUAUUUAAGAACAUCAAUAUUGAUGUAGAUCUGAUGUAAACUAGGAAAAAUCUCAUUGAUGUAGAUUUGAUGCAAUCUUUGAAAUGUCAUUCUUGUAAAUUUACAGUGUUGUUAUUAUUGGUAGUUUAACCAAAAUAGUUCUUUGUGGCAGCAUAUGUUGUUAUUGUUAGUGGUUUAACCACAGUAGUUGUUUGUAAAUCACCUUUGUUUUUUUUGUGAAGCACCAUGUUUUUGUUAGCUUUUCUUUUCUCCCAUGUUCACCACAACAUCUGUAUUUCUAUUUGAACUGCUUUUUAUUGCUCCCAUGUGAAAUCAGUAAACCAUGUGAACCGGACUAAAGUAGUGAGAAAUUGGAAAUAGCUGAAUGUUGUGGUUAGGCAGUUAGCAUAUAAAGUUUGUUGCCUACCUUAUUUUCUAGAUUUUUAACUGCCAUUACUGCCAUCCAUUCUCAUUAAUUAAUGUGAUGCACUUAGAUAGAUUUGCUAACUUGCAACCAUUGCUUUGUUUGGCAGAUGGAUAGAAGCUGGAUUAGAAAAGGAGUUAGAAGGUUUUCGAAAGAACAUAUGAAAGGAGUUGAUGAAUUCAUGCAAUUUGUUUGGCAAAUUUUUCCAAGGAUGCUGUCAUUGUUUGCCCAUGCUGUAAUUGCCUCGAACGUUUGAGAAAAGCUCAAGGAGUAGUGGAAGAUCACAUUCUUCUUAAUGGGAUGGCCAGCACAUAUGAUAGAUGGAUAUAUCAUGGAGAACCUUCAGCCGGACAACCUCAACAUAUUGAAGCUGAUACACAGGCCCCUCAUAUGAUGGGUGGUGGUGAUGCUGGCAUUAAUUUUAUGGAAAAUACUUUGCGAGAGAAUGCUGGUUUGGAUGAAGAGGAUGGGCAUGAAGAUGAUAGGAUUCCUGACCUAUUGAAGGAUCUAUAUGGUACUGAAGAUCGUGCUGAUGGGCAAAAGUCGAUGUUUGCUGAGGUGUUGGAGGAGGCUAAGCGCGCAGCUCAUGAAGGGGGUAACUUUUCAAGAUUUACCUUCACCGUGAAGUUACUCCACAUAAAGUCUUUCUACCGGAUUAGCAAUGCUGCAUUCAACGCAAUACUCUGCCUUUUGACCUUGCAAUUCCCUGAUAGCUGUGUUCCCAGGUCUUAUGAUGAAGCAUUGAGCAUAAUCCGCAGGCUGGGGCUAGGUUAUGUUUCAAUACAUGUGUGCCCAAAUAACUGUGUCUUGUUUCAGAAGGAUUUUGCGAAGCAUGACAACUGUCCAAAAUGCAAUGCCUCUAGGUGGAAAGAUGCUGAUGGGAAGAAGUCAAUAUGAUAGAAGGUACUGAGGCACUUUCCGUUGAUACCAAGGCUGCAGCGGAUGUUUAUCUUGAAGAAAUCAUCGUUGGAGGUACAAUGGCACAAGCUUCAGCGGCAACCUAUGGACAAUGUGCUGAGCCAUCUAGCGGACAGAGAGGCAUGGAAAGAAUUUGACAGUGAACAUGGAGAUUUUGCUCCACAUCCAAGGAAUAUAAAACUCGUCAUUGCCACACAUGGCUUUAAUCUGUUUGGGAACAUGAACACGUCUUAUAGCAUGUAGCCCGUUUUUGUGGUACCGUACAACCUGCCACCAUGGGCAUGCAUGGAUCAGUCCAACUUCAUGAUGUUACUUCUUAUCCCAGGUCUAGAGUCUCCAAGAAAGGAUUUUGAUGUCUUUAUGGAGCCCCUCGUAGAAGAACUGCUCUAGCUCUGGACUGGUGUACCUACAUACGAUGCCUCUAGUCUGGAAUAAAAGUUCAAACUACGUGCUGAAGUCAUAUGGUCCAUCCAUGAUUUCCCGGCACUGCACACUCUGUCUGGGAGGAUCACAGCGGGUUAUCAGGCAUGUGUCCAUUGUGACAAAGACCCUUGCUCAAAGAUAAUAAGGAGCAAGAUCUGCUAUAUUGGGCACCGCCGCUUUCUUCCCCGAAACCAUCGCUGGAGAAGAAGCAAAGAUUUUAAUGGUGAGAAUGAAACCCGUGACAGGCCACCUAAAUUCACUAAGGAAGAGUUGGAGCAGCAACUUGAGAAGGUGAAGGAUGUGAGACCAGGAAAGCUUGCAAAGAAAAGAAAGCGCGUGAAACAUCAAUGUUGGGACCGGAGGUCUUGUUUGUGGGACUUGCCAUACUGGGCUGGUCUGAAAUUAAGGCAUAAUCUCGAUGUAAUGCACAUUGAGAAAACCAUAUGUGAGAAUCUGCUAGGGACGUAUCUGGACAUUGAAGGGAAGACAAAGGACACGGUUAGUUCUAGGCUUGAUUUGGAGGACAUGGGCAUAAGAGAAGAUUUGCAUCUACAACAUGAUGAAGCUGAAGAUACAUUUGAAAUGCCACAAGCAUGGUAUACAAUGAGUAAAGAACAAAAGCUAGCAUUCUGUGAAUUCAUAAGUGCGGUGAAAUUUCCAGAUGGUUAUGCUUCUAACGUAGAAAAGUGUGUUACUUCUGAUGGAUUCAAACUUUCAGUACUGAAAACCCAUGGUUGUCACAUCCUCCUCCAAAGGAUUUUACCGGCUGGCUUCCAUGGAAUCAUGGACAAUGAUAUAUAUGAAGCGGUUGCUAAGCUGGGAAAUUUCUUUAGAGAACUGUGCUGCAAAACACUCAAUUUAACUAUUCUAGAAAGACUUGAAAAAGAAAUCCCAACUAUUCUUUGCAAGCUUGAAAAGAUUUUCCCUCGAGCUUUCUUCACCUUGGUGGUCCAUUUGGCGGUGCACUUACCAAAAGAGGCAAUGCUUAGAGGCCCUAUGCAAUACGGUUGGAUGUACCCAAUCGAAAGAACACUGCUUACUUGUAAGCAUUAUGUGCGAAACACGGCAAGACCUGAAGGUUCGAUUGCUGAAGCAUAUGUCGUUGACGAGUGCUUGAGUUUUUGCUCUAGAUACUUUGGUGAUGUGGAAACAAGAUGGAACCGGCCGGGAAAAAAUAGAGAGCGGUCUGAUUCGCAUAGUGGUGAUGUCUCGGUUUUCAACCAUGCCGUGAACUUUCUUGGAGCCUCGCGAUACUUGGAGGCUAGUGAUGAGUAUGACAAGAUGGUUUGGUAUGUGCUCAGGAAUUGUGCCGAGGUUAUACCAUAUAUCGAGUACGUUAUAAGUUGUGCACUCGUUAUUUAUUUACUUUUGCUUGGGUUGUUGGCACCAGCCUAAUAUUUUAAUGCACAUGUUUUGUUGGCAUUGCAGGAAAUGCAAGGAAGAGUUAAAUCAGGAAGAAAGCCAAAUCAAUGUUAUUACAAGGGUUGCCAAGGGAUUUGCUAAAUGGUUUAAGAAUCAUGUUGGAAAGUUGCAUGAGGAGAAGAAGGUUAGUGAUGAUCUAUUUGCUUUGGCAUGCUUACCGGAUAACUGAGUGCGAGUGUAUUCAACAUGUAUUGCUGAUGGUGUCCAGUACCACACCGUUGAUCGUGAGGAAAAAAGGAAGACACAAAAUAGUGGAAUCGUCACUGAGGGGUCACAUGAUCGUGAGAAAUUGACUUCUAUGGUCAGCUGAGAAGCAUCAUAGAGUUGCAGUACAUCUCUAGUGGAGGCAUCCAUCGCUCGGUUGUCUUAUUUCGCCGUGACUGGUUUGAUCUUGGUAGCAAGAAGAAGAGACUCUCUUGUGUCAAAUAUGAUGGCCACUUCAAAAGCAUCAACACUUCAAGGUGCUGGUAUAAGAGUGAUCCCUUUAUUCUAACAGCACAAGCAACAAUGGUGUUUUACCUGCCAGACACUCUUUUGCAAAAAAAAUGGCGAGUUGUGCAAAACUUUGAGCACAGACACUUAUGGAGUGUGACUGAAACUGAAACUAAAGUGGAAAAGGGCCCCGGUGGUAGUGGCCUAACAUAUCAGGAUGAUGAUUGUACAGAAGUUUCGGUGCAAGCUGGUGAUGACUCUAUGGAAGUUCCGGUGCAAAGCAGAGUGCGUAGGGACCGGGAACGUGUGCUCAUUGAUGCUGCAACAGUUGAAGGCGUCAGGAAAGGAAGAAAUGUGGUAGAGGAUGGACAUGAGAGCGAGGAUGAGGAAAACAGGACUGAUCAUACUAUGCUGCAAUAUUGUAGUGACGAUGAGGAAAACAGAAGUGGGCAUAGAGUUCCUGGUUCUGGUAUCGACGACGAUGAGUAGAUAAUAGACAUGAAGGUAAAUAUUGUCUCCUUGGUGAUCUAAAACUAUUACUGCAUGUUCCUUGUUUUGAUUGGUGAUCAACCUUCUCUAUAGUUUUUGUUGUUGUAAUCCUGAUGUAGUUUUUGUACUACAAUUCUCACCAGGUAGCAAAAUGCAUGAGACAGAUGGUUGUAGUGUUGGAGAGGCAGGUGGUGAAGAUCAUGAUGGCUGGAGAGGAAAACUGAUGUAGUUUUGGUGAUCAUGAUGGCUGGAGAGGCAAAAUGUUGUAUUCAGAAAUGGCUGGAGAGGCAAAAUGAUGUAGUUUUGGUGCCAUUCUCUUAGUUUUGGUGAGAACUGUUGGUUGUGAUGUGAUCUUGAUUCAAACUCUUGUGUUGUAAUGAAAAAUAUUGCAAACUGUUGGUUGUGAUGUUCCUGAAGUUUUGUUUGAACUGAAUUGAGAUGUUGUUUUCAUAGCUAUUUUCAAAACUGUUGCCUGUUGCUAUUGCCUGUUGCUCUUGCUGUUGCCUGUUGCUAUCUACAUCAGAGAUCUGAAUUGAGAUGUUGCAUGUUGUUGUUGUUUUCAGAACUGUUGCUGUUCCUGAAGUUCUCAGAGAGCGAGCUGGGGCUCUCUCUCGCCAAAAAAUAAUGCGCGAGCGGGGGUCGAACCCAUGACCUGGUGCUCAUUUCACUGGGUUUCUAACACUCGGCUAGGAACAGGUUGUUGGUUUUCUACUCUAUGCCCACUCUUUUCAAUACAACAAACCAAUCGACACACUCUUUUCCCCACUCGCCGACAAGUCGACCCACUCUUUUCCCACUCGCUGACAAGUCCACCUCUCCACUCGACCCGCUCCUCCUCUCCACUUGACCCACUCCUCCUCUCCGCCGCCAGCUCCUUCCUCUCCCACCGCCGCUGACUCCUUCCUCUCCCACCGCCGCCGACUCCUUCCUCUCUAUCUGUCGGCUACUCCUUCUUCUCUCCUGAGGUAUGAAUCCACCGAAUUCUUCCUACAACUUAGUUUUCUGCUACUGUUUAGAUUAGGGUUCUUGCCGCCGCCUAGAUUAGAUUAGAUUAGGGUUUGAUUAGGAUUGGUGAUGUAGAUAGAUUAGGUUUGCUGAUGUAGAUAGAUUAGGAUUGGAUUAGAUUAGAUUAGGUUAGGGUUUUUGCCGCCGCUGUUUGGAAAUUAGGGUUAGCUUUGGUAAUGUAGAUAGAUUAGGUUUCUUAUCUACUGUUGAGGCCCUGUUGUUGUAUCCCUUUGUCAAAGGAUGCUUAUCUAGCUUUGGUAAUGUAGAUAGAUUAGGGUUAGCUUCUGCUUGUUGUUAGCCACCAUGGAUCAAUCAUCACUUACUUGUUAGUACUACUACUACUUCUGCUUAUAUAUCUAAAAGAAGAUUAGUUUAUUAAUCAGUCACUUCCGUAAUCCCAAUCUAGCUCUCAUAGACACUUGUGUUGGUCGACCAUGGCCGCUCAUAUAUUUUGCUUGCUGUUAUUUUUGCAACUGUGAUGAGGACAUGUCAUGGUCAAUGGGAGAUGCUGUGUCGGCAGGUGCAUGAUUUUCAAUCAUUUUUUACCUUGUACGACCACUGGGAAAAAAAUAAAAAUAGUGAGGAACCUGUUGGCUAGUAGUAGUAGGGAAAAAUAAUGGAGUUUGUAGUAGUAGUAGUACCAUAUAUAAAUCACCGUUGUCUUUGACUGUCUGUCUAUGGUCCUUGAUCUGGAUAUAACUCUGCUCACUAUGCUACUCAAAUCUCACUGUAAUAGGCUAGCAAAUGACUGAGGAUACUCAUGGAAAUAUUGUUUUUUUGGAUGGUAACUAUGAAUUAUAGGGUGGAGAUGCUGUUAUUCAGAUCGUUUCUAGAGUACAAAUCAGAGCAUUUGGAUUUCUCACAUGGACAUGUCCUGGAUAUGCAUUGUUCAUAAUAUUUAUGUUUGAGAUCUUCACAAUUACAAUAUCAGUCAGGGAUAUGGUAAUGCAAGUUUUUUACAGUACAAAAUGUAUUCAGUACAAAAUUUCAACUUGUAUAAGGUAAAAGCAGAUCUUCACUGAACAUCCAAGUACCAACAAGUUGUGUUGACUGUUUUCUGCAUUUACCUUAUGUGCAAGUUUAUUUGGAUCCAUUGGACCUUUUAAGUUUGGAUUUACCUGGACACAUUAUGUUGACUGUUUUCUGUAUUUAUCUUUUAAGUUAUGUUUACUGUUUUCUGUAUUUACCUUAUGUGCAUGUUUAUAGGCGUGUUGAAAUUUCCUAGAAAUCUUCAUUGUGAGCUAACCUUUUGAGUUGUGUUUACUGUUUUCAGUAUUUUUAGGACAGUUUCAGUAUUUUUAUGAUAGCUUGUUGUUUACUUGCAGUGCUGCUUUUCUUACUACAAAUGGGGGGAGGCCGACGCAGUCGGCUGCGCUCUGCCACGCCAAGUGAGAUGGCUGACUUGGAAGGUAUCGAGUUCUUCACGAUUAUACUUGAGAAAUCCUCAAGCAGGCAAGUGCUGCCUCACAAUUUUGUGAAGAUGCUGGACGGCCAUCGGCCACAGAAUAUGAAGCUGCGACAGGCCGGCAACGGGCUUCGCAGGCUGUGGGACGUGGAGGUGGUGUUCGACACCGAUGGAAGCAUGUACCUAGAUCAAGGCUGGAAGCAUUUCGUCUGUGCCUACGACCAGCGGCACGGGUACUUCCUUGUCUUCAGGUACGACGGCAACUAUGUGUGCACCGUGAAGGUGUUCGACACGACUAUGUGUCGCAGGCGCUACCACGACGACGACGAUGCCAGUACGUUGUGUCUCUUCUUCCUCACCAUUAGGCUAUGUCUCACACACAUUGUUAAAAAAACUUUUUUGCAUUUGGCAAGGCAAUGGGAGCAGGAGCAGCGACUCUGGCUAUAGCAACAGGUUCUAUAGCAAAAGCAGCAGCGACUCUAGCUAUAGAAAAAGUAGCAGCGAUUCUAGCUACAGCAACAACAGCAACAAGGAUGAGGAGGAACAGAGUGGGGAAGAAGAGGAGCAGAGUAGGGAUGAUGAGGUGGUGGCCGACGAUGUCCUCGCGAUGGUGGUGGUGCCUGACGAUGACCUCGCGACGGUGGUGGUACCUGACGAUGACCUUGCGAUGGUGGUGGUUCCUGACGAUGGCCUCGCAAUGGUGAUCCCACAACUAGGCGACAGGACCAUGCCAAUUGUGGUAGAGGAGUACAUCCCACGGCCUGGCCUGGGGCUUCGCCGCUCUAAGCGCUUCAGGAUGAUGAAGGAGAAGGGGAAGAAGCAGUAGUGAAGAUCUUAAGAACCUGAUGGUGUUGAACUACUACUUCACUUUUAAGUAUGAUGGUGUUGAACUACUACUUCGCCGCUUUAAUCUUUUUAGUGUAAACCUUUUAAGUACGAUAGUGUUGAACUACUACUUCACUUUUAAGUACGAUGGUGGUGUGCCUGAUGAAAUUUUGUGCAUGCUCAUGGAUGAAAGAUAAAAUUUUUUGUUUUUGUGCUUGCUCAUGGAUGCUCCUUGGAUGAAAAGUUUUUGUGCUUAUGGAUGUUUUUGUGCUCAUGGAUGUUUUUGUGCUCAUGCCCGCCGUUUCGACCACAUUUUGAAGUGGGCAUAGUUGUUGAUAUAAUAACAAUCUUUAUGGUCACAUCACUACAAGAAAUAUGCCCGUUUAUGACAAAAAUAUAAUGACCAUGGUAAAUUUGUCAUAGAUUUCUGACCAAAAUUUACAAAAUCGUCGUGGGGUGUCCAAGGAGGGUCCAAACUCUACACCGUUUUGACCAUUUAUGUCAAAAGGUCAAGGUCUGAUUAAUCAAAUGGUCAUAAACGAGUGUAUCAUUAUCCAUAGUCUUAUUUCGGGUUCUUAUUGACCAAAUUAAUAAGGUCAUAUGCUUGAAUGGGUGUGACUAGGCAGCCACAUCAUCUCUUUUACCUAUGUGUACCUGCAUGUCGUGCAUGCAUGUCGAUCUAUCUUACAUGUGGCGAGCAAGAAAGAAUAUCUACAUUGAUAAGUGCGACCCAUAUCUGAUGUAUGGGAUUUACUAACAUGCAUGGCCCACUUUACACAUGGUGCCGCCUAGAAUAUCGAGAAAACAAAAGAACAUACAGGGAUUUGAACACCAUACGUUUUGUAAAGGAACAUAUAGUUUUCUUUCAAUUUUUUGAGGAUUCAAAUUUGCUUCAAACCCAAUUACAUCUACAAUUAACAUGUUUUGCUUCAAACUUUUUCGUACAUGAACAUCUACAAUUAUUAUUUUUUGCUUCAAACCCAAUUAUAUUUUGUUAACUGUAGAUGAAAUGCGGUCUAAUAUUUUUGAAGCAUUUUGUAGAUAUUUUCUGUCAAUUGUUUGAGGAUUUAAAUUUGCUUCAAACCACUUUGAAAGGAACAUAGUUUGCUGUAAAAAAUAUUUGAUAUGUGCUGCACGUGAUGAAAAAAUACAUAAAAAAAACAAACCAAACACAAUUACAUAAGUUUAAUUGUCAUUGGUGAAAAUAUUUGUGACAUGGAUCAAUGAAAUGGCACAGAUCUAUCCAUCCAUCCGUCCCACAUCCAUCCAUCUAUCGAUCCACAUCCACCAACCGCGAAACCCUAAUUUGUCUAGUGCUCGAUGCACACAGAGCGAGAGCGAGAGGUCACCUCCGUCCCCUUCCAGAUAUCUGCCGCCACCUCCCUCCCACCUCCUGGAUCUCUCCAUCUCCAUCAGCUCCACCCGCACGAUCCUCUCUCCCACUCGCGCGAACCCCUCUGCCACCCGGGCUUGCACGGCCUUCGGCCCGUGCUGCGCUCCCUGCUGGCCCUCCUCCCGAUGGCCGGCGAGCCUCCCUCGCCCCGGCUUCCCGGCUUCCUGCUCUUCCCCGACCAGCUGGCGUGCCGCCAUGACCACGUCCAGUACAAGCUCGCGCCUCCGGAUCCGUCUGUGCCUGCUCACCCGUUUCACAUGCAACGGGUUCUGCCUCGAGUCCAUGUCCACCAUCGUCGUCGAGUUCGUCACCUGCACGCUCCAAGUAAGACCGACGACCCUCACCCUUCCUAAUCCCUUUCCAUUUAUUGAUCAAUUUCACUGCCUUGCUUGCUUUGCUUUCCCUGGUCGCCGCUAGAUCGGUCGGGUUCACCGCCGACCCACCCACCCUCAGAUCCGCCUGUACCCAUCUUGUGCUCCAGAGCUAGUGAUUCGCUGCAAACAGUAGCUGGUAAAUCGAUUGCUUGCUAGAUCUUUCUUAGGGGACGGGAAUCAUCAGACAUAGAGAUAAGAUGCUGCUGCCUAGCCUAGGCGACAGAUAUGAUUUUGACCGUGCAUGGGCGACUAGCUAGCUAGUUCUACCAUAAUUACCUCGGUCCACUAUGCUACUACUAGUUCCUGGGCCAUUAACUCAUGCUUGCUUGCUACACAAUGUUAGCCUGACAGUAAUUAACUACUUUUCUUCUAAAGUUUCAGUUUCAUAUUAACUGCCUACUUCUACCAAUAAUAAUAUUGUACAUCUUUAGAGAGUACACUACUCUCUUAGUAUUUUGCAACAUACUCUACAGGGGAAAGGUGACUGUCAACAAAUGGAUUUUUUUAGGAAUUGUGUUUGUCUCUACAAUCCAUUUGUUGACAGACACCUUUCUACAAUCCCUAACCCUCUGCCUCGGUACGGCGCCCGAAUUUGCUAUGGGUUUGUUUAUCUGUUUGUCUGUAAGAAGGUUGCGUGAUUUUGUCGCUGAGGAUCAGCUGCUUUUUUUUCUUGUUUUCUUUCCAGGAGUAUGUCCUGCCUCAGGAGUACGUGCAGACAAUGAGGGAGUCGAUGCUGAAGAGGUGCCCGGUCUCCUCAUACGAGGACGUCCAAGGGGUCUUCAAGAAGGAGAUUGGAGAAUUGCCAGAAACCGUUAGUUCCUUCACCGCAUCACUACAUUUUCCUAGUACAUAUUGCUGGCGGAACUUAGCUCCUGUAUUAACUUCCUAGUUCAAAUUUAACCAGCUUGCCGUCUGUCUUUCACCCUUCUGACCCCUGUCUUGGCUUACAGGUUCAACACGACCACUUGCUGGAUACUUCUGUAAUAGAUAUCGCCACCGUGGAUUUAGUAGUGAAUGCUCUUAAUUACAUUUUCCAUACAUUUGACUACAGGUACAACCAGUACUUUGUUUAUUACCUCGUUUUCUCUCUCUUUUUAGUUUAUAACAUGCCUCCUCGAAAGCUUUUAGGCUUAUGCUGAUGUGUAGAAUUAGUUAUGAUAGAGGCAUGUUCUCUCAAAUCAAUAGCUAGGUCAAGCACGAUAUUGAUAUUUCCUUCUUGUUAAUUACACAUGGGAAUCAUUCUCCAAUGUAUACCUGGCAUAACAGCUCAAUUUGUUGAACUAGAAGUACCUAAUUUUAUAUUUCAGCUUGCUUGUUAUGGUUAGGAAUUAGAAGGACAUGUUUGAUGUUUUCCAUUUAAGAAUUGUUUUUAAUUCCUUUAUUUUUCUGGUUGACACUGCAAACACAGUUCCUAAAAAAAUCCAUUUGUUGACAGUCACUUUUAUACAUCUUUAGAUAAUAAUAAUAUUAACCAUCGUCCAUCCUGGUCGUCAGCAUGUGUGUGUGUGCGCGCGCGCGUGUUCAGUUUGAUUCAUUGUAUGAUAACUCGUUGCCAUCUAUGCACGGAUUGCUCAUCCGGCUGAAACCUGCACCGCCAUUACUCUAGUUAGUUUAUGUAUCUAGGCUAUACUUCAGAUUAAUGUUUUAUGUCAUGAUCCUCGACGUUAAUCCUUAAUAAUUGUUUACAAAUCAACGUUAGAUCUUAAUUUCUGUCUAGGAUUAAAAGCUAUGGUUCCCUCAUAUUUAUGAGUACGUACAUGUAUUUACAUGGGAGAUCUAAUUAGCCCAAGAGUGUGUUGCGUACAAUUACGUACAUGUAAUUACAUGGGAGAUCUAAUUAGCCCAAGAUCUAAUUACGCAGGACCCAACUAACAAUAAAUGUAUGAUUAUAGCUUCAAAGAAUCACGGAUGCACGCAUGACUUAGCUGGCAAUAUACAUUUGCAUACCUGGCUUGUGUGUGUUGCGUACAUCUGGGUAUAGGUACGUGGAUUAAAUUAUUUCAGCAAAAAUCACCAUGCUUGGAAUCACAACGCAUAUAUGGAUAUACUAUACCAAUCCCGUUCAUAAAUCAGACUUACUUAAAAUAUACUCUGAAUUUGUAUGUGACAUUGCACAUAGUAUUUUCUUCAUAUAAAAAAUGUUGAAUAAGUUAUAAAUUUAUUUCAUAAAUGUAAUUAAUAAAUAAAUUCUAUUCUAUGGUAUUACGGAAACAUACUAUUUGUUUUCGCAUGUUUACUUCUCUAUUAAGUGUUUUCACAUGUUUACUUCUCAAUUGUUUGCAGAAAUUAUUAAGUAGUUUUAUGUGAGCAGUAAGAAAAGAUGGUCCUUUGUUGUUCCGUUGCUUAAUAUAAGUAUUGUUUUUUGUAUUUGUCAACUUACUAUACAUUUUUAUAUAGCCUCUAUUUUCUUCCUAUCAUAACGUAUCAUUUUGGUAGAGUGAAAUUGUGUAUUGUGCACUUCAAAAUUUUAAACAGUUUUUAUUCUAAAUGAUCAUGUUUGAUGUGCCUUCUAAUGUAUUUCAUCUUGUAAUGUAGUUGCAUGUACAUUAAGAGUAGAAGGUGUGUGGAUGACCAUCAGCUUCUAAGGACAAAUCCAAUGGUGGUGUGGACGUCCUUGUAGAUCAGCUCCGACUAUAAAGUUAGAAGAAGCUUUACUUCAUGUUGGAACAAAAUGGAAGUUUCUUGUGAUGUGAUGGUGUUUGUUAUGUUAUAGAUUGUAAGUUGAUGGUAUAUUGACUAUUGCUAGAUAUUAUAUGCCCUGUUAAUUUGCUAAGUUACUGUGAUGUGAAUACCGCUGGAUAGAAGAUGAGUUAGAAACAGGCCACGACUCAUACUGAUUAUGCAACAAAACGUAGAAUAAUGAGAAACUAGUUAAGAAAAUUUCUAAAAGCAAGCAUAAUUCUCAUGGUAAUGUUUUUUUAAACAACAACCCAAUAAAAAAUAUGUCUUCCAAAGUAAUAAAUGGGCCGUAUUUAUGGGCUUGGUCCGUUAGGCCACUAAAAAUGCCAUGUCAGAUUACGUGUGAUGUCCAUGUCAUUUUUUCUUGCCAUGCCACCUCAUGCCACGUGGAUGAUGCCAUGUCAGCUCAGCCACGUGUGAUGUCCAUGUCAUUUUUUCUUGCCAUGUCACCUCAUGCCACGUGGAUGAUGCCAUGUCAGCUCAGCCACAUCAUAUCAUAUGUGGAUGAGGCUCAUGGGUAAUGACCAAUAUUUUGGUCAACAGAUUCUAUGACCUAUUGUUUUCGGUCAUAGGAUCCUUGACAAAAAAACAGGAAAGGUCAUCUUUGUUUGUUCUUGACGGCCAACUGUUGACCCUCUCAUUUUGGUCAAAAGAAGGUCAUAAAUAAAAAAUAAUGACAAUUCAAUGACCAAAAUGGUGGGUCAUUAUCGACUGUAUUUCUUGUAGUGCAUUCAUCAUAGAAACACCAAAAGUUUCCCAAUAUCCAACCACUACCUAGGAAUGGUCAUACCCGUCGUUCUGACCGCAUUUUCAAAAUGGGCAUGAAAAAUUAAACAAAAGUUUAAAAAAUUGGCUUUCAAGCAACAUAUCAGAGAAACACCAAAAGUUUUCUAAGAUUCAACCACUACCUAGGAACGGUCAUACCCGUCGUUCUAACCGCAUUUUCAGAAUGGGCAUGAAAAGUUAAAUUUUUUUGGCUUUCAAGCCAUAUAAUCAAAAAUAAUAAAAAAUUGGCUUUCAAGCCAUAUAAUCAAUCUCAUGGCCACAUUCAAUGCAUAGUUUGUUGAAAUGAUCUCAUAUUUUGUAGAAGGGUGCAUGUUGGAAUGAAAAACAAUGUUGAUUAAGGAUGUUUUCAUCUUCCUUGUAUGAAAAAUUCAUUUUUCAUUUUUCAAGUGCCCAAAAUGAGUUUUUUGUGAAGGACCUACCAUAUAUUUUUCUAACAUACUAGGCCAUAUUUAAUGUACAAUUGGCAAAAUGGUUGGGUAUCAAAAUCUUUUAUCCAUCUCUCGUGAAAAAGACAAAUCUAUGUCGAAUCAGUUGGAAGAGGGUCAAAUUUGAACUGCGGCUGCCUUAUAGUUUGUUCUUUAUUUUUUCCAAAAAUCAUUUGUAGGUACAAAAGUAUCUAUUUCAUCAUAGAAACACCAAAAGUUUCCCAAGAUUCAACCAUUAUCUAGGAACGGUCAUACGAGUCGUUUUGACCGCAUUUUCAAACGGGCAUGAAAAAUUCAAAACAAUUCAAAAAAUUGGAAAACCUUCGCAUCGUGUCAUCAUAUGUGAUAAAUUUACUAGGAAAAAUAAUAGCCUUGUAAUACGACAAUUAUUUUUAAAAAGUGUUCACAGAAAUGAGUUGUCAUGUUUGAAGAUUCAUGGCUUUCAAGCCACAUGAUCAAUCUCAUGGCCACAUUCAUGGCAUAGUUUGUUGAAAUGGUCUCAUAUUUUGCAGAAGGGUGCAUUGAAUGACAAACAAUGUUGAUUAAGGAAGUUUUCAUAUUCCUUGUAUGAAAAAUUUCAAGUGCCCAAAAUGAGUUUUUUUGUGAAGGACCUACCAUAUAUUUGUUUCAAAAUUGGUCCAAAUCAUUUUUGUAACAUACUAGGCCAUAUUUAGUGCACAAUUGACAAAAUGGUUGGGUGUCAAAAGCUUUUAUCCAUCUCUUGUGAAGAAGACAAAUCUAUGUCGAAUCAACUGGAAGCGGGUCGAAGCGGGUCAAAUUUGAACUAUGGCUACCUUAUAGUUUGCUCUUUAUUUUUUCCAAAAAUCAUUUUUAGAUACAAAAGUAUCUAUUUCAUCAUAGAAACACCAAAAGUUUCCCAAGAUUCGACAUAUAGCUAGGAACGGUCAUACCCGUCGUUCUGACCGCAUUUUCAAAGUAUCUAUUUGCUCGUUGCUCAAGUGUCCCCACAACCAGAUAUUUCUUCCCUGACGUCUCCCAUUCCUGAACUACUAGUAGUUGAUUUAUCGUAACUAUACUCACUAGUUCUUUCUGCUCCAUUUCUUUUCUUUCUUGACGGAGGGAGUAGCCCCGAAGCGUUGUUUAUCGAGUUUGGCCCUUGUACAACUUAGAGAUCAUUCUCUCUUUCUCUUUGGUUGCGUACGGAUUUGCAUGUUGCUUCCAGUAUUGAUAUACCAACAAGGCGCAUGGGAGAGACCGAUGGUUGCUACUAUCUCUUCUUGAUGAGUACUUGUCAAAUAUAUAGUGAUGCUAGCAAGCUCUCAUAGUACUAUAGUGUCCGUUUAUUAUUUUCCAGUAGGUAACAAUGUACCGCUGCUUGACUUAUUUAUUUUGAAGGGGAAUGCUAGCUUGUGAUCGAAAGGACGGACAAAGCUACCCUACUGAUGUUACUAAGCUGUCUAGCCAAUUGGUUGUCAGCUAAUGAGAGAUAUCUUCUUUUCGGGCUCAUUCGGAUGCAUCAAUUUUUCUCAUGUUGUCUGUCUCCUUGAAGUCCCUAAACUGUUUUUCUUCUCCCUAUUGAUUGUUAAUUUGCCGAUGUGUCCUUUGCUUCUCUGUUAGUGGGCUGAGCACUAUUAUUUAUUUUGGCGUGAGCAAAGUAUAGUGAUUUCCACAAGAAAGACACAUGGUCAUCGGAAUUUAAUAAGACAUUAUUCGGUAUUUUACAACAUUUAUUCAUGUAAACAAGAAAGACACAUUUAUUCCCUAAACUGUUUUUCUUCUCCUUAUUGAUUUAUUAUUUAGAUAAUGUUGAAAUCUAAGAAGCACUGACAAAACAAAAAGUCUGUCUCCAAACCCUAAAAAACUAGUGAAAAAAUUCCCUCCCACCCCCCCAAAAUUUCCCUCUCACCCCACCAAAAUUUCCCUCUCACCCCACCAAAAUUCCCCUCCACUCCCUCUCCCACUACCAGGCGGGACCCACCACUCCCCUCUCCAUUCCACUCCCCACUACCCACGCGUGAUCCAUUCCACUCCCCACUCUACCGUCCCUCCCAUGCUCCUAACCCUAGCUCCGCGCCGCCCCUCCCCUGCUCCGCGCCGCCCCGCCACCCCGCCGCCCCUCUCCCCUCUCCCCGACGAUGACUACAUCGACGACGUCGAUGGCUACAUCUACAUCAACGACGAUGGCUACAUCUACAUCGACGUCGAUAGCUAUGACUACAUCGACGACGGCUACGACUAUAUCGAUGACAACGACGACAAUGGGUACAUCUACAUAAUCAAAAGUCGACGACGACAGGUACCUCUCCCCUCGACCCAUCUCCCGUCGAUGUUCAUGGGUUCCCCCUCAUGUGUUCUUCUAGGGUUUGUGCUGGGCUAGAUCCCCCUCAUGUGUUCUUCUAGGAUUCAUGGGGCUAGGGUUAGGGUUCAUGCUGCAGCACAAUAUGUCAGUUGUAGUGGUGUUAGGGUUAGGGUUCAUGGGGUAAAUAUGUUAGUUGAAUAUAGAAUGACACAGUGGGCGGUUUUAAUUUACCGUGGUUUUGAUUUGCGUAGAGAAGCGAGUCGCAUUAGGCCGUGUGAUGGGUGGCGGUGGCUGGGUAGAGGCGGAUGCUAGAGCUACCAUUGUAAUGAGGUGACUUUUAUGCUUCUUCUGCUGGUGAUGGUAUUUCGCUGCAAGGCCAGAUACUCAUCUAUUUAUUACAACUGUUAUGGUGUCUUCAAAGUUAAUACUACUAAGAGCUUGAGCUUGUGUUUUUCUUUGGAAACAGUCAGCGGUGAUGCUGAUGCUAGGUGUAGGUGAGCUAUUCAGACUUCAUUGCUGGUGUUUGGCUUGGCUUGGCUUGACUUGACUUGAGUAGUAGUGAUGCUAGGUGUAGGUGAGCUAUUUAGACUUCAUUGCUGGUGUUUGGAUUGGCUUGGCUUGACUUGACUUGAGUAGUAGUGAUGAGUCUAGAUAUAGGUGGUCGUUUUAGUUUUUUCUGAACAUAAUUUGUUGUUCAUUUGAAAUAACAUGGCAUAAUAUAUUCUAUAUGCUGUUUCAAUGAUGGGAAGAACAUUUAUCAUGUUGAAGCAUGCGAUUACUUCUGUUUUGCUUUUUUUCCUUCCAAAAAGAGGAUUAUCACGGGCCUCUGCAUCAAGCGAUGAAUACUGUCAUAUAGUUGUGUUGUGCUGCAUGAAUGAAUGCGGAAUGAUUCGGCGGUAGUGAAAAUCAUGAUUGUAUAGACAACAUUUGGCUAGAGUCUUAUAGAUGAUUGUAGGCACAUGGAUAAAAUUGCCUCCAUUAAGGAAUACAGUUGAGUAAUUACUUUGCUUAUAGAUGAUUGUAGGCACAUGGAUAAAAUUGCAAGGUAAAACAUAAAAGUAAUUGUUGUAAAUAGUUAAUGCAUUGCUUCACAUAUAUAGUUUUCUUCAACUAUAAGUUUAGUACAUUACUACCUCCUGUUUCACAUGUAUUAUUACUGAUGCAUUGCUACACUUGUAUGUGCAUGCUGGUCCAAGUGCUUCAAUUUAGUUGCUUGCUUCAACUAUAAGUUUAGUACUCAUGCAUUAACUGUAUGUGCAUUGCUACAGGUGUAUGUGCAUGCUGGUCCAACUAUUUUACAUGUAUUAGUACUGAUGCAUUAACUACAUCACUAUAUUGUUGAUCCAAAAAGUUCACUUCACAUAUAUUACAUGUAUGUGCAUGCUCGUCUAAAUGCUUUCCUUUAUUGAUAUAAGUGCAUCAUUUUACUUUAUCCCUGUUGUAUCAGAUUGUUGUUUAUUCAAUUUUGCAAGCACCACCUCAAGAUCAUCCAUGGCAAGGAUGACAAGGUCAAACCCGAGGCCAACCAUUGGUAUGCAAGUUGCUCCUUGUGGUUAUACUGUUAGAUUUAUAAAAUGUGUGUUAAUGUGCUAAGUGAAUUGUAAUAUGCGAAGUAAAAUAUCUUGGAGGCUGGUGAUGUAAAAUACUAUCAGAUUUUAUUAUGCAAAUGUAUUGCUGUAAUCUGAAUUAGCUGGCUUAGCUGUGCCUGUGUGGUGUUACUCUUCCUUAGCUGAAUAAGUAGGAUUAAAUGAUAAUAAAAUAUCAUAAGAUAUGUUUGGUUGUAUGUCCAUGCGUUCCAACAAUUAACCUAAUAAUUAUGUUUCCUUUGCCUAGCAAAGAUGAGCAUCCUCUCACCGAGUACGAGAAGGUUAGGGCUAGAAAUAUGAUGAGGAACAAUCGGAUAUUCUAGUCCCUUGGCAUUGGUGCAAUAUCGUCAAUGAUUAGAACUAAUGAGGUUGAAGAAGGUAGUGGAGUUAUCAAUGAUGACCCAGAGUACAAUCCUAAGGAGGAUGAAGUUGUAGUGCACAAGACUGUUAAGGUGCAAACUCUGUCUUGCUUGGAGGGUUCGAGUUCUUGAAUGCUCUCUGUUUCCUUGUGCUCACAUAUUCAUCUUUUGAUCUAAUGUUUUUUUCUGUGCUAUUUAUACAAGGCACUGAAGGAAUCUAUAACGAAGAAGCCUCGUGUUAAGAAGACAGCCAACAAGAAGAGGAAGAGCUCAGAAGCAUCUGCUGCAAUGCCACCAGGAAGGGUGAUGGCCCCACUUCCACGACAAACAAAGAGGAUCCUAGAACCUGAUGAACCUGGCAGAGUCACAACGCAGAAAGCAACUAUGGUGGCUGCGACGGACCAUCAGGAAAGUCCGCUGGGCAUGGACUUUGAGAGCUCGGUGGAAAUGCGUGAUGAGUUUCCGCCCAUGGAUGAAGAAACCACUCUCUGCAUGGAUGAAAGCGGCACUGUCUGCCUACGCGUCAGCCAUGGUGGACCUUCUAUUGAUAGGAAUGAUGUCAUCAGUGAAGAAGAACAACAACUUGUGCUUCAACCAGGCAAGUUCACCUUCUCUUUUACUAGUGCAUUUUGCAAAUGGAAGUGAUCAUGUAUGCUUACCUAUUUAGCAGAACCAUUCCUGCAUUUGUCGAUUUCUCUUCUAAUUUAUGAGUUCAAUUUCAUUUUCAGAUGCAAUAACUAACAAGCAUAGACUUAGAAAGGGCAAAGGGCUAGAGAGAAUAACCAUGUCGCUUGGCACAAAGGUGCAUAUCCAAAUUUCCCAUGGGAUGAAGCAUCCAGAGAAGCCUCUAAAGGCAGAAAAGUUUUUUCUGAGUGUGGACUCGUUGCAAGAAGCCAUCUGUCGGUUCUUCCUCACUUUAAGGAAUACAAAAAUAAUGAUACUCUAGUGGAGGACUACAUUGGGAAAGUUGGUGUAAGCUACUUGUUUUAUAGUUAAUGUGCUACUCUAUUUUCUGUUUUGUAGUUAAUGAUCACUAAUGUUGAUCCUUCCUUGUUUGCUGUCUUGGUAGGCAAAUUUUGAGAUGAACACAGACUCGGAGACAAUCAAGUACGCGUGCAAAGAUGUCCUACAAAAAAGUUCAAAGAAUCAAUGCCAUAAGAUCAAGAAGAAGUAUUUUGAUACCGCAACAGCAAACAAAGUGAGCACCAAGUCUCCGGUGCCAGAUCUGACGGACGGUGAAUGGCAAGCUCUGGUGCAGAUGUGGUCUAUCCCAAGACACAAGGUUUGUAUAUGCUUUGUUUGGUGAUUUAUGUUCUGCACAUCAGGAUGGGAAUGGGCCAUGGUUCCCUUCUUCCUCUUCCAUGUUUCUGAUUAGAGUAGGAACAAUAGAGAGCAUCAACUUUCAAAAUCAACACCAUAUGUAAUACACUGACUCUUAUAUAGUACUAGUUGUUCAUGUACUUGUGCUAGUGCAGGAUAACUGAAAUAUUUCCAAAUCAAAUAUGCUCAGACUCAUAUUGUCCUACUAUACUACUGCCUAUUCCACUUUCUUUCAACUUGGAAAAUAACAUUAUGCUUUUUUGUAGGAAACCUGUGUGUCGAACAAGAUUAAUUGAGAAAAAGUCGUGUACCAACACAGGACUGGUUCCAGGCACUACACAACACACAUUUUUGCCACUGUGAGUACCUUUUUCUAAAGACCUUACCGUUUGAUCCUCGUUGAAUAUCAUUUCUUAUUCUUGCUGGAUAACAUUUUGAUUUUUGAUGAAAAACAUUUCAGAAAGAAGAGCGUAAGGGUGAGUAGCUUCUUGUUCAAGGUCACCCACAACAGCAAGAAGCACGGGUUUUCGAAGCCAGUCAAGAUUGUUAUAGUAAGUCACUCCAUGCUUUUGUCCAGCUAGUUCAAACUUUUGUCUAUAGACCUCAGCCCUCUUUGAUUCAGAGCCACCAAGAACACACCCUAGAUUGCUGUUUGCUAGAGCCUAUGAUAGGUUUGGUAUCUCAACAAAGAUAUUAGAAUUUGUUGUACAGUUCUCAACAAAGAUAUCAAAAUUUGCUGUAGCUAUUUGUUGCAUUUUUAUGAUAUGAUGAAAAUUGAUCUGAAUGUUAGUUCUCAACAAAGAAGCCAUAUUAUAUAGAACCACCAUAUUGUUCCGAUUGCAUGUCUCUAGAUCACAUAAGUGUGUACACUUGUUGUAGCCAGUUUCAUAUAAUGCUUUAACUUUAGUAGUUAUCAUCUACUUCUGUUUGAGUUUGAGUAAAAUAUCUACAUAUAGAUUUUGUGUGCUAGUUUGAUUACUUCAAAUAAUCCAUUUCUUGGUCUGGUUCGGUGGCAUUCUUGCUUGGUUUCUCUAGCAGAAUGUGAAAUAGAUCUACCACUAAUGUCUAUCAUUUUCCUCCAUAUUCUAGCUUGUGUGUACACUUGCUGUAGCCAGAUUCAAAUAAUGCUUUAAGUUUAGUAGUUAUCUUCUACUUCUGUUUGAGUUUGAGUAAAAUAUGUACAUAUAGAUUUUGUGAGCUGGUUUGAUUACUUCAAAUAAUCCAUUUCUUGGUCUGGUUUGGUGGCAUUCUUGUUUGGUUUCUCUUGCAUAAUGUGAAAUAGAUCUGCCACUAAUGUCUAUCAUUUUCCUCCAUAUGCUAGCUUGAGAUGGAAAAAAUGAAGGACGCGCCGGUACCAGAAGGUGAAGAACCAAAGUCUGAUGCUGAGAUUGUUGAAGAAGUGCUCAAGACCGAAGUCAAGCAAAGCACAUUCGUUAGGAAUGUUGGUCUCAAGUCAUCUAGUAAGAACUUUGGCAAAGGAACUGCUGCUGUGGCUGCUCAUGUUCGUGAUCUUGAGCAGAAGCUGGAGAGGUCGGAGCUUCAAGAUGAAGUGAUGCAAGAAGAAAUGGCAGCAAUCAAGCUAAAGGCGGAAGAAUAUGAAGCUCCACGCGACAAGGAACUUGAGCUGCUACGCAAGAAGUCUCAAGAACACGAAGAGAAGUUAGCCCACUUGAUGGCUCUCUUCGGCGCUAAAGCAUCAUAGAAGUUGAACCUGUCGUAGAACCUGUCCUAGAAACAGUGAAGUGGGCUAACUUCUCAAGAACCUGAUGAAGUUAGCCCACUUGAUUGGUCAUUCUAAUUUACGACCUUUUCAUUUGGUCGUAAUUCUGCCAUGUCAGCCUGCCACGGUGGAUCUGACAUGGUGUGGAUGGAUUGCUAGUGACCAAAUCAGUUGGUCGUUAAACCUACGGCCUUCUGUUUGGUUGUAAAUCCUACGAGCAAUCCAGGAAAAAGGUCAUUAUAGUUCAUUAGAGACCCUCAGCUUUUGACCGUCUGUUUUUGGUCGUAAAAGGUCACAAAUGGAAAUCAAUGACCAUUCGGUGACCAAUGUUGAAGGUCGUUAGUUGACAUAUUUCUUGUAGUUCAUGCCAACAACAGGCCUAUGUUUGUCUCUAGCAUGAGGUUUAGCAAUUCUAGCAGCAUCUUCACAGAAGUGAAUAUCAUGGCCAUCAACAUUGUCGGACAGGAGAUCUUUGAUAAUAGCAAUGCUAGGUUCAACCCUAAUUUUCUCACGGGGUGUAGGUGUUCUAAUGUACCCCUACGUAUCACAGUUGAAGCUUUAGAAUGAUCCUUUAUUCUAAUAGGGAAAGGUGGUUUCUCAAUGUAAGCACUAGGAACAAUAGGAUAAUUAUAAGCAAUGACUUUCUCUUCAACUGGAUUGGGUUUAACCACAUUGAUUUCUAAGGGAGGAUGAUAUUUGAACCACUUCUCUUUAGGGAGAUUAAUAUGAGCACCAAAUGAUUCACAUAAUGAAGCUACUAUCUCAGAGUCAAAUCCAUGUUUAGUGCUAAAAUCACAAAAAGUAUUUGUUUCAACAAAGGAUUUAACGCAAUCAAACUUGAGAUUCACACCUGACUCCUUACCUUCAUGAAACUCCCAAUCUUUAGAGUUGCAUUUAAUUCUUUCCAAUAAAUUCCAUUUGAAGUCAAUAUCUCUCUUCAUAAAAGAACCGGUACAAGAAGUGUCAAGCAUGGCGCGAUUAUCAUGAGAAAGCCGAGCAUAAAAGUUCUGAAUAAUAAUUUCUCUCGAGAGCUCAUGGUUGGGGCAUGAAUAUAACAUUGACUUAAGCCUCCCCCAAGCUUGAGCAAUACUUUCUCUAUCGCGAGGCCAAAAAUUAUAGAUAUAAUUCCGAUCAAGAUGUACCAAAUGCAUAGGAUAAAACUUUUGAUGAAAUUCCAAUUUCAAUCGGUUGUAGUUCCAUGAUCCAGUAUCAUCACAUAGCCUAUACCAUGUCAAUGCUUUAUCCUUCAAAGAUAAGGGAAAGACCUUCUUCUUGACCUCAUCCUCGGGCAAACCUGCAAGCUUAAAUAAACCACAAACUUCAUCUAUAUAGAUUAGAUGCAAGUCGGGAUGUGAUGUUGCAUCUCUUGUAAAAGGAUUAGCCAACAGUUUCUCUAGCAUACCCGAAGGAAUUUCAUAACAAAUAUUUUCAGUAGGUGCAGAAGGUUGAGGAGCAACUCCUUGAACUUCCGUUCGAGGUGAAGAUACCCCGAACAAGCUCCUCAAAGGAUUAGUUUCCAUAGUGACAAGUGACAAUAAAUUUCAGCACACUACAUAAAUGUUUCCUUACCAAAGGCACUUCACUCCCCGGCAACGGUGCCAGAAAAGAGUCUUGAUGACCCACAAGUGUAGGGGAUCUAUCGUAGUCCUUUCGAUAAGUAAGAGUGUCGAACCCAACGAGGAGCAGAAGGAUCUAACAAGUGGUUUUCAACAAGGUAUUCUCUGCAAGCACUGAAAUUAUCGGUAACAAAUAGUUGUGUGAUAAGAUGAUUCGUAGCAAGUAGCAAGUAACAAUAGUAACAAAGGUGCAGCAAGAUGGACCAAUCCUUUUUGUAGCAAGGGACAAGCCUGGACAAACUCUUAUAGGAGGUGAAGCGCUCCCGAGGACACAUGGGAAAUUCUGUCAAGCUAGUUUUCAUCAUGUUCAUAUGAUUCGCAUUCGCUACUUUGAUAUUUUGGUAUGUGGGUGGACUGGUGCUUGGGUGUUGCCCUUACUUGGACAAACAUCCCACUUAUGAUUAACCCCUCUCGCAAGCAUCCACAACUACGAAAGAAGAAUUAAGACAAAUUCUAACCGUAGCAUUAAACUAGUGGAUCCAAAUCAGCCCCUUACGAAGCAACGCAUAAACUAGGGUUUAAGCUUCUGUCACUCUAGCAACCCAUCAUCUACUUAUUACUUCCCAAUGCCUUCCUCUAGGCCCAAAUAAUGGUGAAGUGUAAUGUAGUCGACGUUCGCAUAACACCACUAGAGGAAAAACAACAUACAACGCAUCAAAAUAUCGAACGCAUACCAAAUUCACAUGACUACUUAUAGCAAGACUUAUCCCAUGUCCUCAGGAACAAAAGUGACUACUCAAAAAGCAUAAUUAUGUUCAUGACCAGUGAGGUAUUGAAUAGCGUCAAGGAUCUGAAUAUAUAAUCUUCCACCGAGUAAUCCAACUAGCAUCAACUACAAAGAGUAAUUAACACUACUAGCAACCUUACAAGUACCAAUCAUAGUCGCGAGACGAAUAUUGCUUACAAGAGAUGAACUAGGGUUUGGAGAUGAGAUGGUGCUGAUGAAGAUGCUGAUGGUGAUGAGCCCCCUCUGAUGAGAGGAGUGUUGGUGAUGACGAUGGUGAUGAUUUCCCCCUCCGAGAAGAAAGUUUCCCCGGCAGGACGACCCUGUCGGAGCUCUAGAUUGGUUCUACUCAAGUUCCGCAUCGUGGCGGCGGCGAUACCUCCCGAAAGCCUCCUAUUGAUUUUUUCUGGAACGAAACCCUCCUUAUAGCAAAAGAUGGGAGCCAGAGGGGCAACAGGGGGCCCACAAAUCACCUAGGCGCGGCCAGGGGGGUAGGCCGCGCCUGGCAGGCUUGUGCCCUCGUGGUCGCUCCCCUUUGGUACUUCUUUCGCCCAGUAUUUGAUACGUCCAUUUUGCAUCAUGAUUUUAUGUUGAUAUUUAUCGCUUUAUGGGCUGUUAUUACACUUCACGGUACAAUACUUAUUCCUUUUCUCUCUUAUUUUAUAAGGUUUACAUGAAGACGGAGAAUGUCGGCAGCUGGAAUUCUGGUCUGAAAAAGGUGCAAGUUUGAGAUACCUAUUCUGCGCAACUCCAAAAGCCGUGAAAAUCAACGAGGAAUUAUUUUGGAAUUUAUAAAAAAUACUGGACGGAAGAAGUACCAGAGGGGAGCCACUGAUGACCCACAAGUAUAGGGGAUCAAUCGUAGUCCUUUCGAUAAGUAAGAGUGUCGAACCCAACGAGGAGAAGAAGGCUCUAAUAAACGGUUUUCAGCAAGGUAAUAAUUGCAAGCACUGAAAGUAGCGGUAACAAGUGAUGGUGUCCUAAGGUGAAAUGUAGCAAGUGAAAAGUAACAAGUGACAAGUAGUAGCAACGGUGCAGCAAAGUGGCCCAAUCCCUUUUGUAGCAAGGGACAAGCCUGAGCAAAGUCUUAUAAGAGGAAAAACGCUCCCGAGGACACACGGGAAUUUCUGUCAUGCUAGUUUCAUCAUGUUCAUAUGAUUCGCGUUCGUUACUUUGAGAGUUUGAUAUGUGGGUGGACCGGCGUUUGGGUACUGCCCUUACUUGGACAAGCAUCCCACUUAUGAUUAACCCCUCCCGCAAGCAUCCGCAACUACGAAAGUAGAAUUAAGACAACGUCUAACCAUAGCAUUAAACUAGUGGAUCCAAAUCAGCCCCUUACGAAGCAACACAUAGACUGGGGUUUAAGCUUCUCUCACUCUAGCAACCCAUCAUCUACUUACUACUCCCCAAUGCCUUCCUCUAGGCCCAAAUAUUGUGAAGUCUUAUGUAGUCGACGUUCACAUAACACCACUGGAGGAAAAACAACAUACAACAUAUCAAAAUACCAAAGGCAUACCAAAUUCACAUGACUAUUAUUAGCAUGACUUAUCCCAUGUCCUAAGGAACAAAACUAACUACUCACAAAGGAUAAUCAUAAUCAUGAUCAGAGGUCUAAUGAGUAGCAUCAAGGAUUUGAACAUAAACUCUUCCACCAAGUAAUCCAACUAGCAUCAACUACAAAGAGUAAUAAACACUACUAGCAGCUUUACAAGUACCAAUCGGAGUCGCAAGGCGGAGAUUGGUUACAAGAGAUGAAAUAGGGUUUGGAGAGGAGCUGGUGCUGAUGAAGAUGUUGAUGGAGAUGACUCCCCUCCGACGAGAGGAGUGAUGGUGAUGACGAAGGCGACGAUUUCCCCCUCCGGGAGGGAAGUUUCCCCUACAAGAUCGUCCUGUCGGAGCCCUAGAUUGGUUCUGCUCAAGUUCCGCCUCGUGGCGGCGGCGAAUCCACAAAAAAGCUCCACCCUGAUUUUUUCUCGGACGAAACCCUUCAUAUAGAAAAAGAGGGGGGCCAGUGGGCCACCAAGGUGCCCACAAGCCCUCUUGAUGCGGCCAGGGGGUAGGCCGCGGCAACCAGGCUUGUGGGCCCCUGGCAGCUCCCCUCUGACACUUCUUUCGCCCAGUAUUUUUUAUAUAUUCCCAAAAAAUUCCACGUUUAUUUUCAGGACAUUUGGAGUUGCGCAGAAUAGAGGACUCAGACUUGCUCGUUUUCCAGUCCAGAAUUCCAGUUGCCGGUAUUCUCCCUCUUCAAAUAAACCUUGCAAAAUAAGAGAGAAAAGUCAUAAGUAUGGUUCCACAAAGUAUAAUCACAGUCCAUAAAGCGAUAAAUAUCAACAUGAAAGCAUGAUGCAAAAUGGACGUAUCAACUCCCCCAAGCUUAGACCUCGCUUGUCCUCAAGCGAAAACCAAGACCCAAAACAUGUCCACAUGUUUAGGGAUGAAGGUGUCGAUAAAACAUAAUACGGACAUGAAGGCAUCAUGAUCACACAUAGAACAACAAUACAUCAUGAAGAUUCUUAUGGGAAAGUAACAAUUCCUUCACACAGCAAAGUGUGAAACUAAACCUUACCGAGAAGUAGCCAUCAACAGUCCAUAGUCAUUGAAACAAUUGCAAUUUAUCAUAUUAUCAGAAAGAGUCAAAUAAGAGCUUGUAAGGCAAAUCGACAUACUCAAUCAUCUCUUUUGUUUUCCACUAUUGUUACAACUUACGUGGUACUCAUGAUAUCAAAGUUUCAAUUGGACACAGAGAAAGAUAGGGGCUUAUAAUUUUGCCUCCCAACCAUUUACCUCAAGGGUAAAGUCAACAAUAAUAAAGCAUAAGUACUCAUCUCCAAGUUGAUAUAUGAAUAUAGAUCUUUCCCAAGCAUAUGACGUUCACCAAGAAAAAGGCUAAAUAAGGAAUUGGUGAAGAUCACAAUGACUCUUACAAAGGAAAAAAGUAAAGGUACAAGAUAGGCCCUGCACAGAGGGAAGCAGAGGUUGUCAUGCACUUUUGAGGUUUGGAUGCGCGUCCUCUUAGUGCGGAGGAACGUCAGUUUAUAUUGCCUCCUGUGAUAAAGAACUUUAUUAUGCAGUCUGUCGCUUUUAUGUCUUCCUCAUCACAGGUUCGUACAAAGCUUAUUUUCCACACACUAAUAGAUCAUACAUAUUAGAGAACAAUUUUUAUUGUUUGCACCGAUGACAACUUACUUGAGGGAUCUUAUUCAAUCCAUAGGUAGGUAUGGUGGACACUCAUGGCAAAACUGGGUUGAAGGUUUAUGGAUGCACAAGUAGUAUCUCUACUUGGUGAGGGAGUUUUGGCUAAUAUGAGGUGGAAGCAAUCGUCACAUGCUAAGGGAUCUCUAAUCAUAUAACAUUGUUUGGAACCAAGCAAACACAAUUCAUUAUGUUGUCUUCCUUGUCCAACAUCUACUUCUAAGCAUGUAAUAGUUUGGUGAGUGCUCACAAUUAUAGAAGGUGUCUAAGAUGGUAUAUUUAUAUGUGGACCUCUCUUUCCUUAUUAAUUCUUUUUAAUUGCAACAAUGACUGAGGUCUAUGUUGGUCUACUCUCAACAAGUUUCAAUCAUCAUACUUGUUAUAUGUGAAGCUAUCACUUUCCAUAAGAUCAUCUCAUGAUCUUUCAUGCUAUCGUUCUUUUCAUACUUUUGAUCACGACACAAAACAAAGCCCUUGACUAAGAUACUCUUUAUUAUAUAGCUCGCAAGCUCGAAUACGUCGGGGGAGACACAAGACAAAAGACUCAAACUAUAACACUAAAGACUUAUUCCACUAAGAGAAGAAAUAAAAACUGAAAAGGAAAGAACUAAAACAAAGGUAAAAGCAAAAGAUAUAAAGGUGAUACGAUACCAGGGCAACUCCCCCAAGCUUGGCAUAAGCCAAGGGAGUUGCCCAUACCANCGUCAUUUUCCUCCUCAAGCUUGAACACUCUAUGGUAAAGUUCCUGCUUACUCUCCUCCAAGGAACGAGAAGGGAUAAACAGGGUCUUAGGCUUCUUCCUUUGGUCAGGGAGGCUUGACUUCUUGAACACCACAUGGGUGCGUCCUGGUUGAGGCAGAGGAGUCUCAUCUUCAUCGGAACUCAUUUGUUCCUUCCCUUUGGGAUCAUAGUCCUUUUCCCCGUUAGUGGUCCAGCCAUAAUGUUCCAAAUCCCCAUAGACCUUCGGGUUAGCAAGGUAAUCAGCCACAUAGCUCUCCCCCUCUGAAUCUUAAGAAGACAUCUUGACCUAGAUCUGCCGCGGAAAAUAGGCUCGAAACGAAAACAGAGGAAAACUGCACGAUACGGAGAUCAAAACCCUCGGGCGUAUAUAUAAUGAUUUUUUCUAGACCAGAAGGAGUGCUCCGCAAGAAAACGGAGUCCGGGAGGCACACGAGGUGCCCACAAGCCCUGUUCCCGUGGCCAGGGGGGAGGCCGCGGCAACCAAGCUUGUGGCCGCCUCGUGCGCUCUCCGGACUGCUUUUUUGUUUUUCUAAUUUUCCAUAAAUUCCAAAACGGAGAAAAAUUCCUAUUGGAAAGGUUUCAGCGUUCAAUUACUUACCAAAACACAUAUCUCUUCGUUUUGAGGGUCUGAAACAGGCUGAUAAACAUCCCUUAUGUACUCCUCUGGAGUUAUGAUAUUGAUGAUAUUGGUCUCAACAUUUAUGGGAGUACCAAAGAUGUAAGGCUUGAUUCUUUGCCCAUUUACCACUCUAGGAAAAUUACCUUCCGUGUUAUUGAUUUUGAUGGCACCGGAACGAUAUACUUCCUCGACAACGUAGGGACCUUCCCAUUUAGAGAGAAGCUUGCCUGCAAAGAAUCUUAAACGAGAAUUGUAUAGCAGGACAUAAUCACCUACAUUGAACUCUCAUUUUUUUAUUCUUUUAUCGUGCCAUCUCUUAACCUUUUCCUUGAACAACUUGGCAUUCUUAUAUGCCUGGGCCCUCCAUUCAUAUAAUGAGCUGAUAUCAAACAACCGCUUCUCACCAGCAAGUUUGAAAUCGAAGUUGAGCUCUUUGAUUGCCCAAUAAGCUUUGUCUUCCAGCUCAAGAGGUAAAUGACAUGCCUUACCAUAAACCAUUUUAUACGGCGACAUGCCCAUGGGAUUCUUAUAAGCAGUCCUAUAAGCCCAUAGUGCAUCGUCAAGUUUGCUAGACCAAUUCUUUCGAGAUCUAUUGACGGUCUUUUGUAAGAUCAAUUUGAUCUCCCUAUUACUGAACUCCACUUGACCACUAGACUGAGGAUGAUAAGGAGAUGCAACUCUAUGGUUGAGAUCAUACUUAGCAUCUUGCGGAAAACACCAUGAAUGAAGUGUGAACCGCCAUCAGUCAUCAGAUAUCUAGGGACUCCAAAUCUUGGGAAAAUUACUUCUUUAAGCAUCUUAAUAGAGGUGUGGCGAUCAGCAUUUCUAGUGGGGAUAGCUUCUACCCACUUAGUGACAUAAUCCACAGCAACUAAGAUCUGAGUAUACCCAUUGGAACUCGAGAAAGGUCCCAUAUAAUCAAAGCCCCAGACAUCAAAUGGUUCAAUGAUAAGUGAAUAGUUCAUAGGCAUUUCCUGACGCUUACUGAUAUUCCCUAUUCUUUGGCAUUCGUCACAAGACAAGACAAACUUACAUGCAUCCUUGAAGAGAGUGGGCCAAUAGAACCCUGAUUGCAAUACCUUAUGAGCAGUUCUGUCUCCAGCAUGGUGUCCUCCGUAGGCUUCGGAAUGACACUUCUGCAGGAUCUGUCCCUGUUCAUGUUCAGGCACACAACGUCUAAUAAAACCAUCUACUCCUUCCUUAUAGAGGUGAGGAUCAUCCCAAAAGUAGUGUCUCAAAUCAAACAAGAAUUUCUUCUUUUGCUGGUAGGUGAAGAUGGGUCGUAUGUAUUUGUCUACGAUAUAGUUUGCAUAAUCAGCAUACCACGGUGCACUAUGUGAAGUGCGGAUGACAUUCAAUUGCUCAUCAGGAAAGCUGUCAUCAAUAGGUCGUGGGUCAUCAAGGACAUUCUCUAGCCUAGAUAAGUUAUCUGCUACAGGGUUAUCAGCACCCUUUCGAUCAACAACGUGCAAAUCAAAUUCCUGUAGCAGGAGAACCC